GGGGUUUUGAGUGAUUCUUGGAUUGUAAAGACGGGAGGAGAGGGCUUGUGUGUUUUGAACUUAAAAAAGGGGAGGCAAAGAGUGGUAAGCUAGGACAGUUAACGUGGGUAGAGGAGGAGACUGGACAGUGAAGAGUACGAGGAAAAGCAGACACGUAUGAAGGAGGAGGAGUGAGGGACGGAGGUGGUGGAGGAGGCCAAGGGCGCGGGAUACUUGUUAACUACAACUUAUUACUAGUACUGGAAAUGGGAAGACGUGGACGGCCUACACUUUAAUUUCUAUUACACGUAGCGCAGCGGGAAAAGGUCGGCCCAUUUCGGCUGCGGGGUACCUUUUUUCUUUUUCUAUUUACUAGUGUUUUGACCAGUGCAAUGCGCAGGAUUAUAUUUCAAAUCAAAAUAAUAUUGUAUAUAUUUAUAUAUUAUGGUACAAAAUGAUAAAUAUAUAUAUGUUAAAAAUUUUAAAGAAGUGAUGCCUAAUAUUUUGAAAAAAAAAUUAAUCUAUAAUAAUUUAUAGGAUAAAAGAGUUGUUAACGCAUUUAAGGAGAGGGUUAGAUUGGAUGGUAAGGUGAAAAGAGUUUUCUUAAAAAAAUUAAUUUAUUAAUAUCCGACAAAAUAUAUUAUAUUAUACUCAUAUAUCAAUACUUAUAAUAUAAAAAAAUAAAUUAUAACGAAUUUAUUUUCUUUCAUUUUUAAAAAAAAAUCUUUCUCCUAUUUUGCACCCAUAUAAUUGUUGAAUGCAUUUAGAUUAGCAUUUUUCAUAAACUUUAACGUAUAUUUAAAAAAAAAUCUCCAUAAUAUUUGUUUUUAGAAUUCUCAAAAUUAUUAAAAUUGUCAUCAUUUCCCUCUUCUCUUAUCCGACGCCUAAUCAUCAGAUGCCUCAUACGACUUUUAUAUUUUCUAUCGUAGUAUCACUCUCUUUAUUAUUUUUUUGUCAUCUUUAUCAUAUCCCUGCAAUUUCUUUUCUUUUUCUCUCCCUUCUCUGCCCAUCCUUGUAACCCAUGUUUCUUCUUUAGCCUUUCCUGCCACUUUUCAACUUCUUACCAUUUUCUUCCCUCCCUCCUCCCCCUAUACCUAACCUCUAAAUUCAUAUCCCUGCAAUCCAAUAUAUUUAACUUUAUCUAUCAUAAUAAAAAUUAAAAAUUAAAAAUUGAUUAUAAUGGUUGCAAUUAUUAAUAUCUAAAAAUGGGAAUGAAAAACUAAUAAUAUCUAUAAUAUCCUCAAGUAUUACAAUCAAUAUAUAUAUAUAUAUAUAUAUAUAUAUAUAUAUUUAACAUAGCAAAUACAUAGCUGCAUAUCAGCAAUAAGAAUACAUAAAUAAUUAAUGAUGCCAAAAGUUAUCCUUAGUGUUUGGGUUUUGCACUCUUAUUCAAAUCUAAUGUCAAAUUUGGGUCAGAUAUACACAAAUUAAAUAGUAUUUUAGGAUUGAAUGUUCUAUAUCUUUCUCUUAAACUAUAAUGUUACUUUUUUUAAAAUUUUUGUUAGAAUUGGUGUUGUUAUUAUCAUUAUUUUUUUUAUCAAAAAUGAAUAUUUCAAAAAAAAAUUUCCAUGUUAAAAAGCUAGUAUUACAUUGUUUUUUUUUUAGUGAUUUCAUAAUUUGGAUUUCACAAAUGGUCCAUUCUUUAUUUUUUAAAUCCACGACAUUAUUUCAUGAAUAUUUUUUUUUUAAUUUUGCCCUUUUUCUUAGGAUUACUAAGUUAAAAGAUAAAAUAUUGUCAUUUACUUUUUUACUUUUACUAAGUUUGGCAAUGCUUUCUUUUUAUUUACCCUCCCACUAAUAAACUUCAAACCAAAUUCCUAUAUAAGUGGAGUCACUACUUUUUUAAAUUAAAAAGGCAUGGAAACUACUUCUUACUUAAGAAAAUAUUAUUUGCACUUCAUUUUUUAUUAUUUGCAAUUCGACUAUUUGUUAUAUCAUAUAGUAUAAUUAAUGAAAAUUAUAUAACCAAAUUGAUUAUUGAGGUAUGAAUAACAAAAAUGGAGUGUGAAUAAUCUUAUUUGUUUAAAUUAAUAAGAAAGUAUGAAAAGAUGUUAUAUUUCUUAUCUCUUCUUAUGGUCUUAUAGAAGUUUUAAUUGUUGUAAAAUCAUAAAUGCCGCAAGGCAAUCGGAAAUGUGAUGGGUUGAAGUUCAAAUAGGAUAACAUGCAUAUUAACCAACAAUUUGAAAUGAAAUGAUUUUAAAAAGUAACCAACAAUUUCAAAUGUGAAUAGUAGAUGUAGAAGUUGAGAGGAAUAUAUUUUAUAAAUUAAAUUAAAUGUGAAAUGCUAGAAAAAUGGAAUUGGUAGUGGGAAGAUGCGUAGAGGCUUGUUGCUAAAAAUCCCUUCUCAAAUUUAUAUAUAUAGAUUGUGGAAAAUGUUAUUUAUAUUUAUAUUUUAUUAUUCACGCUUUUUAUCACUUUAAUCAUAUAAUUUAUUUAUUUUUAUUUUUAUUAUUCACACUCCCAUUAUCACUUUAAUGUGCAGUUCAGUUAUUAGACAUUUAGACUAUAUGACUAAAUAAAUGAUGAAUGUGUUAAUAACCAAAAAUGAUUACAAAUAGCAUUUCACUUAAUUUUCUACCGCUUUUUAAUUAACUAGUACUACUAUGUUUAUUGUUUAGGGGCUCGAUGAGAUGAGUUGUAGAAGAAAACGCGGCGAUUGCUGGAUUUUUUUUUGGGCUUUUUCGGGACGAAGGAGAAGAAGUACUAGAGGAGGGGUGGAGGGAGGGGUUUGCGCUAGUUUCAAUGAGCAGCCUUCUGCGUAGGGAUAUACGCGAGCCGAGUCGUAAUCAAGUAACUCGCGAGUAGCUCGGUCAACGGCUUGACUUGAACUCGGGUUGACUGAGUUCGAGCCGAGUCUCGAGCUACUCGAUUGUCAUUCGAGUCGAGUUUCGAGCCAAUAUUUUGAGGCUCGAGGCUUGUCGAGCUACUCGUCAAGUCGGGAUAUUUAAAUAAUAUAUUUAUUAUUUAAAUAUAUAUAUGUAUUAUAAUUAUAAAAUUACCAUUAUGGAUAUAAGUUUUACGGAAUUUACAUUCGAGUCGACUAGUCGAGUCAAAAAACUUGAUUAGACUCGACUUGAUAAGGCUUGACUAAAGAUCGAGUCUCGAGCUUAAAAUGAGUUCCUCGAGUCAAGAUUCGAGUAUCAAUUUUUUGUACUCGGUCGAGCUCGAGCCUAGGUAUAUAUGAGUCGAGUCGAUAUCGAGUAUAGCAAUACUCGAGCUUGACUUGACUCGAUCCAUCCUUACUUCUGCGCAUCAAGAAGAAGAAAAAAGAGGGAUACACAUCAGAAAAAAAAAAAACAAAAAAAAAACUUCUGUCAUAUGGAUGGAGACUGCAGUUAGGUUUCUGCUGUAGCAGUUUGGAGGGUCCGAUUGCAUUUCUUAUCACUCUGAAUUCAGUACUGGAUUGUAGCAUGGCAACUUUAAAAGGUUCAAGUUCAUUAGCGGAAGAAAAAAGGUUGUACAGUUUAAAUUACAAGACAUACGUUAAUUUAAUAUAUAUGGAACUCAUAAAAAAUAAGAAAAAUCAUUCAAAACAUUAUUUACAUUUUGCUAAAUUAAUUUUUUAUCGUUUGCUUUUAAAAUAUUAAUUUUACACCUCUUACAAAUUCAAAUCAGCAAACUUUAGUCUCAACUUAAAUUUUCAAACAUUUUUUAAAUUUAAAAUUACCACAUGACUUACAUGUGAUCAUUUUUAGGUAUAAAAAAAUCAGAUCUCACUUAUUUAUAGGCAAAAAAUGAAUUUAGAUCAUAUCUAAAUUCGAUCUAAAUUUGAACUAAAUUCAUUUAGGAAAAAAAUGAAUAUAGUUCGGACUAGAUUCUGCAUUUUCUUCGAGGUAAAAAGAAUAUAGAUCAAACCAUCCAUUUAACUAGAAAUGAUAUCUAAUCCUUUUGUUCCUAGAAAUGACAACGUGUGAGUUAAGUGGUAGAUUUAGAAUAAAAAAGUGAUUGAAAAUUUAUGGUGGGACCAAAUUUUGUUGAUUUAAAUAUAUGAGGAACAUAAAAUUAAUUUUUUAAAAGUGAAUAACAAAAAAUUCAUUUGAUUAAAUACGAGGGACGUUUUGAAUGAUUUUUUUAAAAAAAUGUAUAUAUAUUAAUUUAAAUUAUAUUCAAAUUAAUUUGUAUUUUGACUAGAUAAAUUUAUAUUUUCUUAAAAUACAUGAAAUCGUGGCCCAAACGCGAUUACACACACUGAUAAAUAUUUGUGCCCUAUGUUCUUUGGCUUUGGACUUUUGCCUUGGCACCCUACCAAAUUUGUCCUAGCCUUCUAGGCUUCACUCAUGGCUAAGGCCAUGCAAAAUAUGCAAUCCCCGCUCAAUAUAUUUAUGCCAAUAAUUCUAUUUUGUUUGGCUAUGAAAUUACUUGAAAAUUUUUAUUUGGAAUAAUACUAUAAUAGUUUUUUGUAAUAUAAUGUAUAUGAGAUAGAUAGAUAGUUGAAAAUUGUCUUCCAAAUACUAUAAUGUAUUUAUGCCAAUAAUUCUAUUUUGUUUGGCUAUGAAAUUACUUGAAAAUUUUUAUUUGGAAUAAUACUAUAAUAGUUUUUUGUAAUAUAAUGUAUAUGCAGGAUAAUAUUUGCAAAAUUCUCUUCCAAAUUAUAUUAUCCAAAUGAAAAAUGUACUAAGGUGUUUGGCAUACACAUGUAACAUAUGUAAAAGUGAAAUGGAAGAUUUAAAAGUUUUGGAUUAAAAUUUCUCUUCUCUUUUCCGCUUUUAAAAUCUCACAUCUCCUUUGCUAGAGGGAAAAAAAGAAGAAGAGGUUUUUUGGAUUUAAGAUUAAACUCGGGCCUGAGGCCAGCUGAGAGUUUGGAGAUAUCAUUACUUUGAAACUUGUCCUGUAGUUUGGUGUACUGAUGAAUGAGCACGGCAGGAACCAAGUCCUAAUAUUCAUGAUUGUUUUGUCAUUUGUGAUGGUGACUCGAACAAGCAUGAGACUAUGAUCCCAUUUCUCAUCUCAUUGAGAUGUGAGCUUUAUUUAUCGCAUCGCUUGAUUACAACACCGACAUUAUGAUUCUAUUCAUAUAAAUCUGCGGGGAACAAAAGAUAAGAGGGAAAAAUGCAGCAAGAGACAAGUACAAAAUUGUUCGUUCGAUGCACCAUAUCCAGUAGACAUCAAACAGCUGAGUAUAAUUUGACCGAAGAAAAGAAAAAUAGAGAGUAUCAGCUGACAUGUUAACCUUUGGGAAGAAGGUGCAGGCUGUGUUCCGAAUUGUUUGACUCUUUAGCCACUACGAAGGAUCAAACGUCUCAAACCACUCGACCAAAAUGCUGAGGUUCAUACAGAAGACGUCCACAUGCAUACAAUGAAAUGUGAUGCAUGGCACCUCAGGCGAUACCUGACAGCAGAAGAAUCAAGAAUGUUUAUCCCCUAGCAAUUCGAUAAAUAAACCUAGAUCCGGCCAACACUCAAGCAUGUUUAUCAUUUGCAAGCCUCAGACCUUAAAACCGUGAUCAGAAUACUGCUGUAGGUCAAGUGCUAGACUGCUAGUUUGAUAUCUUAAACGGCGUGAAGGCUUUGGCGUCUAUCAAGUGGCAGCCACCUUUAUUGUUGUACUAAUUUGACUUGAACUGGAACACCUGUUAAUUGUUAUAGGACAAGACGAGCGUCGACCUAAACUAAACACAAGACUUUGUGCAUUUUCGGAGAUAUUUUUGCCUAUAUAAAGGUUGGAACCGGGCCCUGGUAACGUAAAGAACCUAUAUGCCCGUACAAUCUGGUAGAAUGAAUGUGUACCAAGUUUCUGAUUGUUUUUUUUUUUUAAUCAAACAGCAGCAUCUAAAAUAACCUACUCCUGCUCGUAUUCUAGUUUAGACUAGGGGGGAGGUUGGAGGUCCAACUGACCUAGAGAAACCAAUGAGAAUUGAAUCCAGAAUGAUUUAUGAGAUAACACAUAUAAUGAUACAGUGACGUGGGAGAUAAGAUUUGAACCUUGACCUCGCUCUCCACCAAGACUUAAAUUCUUUGACCAUGACUAAGCAGGUCAAAAGGUCAUUGGUUUUUCUGAUUGUUAUGUUUGAAUGCCAAAUAAAUUUCACACACUCUCCAUUAUUUUAGCUUCAGAAGACCGAAAAAAAAAUGACUGAAUUCGUUGGCAGUUUUACGAAAGGUAUCUAGUAGUAUCAUGCUCUAAUUUUGAGAAUUAUAGACAUUAAUAAAACUACUCCCUCAAUUGUUAUUUGAAUUGCUUGAGAAUUUAAAAAAUCAUGAAAUUGCUUAAAAUUAAGGGGUGCAGAUACUUAAAAAAAUAAGGAUAAGCAAAACACAGAUAAGAAUAUAAUUGUAAAAAUUAAUGGCUAAGGGUGGUCUCUUAAGGUCACAAUAUUUGAAACAUUGCUAUUUUUCUUUAUGAAAUUCAAGGUACAUGAGACAUUUGGUGUAUUUUUGUUCAAAAAAAUAGAAAUGUUACAAACUCAAUGUGAUAAAUGCUGUAACUUUGAAAGUUGUACAUUACUCUUAACCACUAAAAUUUCUCAAAUUGAUCGUUAUUCUAUCUUGUUAUCUCUAUAUUUCAGCUAUUUCAUCCCCAGAUUAAAGACAUUUUUAGGAUCUUUAAAUCUCGAGUGCUUCAAAAUAACCAUUGAAAUGUCUAUAAUACUACCAAAGUCCUAUUGUCGUCUUAUACUUUUUCUGUAUUGAUUGCCAUUUUUUGUCAAAAACUAUUUUUGUUUAUUGAGUCUAUGAUGACAACUUAAAAAACACACACAAUCUCAAUUAUGACUUACUAAAAAACAAAAAAUCGUUCCACAUUUUCUUAUUCCACCCACUACACACCAUAGCCAUUAUUUUUUCCCUCCUUCCUUCUCCAUCUUCCUUCUCCUUUUUCUUUUCUUUCUUCCUCUUCCUUUCCCUUCCCUGCAACAACCCUCCCACUCCUUCUACCUGAUCCACUCAGGCCAUUGCGACCAAAUUGGUAUGGUAAUGGGUUGUGUAGAGGAGAAACCAUCUAUGGACACAUGUCAUGGCCAAAGUACCUUACUCAGGCAUUUCUCAAACGGAAGCAGAAGGACAAGCACCUUAGUUUAGGAUUCUUGGGAUAAGGCUAGAGUUUAGAUCCAAUGCAAUGUUUUGAAAAUCGGACCGAACCAGUCGGUUGAAUCGUGAACUGGCCAUGCCUUCAGUCCGAUUCAAUUAAAAACUCAAAGAAUUAAUUAAUCCGGUCAAGAACCGAUAAAAAUCGAGAGGUUCAACUGUGUUUUUAAACAUUUAUUUUUUAAAAUAAAUAUUUUAUUUUAUUUUAUUCAUAAUUUUUAAUACUAAAAUAAAUAAAAUUUUAUUAAAUCCUUUAACCGAAAUCGACCAGUUGAACCAGGUCGAACCGGUUGAACCAUGAACCGGAAGGUUUUCUUUGGCUGAUUCUUUAGGUCGCAACUAGAUUAGGGGGGGGGGGAGAGUGUUUUGGGAGAAAGAAAGAGAGAAGGAGAGGAGGAAGGAAAAGAAGGGAAAAUAGGAAGGAGAACGAGAAGGGAAGGGGGAAAGAGACAGUAGAGGUGGGGUAGUGUUCAAUAUUAAAAAGUAUUUCAAAAAAAAUUUAAUCUAAAAAAUAUCUCAAAAUAUAUCCUUAAAAACACCUAGCCAUCUAUAGUAAACGCUUUUCACAUAUAUUGCUUUAGUAAAUUUUUUUAAAAAAUAUUUUCAAAAACACCUAAUUGAUACGGUCUAACUGAAAUUGAGGCAAGAGCUAGCAUGUGAAACUGUCAGAAAGUUUGAACUGCGAAACCAGUCGUCAAAGAGACUUAAACUCUGCAACCGAUAGCCCAAGUUUGUUUCAAUAUGUCAACAGCAAGCAAGCAUUAGGCGCAUUAGAAAAUUGAGAUGAGCCCGUCUCAUUUUAUCCCAGCAAUUGGAUGAACUUCAGGGCGAACAUCCUUUCUCAGUUGUCCAGGAUGUCUCUAGAUUCUGUUCAUGCCCAACCUGAAAGUGAAUGCCGCAGGCCUGCGUUUAAGCAAUGGACGUAGGCAUCCAACCCGGAAAAGUUGUAGUAACUGGGACCAAGGACAGUCCCGAAAUUAAUUUCUCAUGGGGAGAGUGGAAACUAGUAACUAUGUGAUAUAAUGGUCAUUUAUCUAUUAUAGUGCUCCUCAGUUGAUAUUUUCUAAAAACUUUUCAAUAGGUAAGUCAAGCGUCAUUUAUCUAUUAUAUGUUAGAUAGAACCAAAAUUGAUUUCAAAUUCAACAAACAAAUAAUAACGAAUGUUAAAUACAUUAUUUUAAAAUUUAAUUUAUUUUUAACUAUUUUGUAGUUCCAUGGCUACCAAAGAGAUGCUAGCAAGUCCUUUUUUUUCAAGAAGAAGAAGAAGAUGCUAGCAAGUCCUAACUCUCAAAAGCAUUUAGACCAUUACACACCUAUAUGAUUAGAUUUUUUUUGACAAAAUAAAAAAAAUAAAAGAUUAGUAAUUUGGCAUUUUUUAAGACAUGCAAAUCCAUCAUUCAGCAUGUUAGGGGCAAAAAGUCUAUUUGGCCCUCAAACUUCAACGAUUUUAUAAUUUUAAUCUUGCAAUUAUUAUUUAUAUAUUUUUAGUUCCGAACCUAUUAAAAGUGUAUACUUUUUAGACGUUUCGCGAAUUUGAAUUCUGAUCAAGUUUAUUGACCGCUGUAACCAUGCAUGCCGACCGAUCAACUACCAUUAAUUGAAGGAUCAUCGUCACUUGAUCAUUAUCAAAAUUUAAUCAAAUUACACCCUUUGAGGUAAUUUCUUGAACCUCAAUCAACACCUUUGGGGUAAAAGUAAAACCAGUUCGUCCUAUUUCUUUAACCAAUGUAUUCUUGGUGGUUACGUAUAUACAUUAUAUUUCUAUUUUUUUAAUGAAAAAAAGGAAAAGAAAAACUCCUGGUCAAUGUUUAGUCUGCUGAUUAUUAAAAAAAAAAGAAGAAGAAAUGAAACCGCAAUUAAAUUCACCCGAGCAGGAAGCGGAGCUGGAAAUGAAAACUUGCUGCCGCUAUCCGCUAUAAAUAAUUCACAUUUCGCAUUUCAAACGAGUGGGAAUUUUUCAUAUCUAAAUCUGAAUAGAAAUUUUACCUAAAAUAAAUAAAGGAUAAAAAAGACAUAAACCCAAAAAAUUGAGAAAUCAGAAGAAAUGGCGAUGAAAAGCUCUGAUCUAAGAAGUAGAAUCGAGACGGAGAGUGAAUUGAUUCGGAUGUGCAUCGAGGCGGCGACGGAGAGCGGAGACGCCGUGGAGGCGUGGCGGAGACAGCGUCGAACUUUGGAGCGGAUGCCUUCUCUCCUCGCCGGAGCUCUUCUCCACCGCCUCCUACAUCGCCGUCUUCUUUUUCCUUCUUUGCUCGAGUAAGUCACUUAAUCCUAACUAUUGCUCCUCCUCUCUGCAGAUUAAUUAUUCAGAUGAUUUUGACGCUGAGAUUUGCUUGCUAAGGUUGUAGUAGUGAUAGUAUACUUGUUUUUUUUUUGUCUUUUUUUAAUUAGAGACGUCUAAUCGGAGGUACAGAAAUUUUGUGGAAGUUCUCUGCGGUUUCAUAAAUAUGUAUUAUGCAGAUCUUGUUUCGAUGUUUAGGCGCUUACUUUUGCAGCUUUAUUGUGCUGUGACUGUCAAUUUUUCAAAAACUAAGCUGAACUAUGAUGGAAUGUGACUUAAUUAUUCCGUUGGUAGGAUAAAACUAGUGAUAGUUUGAUUUUCUGAGUUCGUUGUGAUCCUAAAUCCUUCACCGCUUGGCACGCUAUGAUUCUUACGAUAUAUGAAAAAAGAAGGAUUCCUUUUCCCCUCAAUCUCUAAGACUGGGAUCAUACCUGUAGCUUUAUAUGAAACUUGAUUGCAAGGAGAGAGAAGUUUUGAGUGUUGGUGAAUUAUGUGGAAGCCUAAGAGUAUUCUUUUGUGCUUAAAUUUAUUAUUGUGUUGUCGAUAUGCGCAAACAUUAUCUACAUAAAAAAUUAGAAUGAAAAGGACAUAGAAGAAAAAUAUGAAUGAAGUAUGUUAUAAACAUUUUCUAACUGGAAAAACUUUUAUCAUCUUAAGAGUUGCUUGUACUGAUAUGUGCUGCUCUGUUGGUUUUCUUCUGCAUUAGGUUUUUUCUUCUUUUGCACAUGAAAAUUCAGGAAUUGUAUCUCAAACAAAUUUAGCAUCCAAUAACAAGCUGCUUUAAAUGGGAGUAUAUAUUGUUGCUAUUUGUGGUGAUUAACUAACUGGUAGCAUUGCAGAACUAAAGUUUAGUGUUAUUGUUACUUCUAAAUAUUACACUAAACUUGCAUUGACUUCUUUAGAGUCUUCAAACAUAACGUGGAGGAAAUUGACCUGAGGGGGGAGAAUUGUGUGGAUGCAGAAUGGAUGGCAUACUUGGGUGCCUUCAACUACUUGCAUUCAUUGAAUCUGUCAGAUUGUUAUAAAGUUAAUAGUGCUGCUCUGUGGUCUAUUACAGGUAUGCUGUCUUGAUAAUUUACCCAAUUUGAUGGACAAUUUUUUUUUACUGCCUCUCUCUCUCUCUAAUAUAGUAUUCGGCAUUUUAACAUUUUUCAUUUCCUUCAGGCAUGCCAAAUCUAAAGGAGCUUGACCUUUCAAGAUGUUCUAAGAUUACUGAUGCUGGCAUUAGGCAUCUUUCGUCCAUUCCAAGUUUGGAGAGGUUGUGCAUCUCAGAAACAGGCGUAACCGCUGAAGGAAUUAUGUUUCUCUUCUCAUUAACUAAUCUACGUGUUUUGGAUUUGGGAGGCUUGCCGGUCACUGACAUGGCUUUAAGUUCUCUACAGGUUGGAAUUUUGGUAGUUUAGAUGCUCUUGUGAACUUUCUGCUGCAUUAUACUUGAUUCAAGUCUCCUCCUGUCCUUUCCAUGCACAUACUGUUUUUGCCUUGUUGCAUUAGCAGUGAAAGACAACACUUGAAUGUGUCAAUUGGUAAUUGUUAACUUUUUCUCAAAGAAUUAAAUGUUUUUCAAAGAUUAUGCCACUCAAUAGGUUUUGAUAUAUAUAUUCUUGUAAGCAUGAUUAUCUUCUUUUUACGGUACUUUUAGUUCUACUGAGCAAGAUCUUUCCAUGCCUUGAGUUGGCAGUGUGCCAAAUAGACUAAAUAGUCCAUUGAGUAUCACUGAUACGAGAAUGUAUUUUUAGUCUCCUAAUAACUAAUAAUUCUUUAUGAUUUUAAUAGGAACUCAAGAAACUAAACUUUUUGGAUCUCUGGGGAAGCGAAAUAUCAAAUAGAGGUGCUGCUCUUCUCCAAGUGUUUCCCAAGUUAAGUUCUCUAAAUCUAGCUUGGACCAAAGUCACGAAGUUGCCAAUUCUGCCCUCUCUUGCACACCUAAACAUAAGCAAUUGCACUAUUACUUAUUUAUUCAAAGGAGAAGGUGAUAAAGCUCGUCUAGCAAAGCUCAUUGCAUCUGGUGCCACAUUUGCUGAUGUCUGUGGAGCACUUUCAAAUGUGGAAACCAGUCUCGUUUCUCAUUUGGAUCUAUCAAACGCUCAUAUCGACUCAUUCUACUUUUUGCCUCAUUUGAGUUCAAUAACAUAUUUGGACCUUAGUGGUAGUUCGAUGGCAGAUGAUUCAGUUGCAAAUAUUGCAUGCAUAGGUGCAAAAUUAAGAUAUUUGAACCUCAACAAUACAAAAGUGAGCUCUGCUGGAGUGGGAAUCUUGGCUGGGCAUGUUUCAAAUCUUGAAACUCUGCUCCUGUCUUUCACAUUUGUUGAUGACUCUGCUCUCCCUUACAUUGGCAUGAUGCCUUCACUAAAAGCUAUCAACCUCAGCAGUACAAGAAUUAAAGGUAUUACAUCCUAUUCUCCCUUUUCCAAGAAUUAAACGUAUUACAUCCUAUUCUCCCUUUUCCCUCGGAUUUUGAGCUUAGGUUUUUGACAGCAAUGUCAAAGAUCUAUUGUAGCAUUUGUCAACUUUUUACUCUUGAGGACAGUAUCCCAGAUAGUUCUCCAAGCACUCCUAUACAAUUUUAAUGAGAGUGAACUUCUGCAUUUUUGUAUCUACAUGUUACAACUUAUUCUAAUUUUUCAUGUCCAAUUUAGCAGACCAUUUCAGUUACCCGAGUCCCCUUGAAAAUCCUUAGGUUGUUUUAGUCCCAAUUUUCUAGUACUUUUAUCAAUUAUGAGUUUCAAAUGUUAGUGUUAAUUGCUUCCUCUUUGAUUCUCUACGUUAAUUUUGUAUUUCAUAUACACACUAAUGUCAGAUAUUUCCUCUGCAAUUUUAGGCUUGAUCAACCAUGAAGGUUCUGAUUCUGCUGCGGUCCUAUCAUUUUUAGCACUUAAGGAUCUUACCAACUUGGAAAGGUUAGAGUUGGGGGGUCCACAAAUCAAGGAUGCGGCACUCUUCCUCUGUCAAGCUUCCAUAGCUUGAAGCAUUUAUCGCUGCAAAGUGGCAUCCUAACAGAUGAAUCAUUACUCCAUUUCUCUGCAAUGCAGAAUUUGGAACAUCUUAGUGUUCGUGAUGCUGUGCUAACUAGUGCUGGGCUUGAUUCUUUUAGUCCUCCCCGGCGCUAAGAGUGCUGGAUCUCAGGGGUUGCUGGCUUUUAACUGAGGAUGCAAUCUUUCUAUUUGCUCGAAAGCACUCAAAACUUGAGGUGAGGCAUGAACAUGUUAGCAUGUCUUUAUCUGACACAGGUGGAAGUAGCUACCUAUAUCCAUCAGAGGCAACUUCAAAAACCUCUCAAUCGAAACAGCGGCAGAAAAUAUCCUUGUUACCGUCCAGAUUUGACAAUAGUGCUUUGAAGAGUUAUCCAUCCAAACAGCGGCAGAAAAUGACACAUGAUAGGAGUCGUCUUUUAGGUGAGUCAUUCUUUAAAAGAUCUCCUUAGAAAGCUUUUGUUGCCUUUCUCGUGUAUUCAUAUCUUUUUAGUUUGUUCAGAAACAGAUCAAAGGUUGAAGUACACGAGAGAGGAGUUACUGGCGUUGCAGUUUUCAUCAACUCUGUUUUAGGGAAGAUAAUCUGAUGACUGGUAUUUUAUGUAAUUACAGUUACAUUCAUGGAUUAAAAGAGUAAUUAAAUAAGUGGGUGUGACUUCUGUCUUGUUACUUUAUGAUUCUUUUUUCAGUUAAAAAUUUGUGUUCCCCAGUAUUUAAUUCCCAGUAUCAGUAACAUGAGAAAGGAUAAAAAAUUCAUGAUGGCAGCGUACAUUCUCGAUGGAAUCCUGUGACAAUUUUGCUCCGAAGAAGGCAAAUAUUUUUGUAUUUUUGCAUUCCUCUCCACCUCGUUUCUUAACGGUUUUGCUCCUGAAAAAGGCAACCUUUUUUACAACAUGCUCGUCUUGAAUAUUUUGACAAUAAUUUCCUCGUGUAUCAUGAAGAGAGUUAAAACUACUCUUGAUGUCUUCAGAACAAAAAGCUUAUUUCAAAUGUCGAUGGGCCUUUUGAUCCUCCAAGUCGAACCUAGUUACAAUCCUUAUUAAACAGCUUGAGCUUGCUCUUUCGUAAAGUUUGUUACAGAACUUAAACUUGCACCUUGCAAUCGGUGUAAUUGCGAUGACAUGAAAUAACAUUUGAGACCUAAAUCAGGCCAUAGCUGCUGGAAUCAGGAGGAUGGGGAACACGAGCGUAAAACUUUAUAAAUCAGCUUCGCAUCUAAUCUACUGUUCCCGUUCUGUGAAUAAGAAACUUCACAAUUCUCCAGGAAAAUAAAUAAAACAUUAGGAUUUAAAAUAAAUAUAGUUCACGUACAUUAUUAAUUCCUCAGUUCGGUACACUGUAAAUAUGUACAUCCCAAAGCCAAAACAGGUUAGACAGAGGGAGAAGAGUUGGAAGUUAUACCAAUAAACGGCAAACUGGAACGCGUAUUUCGUCGAAAGAGUGAAAGUAUAUGCUCUUGCUAUAAGCUCACUUGGCACUCUUGUACAUAUUGUCAAUUACAUUCUGCAGCAAUAAAACGAAUUUUAACAAAACGUCAAAGCUUUUAUCUUGAAAAUAAAAGAUAAUCAGUGACGUACAGAGUCAUGCAUGUGAACAUGAAACCAACACUAUCCUAAAGGUGGGAGAAUUAUGUAAACGUGGAAUGUUCAUGGUAUUCUGUCAACCCUCUUAAUAAGAUUAGUAGACUACAAAUUGGACGUCUCUGUUUUAUUUUACUACCUCACAAUCUCUGCAACUUAUAUUUGAAAGCAAGAUAAUGAUCUAUAGCGAUUGCAUGUCUAAAAUUACGGAUGUAACAUGCACGCAUGUGCGGAAGCACAUUUGGAACCAUGCCAGAAUAAUUAUAUUCAAGGAACUAUCAAUCCUUCGCAAUGUAAUUCUCUGUCAUUCAGCAGACAUCAAUUUCACGGUUUCAGAUGUACACGACAUGCAGACGUAGAAGAGCAGAGACAUAACCGGAGUUGGAAACUUUAUAACCAAAGAUGGAAAGGAACCUACCUGGUAGUAUUUGAGCAAUUGGGGUCUUUUCUUCUUAAAUGUUGGUGUGAGGAGGUCACGUUCCAUAUCAAAUGGUUCAGGAUCGAGGUGCACAGCUUUAAUAAAUUCAAAGCCUUUUAGCUGCCAAGCGUAUGACAGAUGUUUAGAGAAAGUUACAUGUAAUACCAACGCACUCUUUAACACUCAUGAGAAACAUCCAGACAAAUUAUACAGAAGUUAUUUAAAGAGAUUAUAUAACCAAUACUCAGAAUCAGUAGAGGAUGAACCUUCUUUUCUUUUCCAAUCUUGUUGAGCUCUCCAAGAAUGUAUUCCUUCACUUUAGGGUUUUCACACAAAGAAUUGAAAUCUCCAGUUAAUUCGUUUUCUUGAGCCCACUCUUCAACUGCUUGCUUCUUUGGGUUAACAACAGCAACAAGAUAAGAUUCAAAGCUGUUUCCAUAGACCCAGAUCUGGAUUUUGGAUAGGAGAAAAAAAGAAUUAGAAAAAAUUUAAUGUUCCAAUCAAAUCAAGUACUUCUCCUAUUGGAAUAAGAAAAAUUAGGUAAGAUAGAUGGAUGUAGCAAAAGAGUUUGACAUACAGCUUGUACAAGGAGUUAUACCAUUGCAGAAAGUUAGCAUGUAGGUAGCACAAUAAGUUGUGAAAGAGCAUUGACUGACAUGAUUGCAUAGAAGUGAGAGACAGCUAAAGAUCACGGCAACUGAAGUGUACAGGAAGAAUAGAUGCAUAACUGUACCAUUAUAUGGUCAAACACCUACGAGUCUCAGUUAAAUAUGUGAUCGAAACUAUCAUGCUAUUCAAAAGUGUCUCUCUUGUAAACAUCCAUGAUCAGAACAUGCUACAGUUGCAUUAGUGUUUUUAACUAUUAAACGUCAAGAAUACUGCCAACAUACCGAGUCAAUAGCGCUAACAAGACCAUAAACAUUCUCCAAAUUCUCCACAGCUACAUACUCGCCCUGCGAGAGCUUGAAAAUAUUCUUUUUACGGUCAAUAAUCUUCAGGCUCCCAUUUGGCUGCCACUCACCAACAUCCCCUGAUAAAAUUAGGGCAGGAUCAUUGGAUCAGCAUAUACGUAUAGUCCUACAUGUAAUACAGUUAGUGAAAGCAUCACUUUAGACCAACCUGUAUGGAACCAUCCAUCUUCAAAGACUUCUUUUGUAAGAUCUUCACGUUUGUAGUAACCUGAAAACAAGGUAUCCCCCUUACACAUACUUCUCCACGUGGAGUCCUUGAGAGGGCAUCAUAUCCCAUUUCAGGAACAGAUUCCAGGCAGACAUCCACGUUUGGAACAGGAGGACCCACUGUACCCAGCAUACGCAUCUCAUGUGGUAUAGAGACAAAGGUACCAGCACAUGUUUCAGUCAAACCUACACCCCAAACAAAGAAAAGUUUGUUUAUACUUUUUUUCUUUCAAAAUUGGAAAUGCCUAGUCCUCAACCUAAGCACAAAACAGAACCCAUACAGUGGACUUGUUUGAGGAACAUAAUAUAACGAGAUUGAAUGAGUAAUCCAGAUCAUUUCCAAACAAACAAUUAACUCUGGAAUACACAUUGCAGACUCAGGAUUUCUCAAAUUGCCAUCGUCUGAUGAUGGUUGAUAUGCUCCAGAAAAGACCAUAGCAGAUAAUAAGAGGCAUCACAAGCAGCAUAAAAUUUUAUUUAUGAGAGAUUAUAGUAACUCCUUGUGAUAUAUAGCUGCAGAUGAAAGUUCUGCAACUGAUAGGCAACAGCUUUAAUUAGUGAUGAUGAGAAUAUUAAAUGCAUAGUACAUUUUUCAAUUUUAAAAUUCUAGUGCAACAUAUACAUUCGAGGGCAAAGGAGAAAACUUGAGUAGCAAAUAGGAAAGAGAAACAAAAGAGGCCUAACACAGUAUAUAAGCAAGAAGAUUUAACACCAGUGGACAAGAACUUUGCGUAAAUAAAGCAAAGACCAAUGGCAUUUGAGGGUGAAAGAAGAGAAUACCAUAUCCUUGAAGUACAUGAGCACAAGAUACCACUCUUAGAUAUUCUUCAACAUGUGAAGCAAGGGGAGCUGCUCCAGAUAAAAUAAGCCGUACUUUCCCACCUAAACCUUGUUUAACCUGAACGGUGAAGCAGAUCCAAAGUCAAAUUUCCAUUGCCAUGAUAAAAAACUAAAAAGAAUGGAAUAUCAGCAUCAAGUACAAGUCUCAACCUUGCUGAAAACGAUUUUGUCACAGAUAGGAGCUGCCUCAUCAUGCUUAAGCCCCUUCCUCAAAUUACGCAACUUGCUGCGGAAAAUUUUCAAGCGAAGGUAGUUAAGCGAGAUGUAAGUGUGCUUGUUUGUGCAAAGAAAUCUGCCUUGUAAGUAUAUCAUUCAAGCCAACAAUAAAGUAGAGGUAUUAAGGGAUUUCUAUGGGAAGCAAACUUCAAAUCACAGCUCACAAAAAUUUUGCUUCAACUGGCAAAUUCAGAAGACGUAUUAAGGGAUUUCCAGUUUUGAAGCAAAACUAGACAAGGGUGUCCAAAAGCACAAAUAUAUGUUGAGAAAAACUAAGUCUCCAAUUCACCAGAAAUGAUCAUUUUUAAUGUUUCAUGACAUAAAACAAGAGGUGGGACAAAACUUACUAGGCAUAUGCAAAAUUAAACAUCGUUUGUUUUAUGAAACCUCCUGCCGAUAUCUUCUGUUGCAAGCCUGCAAAAAAUUCAACAAAUUUAUCGCUUGAAAGUUGAAUCAACCAAAAUGUUUGUGAUUGCUAAAAACAGUGGACGUGCAGAGGGGAACACCAACUCCAUAGAACACACUGAACUUGGCAUUGAGGUUAAUUAUGCCCCCUGGGGCAAAUUUCAAGACAUAAAUUCCUGUUAUGAACUCAUUCAACAAGAUUGUUGGACAAUAAAUUUAAUCUGUCUGUAAGUUCAGUAAAACAGCAAACUAGCUCUGAAAUAUUAUCCAAACUAGGCAAACAAACUCAAAAUAGAAAUCCGAACGUGGCAUAAAUUAAACUUUCAACAGUUGCGGUGUCUUGUUCUGGUCAUUUUUGGUUUGUGGAUAAAAAAUUUACCUGAGUGAAUUCUAUCUAGAACCCGAGGAACUGCACAAAAGAUGGUUGGCUUUAGCUCCCCAAUGUCUUCAACUAACAAUUUGACAUCCUGUAGCAACAAAAUCACCAUUGUACAUAAGAGCUUGCCCAAAUUUCUUCUCAAAAACAAAGAACAGUAAUCAUCUUACCCCACGCCAAAAUCCUAUUGAGGCUCCAUGAUUAAUAAAACAUUCUUCAAUCACACGGUCAAAGAUAUGUGCCAAAGGAAGAUAAGACAGAUAGACAUCAUUUACAGUCAACUGUAAAACAAAGAGAAAGUCAGAAACUGAAUAUGAUUCCAGAUCAAAUUAUGAUUACAACCUGUGGAAAUGGAGUUUUGUCUUCAAGCUUUGAAGGAGUAAAGAGAAAAUAUAACAGAUAUUCACCGAUUCGUUCACGCUAACUAGCAAACGCUUCACUCCAGCAAUGAGAGUGACAAUACUAUUAUUUGAAAUCAUGACACCCUUAGGAUCUCCAGUUGUUCCACUAGUAUACAUUAUUGUACAGAUGUCGCUUUUUGCGUUUCAGUGGAAGGUCAUAGUUCUUAUUUUCACCCUGCAACAAUAAGGUCAAAACUAAGAUCACGACUUGGAAAUAUCAAUAUAUUGCGAAAGACUUCUAUAAAUAAACCAAGUAUAGAAAACGAAAGUACAUAGGCAGUCAAUGUUCUCAAACACACCAUAAGAAAAGCAUGCACCACUACAUUAGCGUUAAAACGCCGCCAGAUCACAUUCUGUAUCAAAGUUAUAAUCUUAAACAAACAAAAAUCAGGAAAGCAUGCACCAACAAUACAGAGUUAAGACACCACCAAUUACAUUUCUGCAUGAUACUGAUAGUCCAGUAACCACAAACUGACAUGACUGACUAAAUCAGCAGCGCCUCUUCAGAUAUUAGUAAAGCAACCAGAUAAAGCUCAGCAUUGAGUCACUUUGAAGGACUUGAGCUAAAGAGAACACAAAAAAUUGGAGCCAUUGCCUCGCAUAUGAACAAAAGCCAAUAAAACUUUUUGAUGCAAGGUUCAGAACAAAAAUUUAAUUGUGGCAAGAAUGGGUUAAUGGUCAAUAUUGCUUCUUGAUUGUGGCAAGAUUAGAAAUUCAAGAGAUUAUCUGUUCAAUAAUACCAGAAAUUUGCAUUAAACUUGUAGGUCAACCUUGUCAAACAUAACCAUAUGAGCCACACAAAUAUGAAUGCACAUAACAGCAAACCCAAUACCAUGGUAGAUAGAACAAAUAUCACGAGGAAAGAGACAAGCAAAUAAGUUAUCGGUUAUCCACUGAAAGAAACUCACUCUAGCUUCGAUACAACUAAUUCAUGUUUAUUGUGAUCAGGGGUAUUCGCUUUCACACAGCAAAUGCACAAGUCACAAAGCUUCAUCCUUAAUUUAGAUUGCAUUAAAACAUUACACACCAAGUAUACCUUUUCAUAAGCAAACAAGGAGCUUGCCAGACAUCAAAUCUAUCCCAACAAAAGACAUCCUUGGGCAAGUCCCCAUGUAUAGAGGGCAGGCAAGGAUACGAAAAUAGAAAGAUAGCAAGUGCAAGCAGCCUGAAGGCAGGGCUGGUGCAACCAAGCAUCAAACAGACCAAACAGUCAGAUUAGGCUCAUCCAAACUCCAAAACAACAAACCAGACCACAAAAUUAUGAUCAUCUCACCACUGCAUACAAUGGCAUCCAACUAAAAGUUAUAAGUAUAAACAGGAAUCCACCAGCUUACCAAUAACAAAAAUUCAUCCCAAGCAUACACAACCACACCAAAUUUCUCGAUUUCGUCCUUCUGUUGAGAGGUAACUUUCCCAAAACUCACAAUUGCUGAAGAACAAUAACAAAGAAAAGGAAAUCAAGGAUCAAAAGAGUUACUUUCACAAUUUGGUAGGGACAGGUAGAGAAAUUACUAUACAAAUAACUUACUUUUUAAGUAUUUUGUUGCAUUUGGAAAGGUUUUGAGUAACUGCAAAAGGCAAAAAGACGUAGAUUAGACAGUAGAUAUUGGACUUUUAUCAUAUUGGCAGCAAUUUUACAUAAAUCAAUAAAAACUAUGGCAGCAGCAGGAAAGCAUUCAAAUGAAGAGUUCAAGCAUCGAAGAGAUGUUCAUGACAAUAAGGACAAAAUCAAAUGCAACUAAAUGUUGUUUUAUGAUGGUACAAUAAACAUAUGCUAUUAUCACAGUAAGCAUGAAGAAAAAUGCAACUCAAUAAAUGAAUGACUGAACAAUGUUGGUCAUUUCCAUAAACUUUUCCAUUUCUUCAAAUUCUGAAGUUGUUUAUUAACUUUGGAUAUAUUAUACGGCAUCAUGUUUUCACAUUGAGAAGCUGCAACAAGAUGCAACCGUCCAUUUCUUACAUCUUGACAUCUGAAAAUUCUGGCCCAGCCAAUUCUUCACUUGAAAGUCCUCAAGUGAAGAAAGUCAGUAUCAACUAUUCUAUCCAUACUCUUUAACCUAUAUUUCCUCCAACCACAGCUUAUCUUAAAACUCUUCCAUCUAAAUGAAACAUGAAUUGUUUUUACCGCAAGUUGAGGUUUCUCAAUGCACUACAGAAAUCAUGAACUUAUAAUCACUAUGAAAUAUGUUUUAAUUUCUUAAAAAAAAAUUUGUCCAUUAGGUACUUUAAUCUAGAGAGAAGCACUGACCUGGAGAUUAAGAACAACGUAAAUAUGCUACAUUACCAAGUCAACUAUCUUCAAAUAUGUCAAUAAAGUAGUUUUUUCUUUUUUUUUUAACUGAAUGAUCAACUUUUAACAAAAGCCUCAAACUCUUUCAUAAGUAACUACAACCAUAAGAUGGGAAGUGGCAGAAUUCUUUAAUUGAUUCCUAUCUCCUAUUGUUAAAUAAAGUUAAUUUCCCAUCUUCAAUAUUCAACAAAGAAAAUUUGAAAUUUGCAUGAAAUCAAUCAUCUUCUGAAUCUAGUUUAAGGAAUCCCACCCCAAAUUCUUUGCCAACACCCAAAAAGGAAGUGCAACAUUUACGAACCUCAGGAAUUUUUUUCUCUUCAACAAAGGCAAUGGUAACCUCAGCAUGACAUAUGAUAAACUCCACAGCCCCAGCACCUAACCAGAUGGAGGAGAAACCAAUCAAUUUAUUUAAUACUUUCAAACAUGAGAUAGCAUCAAUAAUCAUGCACUAAAGACCAAAAAAAAGGAAUAAACAAAAAAAAAUCAUGUACUAAAGACACAGCACACAUGUAUGCGUAAUUAAGAAGACUACGAACAAAAGAGUAAGGAUACAUACCUAAGGUGUCGUACAAAGGAACGCAAUGUAGACCAUGAGCAUUACAUGCCUGCAUCAAUUUACUGAUGUCAGAAUAAAUUCAAUAGAUACUUCCAAACCAGCAACUGCUUCUUAAUUCAGAAGUUGACAAAACAUACACGACGCCACAGAAUUGAGAAAGAUAAUAUAUGCAUCAAAUAAAAUAGAAACACCCCAUUCAGCAGAUGUCGACUAUCUUGAAGGUAUGCUAUAAAACUUUUGAAAUAGUUCAGUUAUCUUUUUUUUUUUUGGAUGAAACGAUAGAAAAAUAGUUCAGUUAUCAAUAUUGCUUAAAAUCAAUGAUGACAUAGCUAACAAUUGGCCUUGGUCCUCCAACAUCAUGGUUUGAUUCGGCUCCUGUUUUUGAAAAAUCUAACAUUUUCUGUUUUCUUUGCUUUCGAACAUAAAAGACACAACGAAACAAUUUAUGACCAUAAACUUAUGAAGAAAAAUCAGAAAGUCUGAAAAUUCAGCACGAAAAUAUUCUAGGUAACAACAUAAGGUAGUUUUAAAAAAGAUUAGAGACUGCUGAAUUACUAAACUAGAGCAAUUUUACGGAUUUCCUUUUCUCUUUCUUUUAUUUGCCAAAACCAGAGAAAUUUUAUGAAGAGCGGGAUGAGAUCGUCAAUCAGAUAGAUUUCAAGAGGAAUCUUUCCUCCUAUUAUAUGGUAUCCAUUUUUUAUUUCUGUUUCUUUGAACUGCGCAUUAUGUUCCUACACAUAGGGAACUCUACCACUUAAUCUCCUUGUCUAGUCCAUAAGUUGUUUCUCACAUACACUUGCAAAGUGCUUCUUCAUUUGCCUGGUAUUUUAUCACAAUUGAAUGGUAGUAACAUACACCAGUAGUUAGCAUCAUGCACUUGAUUUGAUGUAGCUGAAAACUCUGUCUAAGGCUAUUGGCUAAAAAAAAAAAAAAAAUUCUCCAACCAAAAAGAGAAAAAAAACAAACAAAAUUCAUAAAGGGCCCUAUCCAUGUUACGUUUUGGGGAAAAAUUUAAAAAAAAAGGGCCCUAUCCCACCUUAGUAUUCCCCUAUGAAAUCCUUAAAACUGUUCUAGCAUACUGCACAACUACUUGGUCGUUACUCCGAGGAUCUGAGCAAAGCUUGUGCAAAGCUGCAAGCUGCUCAUAAAGCUGCCAAGACUGCAUCUUUGUCGGUUAAUCACAUCGCUCCAUUCCUCCAAUCUUGAACUUAAAGCUGGGUUUUUUUCAAGCCCCUUUUGAAUUUUAGCUCAAAAGCUGCAGUCUUGAGCUUAAAGAUCGUUUUUUUUUUUUUUUAACACGAGUGAGCGGAUAGCUUGUGGAAUAUCUGAUAGAAAACAAUAAUGAUGAAGAAAAUUUCAUUCAACUGGACAUCAUGGUGGUGGUCUCUUCACAAGCAGAAUUACUUGGUUCUCAAGUUGGGAGUUUCAAUUCUUCUAAUUGGCCUUGUUUUUAGGCUUUUAUACCCUCUAUCCGGUGGUGUGUCUGAAGUACAAGACAUCCCUAUUCAGCAAACUGUUAGUUCAAGUACACCACCGCCUCUGGUUUCUGUCAGUUCACCUCUAAAUUCUAAUCAGCAUUCUCCGAAUGGGACUGAAACUUCAGAGAGGAGUUCAGAUUCAAGUGGGUUCAACGAGGAUGACAACGAAAGUCAAGAAAAUGGUCAGUCUUUUCCUUCCAUUUGACUGUUGCAUCUUAUCUUUCUUUCUCUUAGCAAUUGAAUUUUGCAACAGAACCACUUUAAGAAAUUUUAUUGGGUUUUCGAGAAAAGAUGGGAUGCGAUCAAUGAGUUGUCAAAGGUGAUGUCCAUAGUGAUGUUCUAAUUUGAUUUUUUGUGAUAUGAAUUUCAACAAUCAACAAAUCAGUUAGUUGGUUUUAGUGGAGAGAUUGGGUAUGAUGAGUAUAGGGUGGUUUAGGAUCCAUAACAAGGAGGUUUGUUUCUCUUAUUCAUUUAGAGUACAAAACUAUUCUUGCUGGCUUUGAAUGAAUUACAUCGUAUAAUUUUACUUUUCUUGGUAAAAGGUGGUUCUUUUGAUUUAAAUUAAUGUAUGCCUUGUCGUGGCCUGUUCUGCUGCCAUAUUAAUAGGCGAAUAUCUACAAAAUAUAUAAAGGAUGUUUCAAUUUGAUGUGCUGAAACUUGCAUGGUUAUUAUUCCAUAGAAGAUGCGGGAAGAUGUGAUCUGUUCGUUGGGGAUUGGAUUCCUCAUCCUGGGGGUCCUGUUUACACUAAUGAGACCUGUGACUGGAUUGAAGGCCAUCAAAACUGUAUGAAGAAUGGUCGACCUGAUACAGGUUAUCUUUACUGGAGGUGGAGUCCACGAGAAUGCGAGUUACCUCAACUAAAUCCUAAUAGGUUUCUUGAGUUGAUGAGAAAUAAAGCUUUGGCAUUGAUUGGUGAUUCCAUAUCACGCAACCACAUACAGUCAUUGAUCUGUGUUCUUUCAAAGGUAAAAUCUUUAGCUGUUAUGGAUUGGUACUGAAAACGACUGUUGGUUAUGUUUAUUUGUUCUGUGCUUUGGGAUCCCCUCUGUAAUUUUUCAAUUGCCAAAUUAUCCAUUACAUGAUCCACCGGGGCUCCUUAUAUUGUAAUUGGUGUGAUACUAGUGCAGAGUGGACUGUGAUAUCAUGAGGUACAUAUAGGAAAUUCAGGAAAACACAAGUCAUAAACAAUGUGAGGUAUAUGAUUCAUUUCUGUAUAUCCACACAUUGUAUGAUAAUGCACUCUUCCAUUUUUACGCAACUAAUUAAUUUCAGAGUUUGGAGUGAGAAGAAUAUCUUCAUUGAUGCUGCUGUGUGAUGGUUAGAUACCAUCAUCAGCUUGGAUAUUUCUGAUUUGAUGUUAUUUUAUUUGGUCAAGUUAUGUGGCAUAUUUACAUAUAUUUUCUUUAAUUUCUUUUCUUUGUUGGAAAAAUGAUGACAUAGUUUCAACAUAUCUUAGACCCCUGCACCAUGAGAAUUGGGUAGAAAUACAUAGUUGUUGGACCACUCUGUAGGUGACUAUAAACAGAAAAGGAAAUGUCAUUCUUCGUAAAUCAAUUGGAACCAAAAAUGGAAACAUUUGGCUAAGACACUUCUCUGUAAUUUUUUUUGGACACAGAAAGCAGCAAAACUGCAGUAAAUUAGGUCAGUAAUGAGGUUCACUACAUCCCUAUGGGGGUGAGAAACCUUUUCCUUAUGGGGAUUUACUGCACUGCUUUAGGCAUUUAUUUAUUGGAAUCUGAUUAGCAGCUGAGUGUUGCUUGGCUAGCUACUUGGUGAUUUUGUCUUCAUUCUGAUUCUAACUGCUUUCGUUUCAAUUUUUAUAAUCGUUGAUUGAAAAUUUUGGACGUUGGUGUUUAUUUUCAUCCUGUUUAUUCAUUUCCUAUGUGUAAGCUGUCAAGGUGGCUAUAUAUCUCGAGUCAGAGUUAUUUUUGGAGGAUUUGAAAGAUUUUUCAGUUAUACAUAGCUAAGUAUUUCGAGUUAUAUUCUUUUAGGCGGAAAAGGCCGUCCAAGUUUAUCAUGAUGAGGACUACAAAUCAAGAAGAUGGCUCUUCCCCUCCCACAAUUUCACCGUUUCAGUUUUAUGGUCUCCUUUCUUAGCACAAGCUGCCAUUUUCGAAGACUACAAUGGUGUUUCUACAUCAGAGAUUGAGCUGCAUCUUGACAAACUAGAUGGCACAUGGACUGAACAAUUCAAGAGCUUGGACUACAUCAUGUUUUCCAGUGGUGAAUGGUAUGCCAAAUCAGCAAUCUACUACAAGAACAACACAGUAUUGGGAUGCCAUUACUGUCCUAAGAGAAACUUGACGGAACGUGGGUUUGAUUUUGCUUAUCGCGAGGUGCUCAGGAACUUUUUUGACUACAUAACCGAGUCAAAUCACAAGGGGAUGAUCUUUUUCAGGACCAGCACACCGGAGCAUUUUGAGAACGGUGAAUGGUUUAGCGGUGGAACCUGCAAUAGAACUGAACCAGUGAAGGAAGGUGAGUUUCUGAGAAAUGAGUUGAACAGGAUUCUUCGAGAUAUUGAAAUAGAAGAAUUCAGGAAUGCAUCCACAAAAGCUUCUGAGAAAGGGGUGAAUCUCAAACUUUUUGACGUAAAUCCUCUCUCCUUGUUGAGGCCUGAUGGACAUCCAGGUCCAUACAGAUUCUUCCAACCAUUUGCUAAGGACAAAAAUGCAAAGAUAAUCAAAGACUGUCUACACUGGUGUUUGCCGGGCCCUAUAGAUACUUGGAACGAUCUGUUAAUGAAGAUGGUGGUCAAUGGCUGAGCGCACCUGAUGUCGUUUGUCAAGAAAAUGGUGGAUCAAGUUUGCCUCUCCACGCGAUGAAUAUAAAUGUUUGAGAUUCUUCAAACCUGAAAUUUGGGAGAGUUAUAAUUAGUCUGAUAGAUUAAUUUUUUUCUAAGCUAAAUAGUGUGUAGAAAUUCUUUGACACAAGUCGGCUUAUAUGUGAAGUGAAGCAUGUACGCAAGAAGAGGCUUUUAUAUUUGAAUAGAGAUACAAAGUAUAUGCUUCUGCAUUUAGCCCACUCUUUGUAAGGAAAUCUUUACACCAAAAAAUGAUCCCAGUUUGAAAACCAAAGAUUCAUCAAGUUUAUAUUUUUAUGCUUGUUGCUGAUUAUUUAUUUAUUUAUUUUGGGUCUCCCUUUCUACUGGAAUAAUGGAAGGCAAAAAAAAAAAAAAAAAAAGAAGGAAGGCAAACAUGACAUAGCAUAAAAUGGAAGCCCCGAAUCACCCAUUGUAAUACACCAACGGUCAAACUUUUAAAUGUGCACCAAUGGGACUCGAACCUUUUCUUCGUUAACAACAAUUGAUUUGAAUUUGAAACAAGUAACCGUUGGAAUCUGCAUAUAAAACAAAACCACUCUCGGGAGAAGCCACACUCACUGUUAGCAACGUCUCUCUCUUUCUCUCUCUCUCUCUCUGAAACCAUCCAUGGCUGCAAUUGCAGAGAUGCCUCUUGUUUCUGAACCCGCUCCCACGAAGAAAGGGAGAUCCAGAAGAGCACUAAAGCAGAAAACCCCAUCGUCCAGCGAGGCCAACAUUGUGGCCGGAACUGUCCCUCAGCCAUCUCCGGUUGCGCCACCAUCUGAGAACUGUCCCACCAAAGAGAACCAUGAAAGCCUCUCCUCACAGCUUUCGCCCCAGAAAAAAUCAAAGAGAGGGGCUCCAAAGGCUUCCAAGCAACAACCAGAACUGUCCUUUGAGAAAGAAUUGCUGGAAAUGCAGGAAAAGCUUGAGAAACUGACGCUUGAGAAACAGCAGACUGAGGAGCUCUUGAAGGUUAAAGAAGAAGCCCUCAAACAAAAUGAGGAAGAGAAGGAGAAGCUGCAUGUCGAACUCAAGAAGCUACAGAAAGUCAAGGAGUUUAAGCCCACCAUGGUUUGUUUUCUGUUGUGUCGUUUUGAAUUCUUCUGCUUUUGGUUCUCAUUUCUUGUUCUGAUCGCCCCUUUAUUUACGAUUCACAAGAUCUGAUGAAAGGGUUGAUUUUGCUAUUUUUUUUUCAAAAAUUUCCGAUUUUUAGGUUUUAAUACAAAGAAAAUAUUUGGUUGAAAUUUUUUUUUUUUUUUUCCAAAUCGAAGUUGAUGCCACUGCAAAGACAAAAGGCGACAUUAGAAACAGCGGAAGCUGCAAUUGUUAUCUUAUUUUAAAGUUCUCCAUUCUGUUGAACCUUUUGUCAGACCUUACCCAUGUUGCAAGCUUUGAAAGACAAUGAUCAAGAAAAGAAAGGGAAGAAGAAGGCGGAUCCUGCGACAAAGAGACCAUCUCCUCCUUACGCCUUGUGGUGCAAAGAUCAGUGGAAUGAGGUGAAUGCGCACUGAGGUUUCUUUAAUUCCCGUUUUACCAUGUUAAAGUAUCGGAUGACUUAGCUGGAUCAAUUUCUGAUGUGAUAAUCUUUGGUUACGUAGGUGAAAAAAGCAAAUCCGGAAGCAGAUUUCAAGGAAAUAUCAACUCUGUUGGGGGCAAAAUGGAAGACACUCAGCACAGAGGAGAAGAAACCUUACGAGGAGAGGUACCAAGAGGAGAAGGAAGCUUACUUGAAAAUUGUUGGAAUUGAGAAACGCGAGCACGAAGCAAUGAAGCUUUUGGAGGAAGAGCAAAAACAGAAGACUGCCAUGGAGUUGCUUGAACAAUACAUGCAGUUCAAACAGGAAGCAGAGAAAGAAAAUAAGAAGACUAACAAGCAAGUUCCAAUUAAAUUGCUUUUUUUUAAUGCUAUAAUAAAUUAUAGAUGGCCGAAAAGGAUCCUUUAACUUCUAUACUGAUUUUGUCUGCUUUGAUUUCUGUAUUUAGGAAAGAAAAAGAUCCUUUAAAACCAAAGCAACCACUCACGGCUUUCUUCUUGUACUCGAAUGAGCGACGCGCAACUUUGCUUGCAGAGAACAAAAAUGUGUUGGAGGUGAUUGAUGAAAUGCAGCUUGAUUAUAUGCUUUGUUAAUAAAAAUUGUAGAAUUCAUCAUUGAGAAAUUGGUGGGAUAUGUUAUUAGGUGGCAAAGGUCUUAGGUGAAGAAUGGAAGAACAUGACGGAGAAGCAGAGAGCACCUUACGAGAAGGUAUUACUCCCCUGCCUAACAUGCAUACCUUUCUUCUAGAUGCAGUCCUUCUGUUUGUUGGAGAUUUGAGGGUUUUUGCGUAUUGAAAAAAUUCUGCAAUGAUAUCUAGAUUGCAAACAAGAACAAGGAGCAGUAUUUGCUUGAAAUCGAGCUCUACAAGCAGAGGAAAGAGGAAGAAGCUGCUAAUCUCAAAAAGGAAGAGGAAGAGCUGAUGAAACUUCAAAAGCAGGAAGCGUUGCAAUUGCUCAAGAAGAAAGAGAAAGCUGAGAACAUUAUUAAGGUUUGUGUUACAUAUAUUAUUUGUCAUGUUGUCCCUCCCUGAUUUAUUUGAAGCAUAUGAAAACUUGUAAGCCAAUAUAAAUAUAUAAUAUAUAAUUGAGAGAUGCAUUGCUCAUUAACAAUUUAGAAAACAAAAGAGAAGCGCCAAAAGAAGAAGGAAGAGAAGGAUGUUGAUCCUAACAAGCCAAAGAAGCCAGCAUCUUCAUUCCUCCUCUUCAGGUUACUACUCAGUCUCUCAACCAAACGAUUGAUAAAGAGUGUGAUAGUUCUUUAACGACUCAAUUGGAAUGAACGCAUUUUGUUCUAUGAUUUUUACUAAUGCAGCAAAGAGGCCAGGAAGACUUUGUCGGAAGAAAGGCCUGGGAUCAACAAUUCCACCCUUAAUGCCCUCAUUUCGGUUAAGUGGAAGGUAUAUAUUGUACACAAAGCCCCGCCCAGUAUGUGUUCUUUAGCUGUAUUUAUUUUAUAUGUUUACCAGUUAGUUCAGGGAUUUAUUUGUUUAAUUUGCAAUCCUCAUAGGAACUAAGUGAGGAAGAGAAACAAGUUUGGAAUGAGAAGGCUGCAAAAGCUAUGGAGGCAUACAAGAAGGAGGUGGAAGAAUACAACAAAAAAUUGGUGGCAGAGAACCAGAAAAACUAGAUAUAGUGUUGGUGCUGGUGUUCAACUUGUUCUGUUGAACAUCUUAGAUGCAUGCUAAUUGUUUCUUCUUCAAAUUUAUGUGUCUUUAGACUUUAAUGGGUAGAGUAGCCUAUAAUGAACGGGUGCAGUCUGUGAGAUAUUUGUGCUUUUGGGAAAUGUUUUCAACUGCUGACAAUUGAACAAUCAGGUAGGAGGAGAAGUAUGGUAGUUGGGUGGGUAAUCUAUGAGAUACUUGUGCUUUUAGGAAAUGUUUUCAAUUGCUGACAAUCAAAUGAAUGCUAGUACAAAUUUGGUUGUGUCACGAAGGUUUUGACAUUUCUUGGAUUGCCAACUAGUCAAUUUGCCUAUUGUGUUGUUGUACUCGUGUAAUAGGCCGUUGAAGGCUUUGCUGGUACAAAUAGAGAUAGUUGAAUUCCAACUGAGCUCCAAAAAUAAACGAUUCUUGGUUACUUCCAUCCAAAUCUAGGAUUGGCAAUGGGCAGGAUAAUACCUUGCGCUUAUCCGAAUCCGGCCCGUUGGUUAAUUCAAUUAUAUGAUCGUGGAUUAUUUGUUAGGGUUUGAUUUUAAUGAGGAGUUUUUGAUGGGCAUAUAUAUACAGUAAGAGGAUUCGAUAACACAUUUUUUUAAUCUUAUAACCUAAUAAGAUACAAUUCUAACCCAACACAAAUGAAGAUAAUUAUGAUUUAAAACAAAAGAAUAUUGAUUUAAUCCUUCAUUAGUUGAAUUUUUCUCGUGCAAACUCUAUGUCUUUACUAAGUUUAAAACUCAAUACACAGUGUGCUAACAUGGUGUAUGUAUUGAUAAAAGGCUACUUUUUUUUUUUUUAACUAUUAAGUUUAGUGAGUAGAAGCAUCCAAUAGGUAAUCCGAACUUGAAAGAGAGAUGGUUUUGUAAUGGAAAUUAAAACCCAUGGAGUUAGCCUAUAGGAUCAAGCUUCUAUCCCUAAUUUCCUAUCCAAAUCUUCAAUUGUAAGUGAUUAAUUUAGAACCAUCCCUAAGGCUUUACAAAAAUCCAAGUAGGCCUGUCAACAGGCCGGGCCUGAAUUGAAAUGAAUAAAUCCGGAUCCGUUAUACUGCAUUAGUUCCGGAUUCGACUCGAAUAUCCGACGGGUCCCUGUUGUUUCUAUACGGGUCUCGGAUCUGGGUCGGGCCUACCCGGCCCGUCGAAAACCCGUUCAUGCUACAUUUUUUUGGGCGGGAGGCAGGUGGUAUAAUGAAAACAAAAGCAAAGACAAUUACGCACAGAUCUUUUUAAUAUUAAGGGAUUACAAGAAGACAAUAAGCAGGUUGGUUAUUUAUCAGUCAUUUGUAUUGGCCGGCGUCAUAUCUUUGAUUCGUAAAACUUACUGGCCAGCAAAUCAGCAAGGCUUCCCAUGGGCCAUGGGAUAAUAAUCACAGACAGCAGAAAUAAGUAAUGACAGGAACAAGAUAGUCGGAUAUGCUGCUCACUAAACCCACUGGCACGAUUCUCCUCCCAAACUCGCCCCUCCUCAAACUGACCUUCCGAAACCUCUUCAAUGCACGCAUCCUACCAUACAGCAGCACCACUUUCUCUGUAAACCCCAAACGGCUCUCGCCCACCACUGCCACCGCUAAUCUGAGCACCUGCCGAAGGGUCAAUGCUGUGACUCGGCCCAACCGCCCUUAUGAUCACUACCAUCACAAGAUACCAGUGGGACUGCAAGAGCUGGGCUUCCUUGGAGCUGGCCAGAUCCGGCGGUUUCUUUGGAGCUGGAGAUGGAGAGAGUCAGACAGCGUCGCCGGUUUCCCGCGGACUGGUCACUUCACUGGCGUCUGGCGGAGGCAGCGGGAGGCAAGGCAAAAGAAAAAAGAGAGUGGGGACCGAGGGGAAGAAGCCAGAAGGGAUGUGCGGUGCGGGCAGUGCGGCGAUGGGGAGUGGGUAUUAGGGUUAGAAAAAUUUGGGAAUACAUUUAUUGAUAUGAAUAAUUAUGAUAUAUAGGUAUAUAUUUUUUAAUUACUAAUUAAUUAAAACGGGUCUGAGUUAGAUACGGGUCGAAAUAACAUGUUUCGUAUCCGAUUCGUAAAUUUAUUAGAUAAAAUGGGUUCGAAUCCGAAUCCGAAUCACGGGUCUACAUCUCUAUCCGUACUCGACAAAUGUUGGCAGGGGACGCGGGACUGGAGCAGUUGUCAGAACAACCGCUCAGAAAGGUGUAACACCAUUUGUACAUGGUGUAACAUCAUCUGUACAAGGUGUAACAAUAGAAUAACAGCGAGUAACAAUAGAACAACAUUUCGGUGGGUCCCACACGGUGUGAAAAUCGAGUUACAAGACGUGAUAUGAGCCGCACAAAUUUUUGAGAUCUCAUCCAAAUCAUGAACUGCUUGGAUCUGACAACCGUCCAGGCCCCUCGUCCGUUGAGAGGUCGGUCUGGACCGGACCGUUGACAGCCCUACCUCCAAGGACCCCAAAAAAAGAAAAAAAAAAAAUUCUCCUAGACCUCCACGCAUUGCUAGGUCCAAGCGUGCAUGUUUGGAGAGUCAUUUUCUAAAGACUAAGCCCAAUUGUGAAUUUCCCAUCUAACCCAUUUCCCCAUUGUUACACGCGUGCUCCGGAGUUCGUCUAUUCUUUUCCUCCGGCGACCCAUAUAUACCGCCACCUUGCCUUCCUUCCAUGAAUUAUUCCUUUUUCGUCUCUUUGCCGCCAUUCUUGUGUUCAGAGUGAUUGAUUGCGGUAUGUUCUCCGAUUACAGUUAGCAUUUUGAGAAUCUAACUUAGAGCUUAUUCACUUCAAUCUUUGAAAGUUGCACCGCUAAAACCCUAGGUUUGGCACUAGUUAGGAUUCGUUUGACUAUUUGAUGUAUUUCUCUUGGAUAUCCUAAUAAUUCUUAUGACUUUUAUACACUCGAUUAAGUGUGAUUUUCUUGCUCUAAAAGUUUGAGAACUAAACCGAGUUCUAGAUCUUACUAUUCUGCCAGCUGCAUUUUAAAUUGGUUUUGACUUAAUGAGAUGUUUGCUUAAUUUAUGUUGCAUGAGUUUUGUCGAAUUUUGUGCUAUUUAUUAUGUAUUUGAUUAUGUUAUAUUUUUUAUGCUUGUAUAGGCGAAUAGUUCGAAUGCAUUCUCUUUCUUUUGUUAAAAUGAUGUUUCUGCUUAACUGAGUUGUUGCCCUUGAGUUCAAUGAUGUUCAAAGCCUCUGCUUGUCGGAUGCCACUAAUCAGUAACCUACAGAAAAUGUCGGAACGCUUUCCUUUUACAUGGUGACCGUUGUUCUGAAUAUUGAUCCUUUGGAUUUAAAAUUCAUCUACAAUUUUUUGUAUAUUAAUCCUCUCAUUUACGUAGGAGUACUUUUUUCUGAUUUACAUUGUUGCCUUGGGUUUUAACGCAGACCAAUUUGUUGAAACUUGUGAUUUGAUAACGUUCUGAAUUAAUCCUACCAACAUAAACAAUGCAUCCCCCCAAGGCAAAGGCAACCCAGAUUUCCCACGCCUGUCGUAGUACUAUUAUUAUGAAAAACUUUUAGUAGUGAUUUGUUUUAUUUGAUUUAUAUGGGCAAGGUCGUCAACACACAGGCAAAAUACCCUGCAUGGUCUUCCUCUUCCUCAUCCGAGGGAGGUACAGUAUUUUUAAGUAUUUUUGUUUCUAUUUCCCUCUUAUCAUUUUUUCCCAUAUACACUGCUUUGGGAUUGCCGAUUAGUUUAUCCAAUCCUGGUCUAGUUUCAAUCUAGUUAUUAUUAUUCUAUUCGGGUUUCAUGUAUUGAGUCAAGUCUAAAUUUAACGGUUCUAAAAGUUCUGAUUAGGUUUAAGGGUUUGUUUCUAGGUUGUUGAAAUAGAGGGCGAAAGGAAAAUUUAAGGGUAUUAUGCCUCGUUACCGUGGCGAGACUCCUGGUGUUCGAGUUUAUACAGUUUGCGAUGAAUCUAAGUACCUCGUUGUCAAGAAUGUUCCAGCAUUGGGUUGUGGUGAUGAAUUGUUGAGACUUUUCUCAACAUAUGGGCAGAUUGAAGAAUGCAAACCAAUGGAUGCUGAAGAUUGUGAGCCCUUUACCGAUGUUUACUGGAUUAAGUUUCAUCAGGUUGACAAUGCUAGGUUUGCUAAAAGGAAGUUGGAUGAGUUUGUUUUUCUGGGGAACAGGCUGCAGAUUUCAUAUGCACCUCAUUUCGAGAGCUUGUCCGAUACCAAGGAGAAAUUAGAAGGGAGGAGAAACGAAGUUCUUGCACGGUUGAAACCUAGGAGCUCCAAUGCCUCUGCAGCGUAUGGUCAUGGGCCAUCAGCUAGAGACCAGUCAUUGGGGUUGCAACAACGGGAAUUUGGAGACUCUCAUUACACUGCUAGAAGUGGAGGUUCUGCUUCCGUGACUCAUGUUUCUUCUGACAAGGAGUAUUUCCCAUUGGAAUCUAUGAAUCAAACAGUUCGCCUGGUUAGAGAGAAACUUAAUGAGAUACAAUCAAGCGCUGACAAUUCAGAAGUUCAGUCGUCUAAAAGACCACGUGUUGACAAUAGGCGGAGAAUCUAAUGUUCUUGAAAGAGUUCUGUCCUAUGUCCGAGCUCAGGUGAUAUCAUGAUGUGGGACAAAUUUGUUUAAUAUUUACUUCUUUGGUAGGAUCCUCGUGACUGCUGUAGAGAUGUGAAAUUGCAUUUGGAGGUCAACAAAUGUAGAUCUGCUGGUCCUCUUUAGGAAAAGGACAAAGGGCUGCAACAAUUCUAAGUUGCUAAGGGCUUCGACCUUUUUCUCCUGUUUAAGUUGAAAUCUUUUAAAUCAUUGGAAAUCUCUCCAUUACCAUUGAUGUUUUGUUAUGUUGGUGGACAUGGGUGAGGAUGGGGGAAGGGGCCACUCAUAUACGUGCAAAGUCCUUUAUAAUCAUAAGAAGUCCCUCGACUGGGAGUGUGGGGGAACUUUGCUGCUUACUUCUUUUUGUACUUUGUAAAAUAUAUUGAGAGGUCAGGAUAAGAGAUCUCCGAAAGUCUGGCAAAACAAACUUUCUGAGUUGCAAAACAAAUUUGUUAACUGUGGAUGGUAUCGAGGAAAAAGUAAUAGUACAUGCGUAGAAUGGGACUUCACAAGCAGGAGAAAGGUGAUGGCGCUUCAACAGGAAGCCCUGCAUAUGUUUCACAGAAAGAGAAGCCCUGCAUAUGUUUCAAAGAAAGAGAAGCCAAAAAACCUUAAGGUCUGUUAAUAAUGAUUGUUCCCUUGUUUUCUGAUUAAUUUUAAGCUUCUGAAAUUAGCUGAGCGAGGUGAAUUGGCAUGCUUUACUACAAUGCAGGAGAAGUGCACAAGGAAGAAUGCAUAGAAGGUCCUAACUGCCAAGACACAAACCAAGAAGGCAACAUGUUCCUUCCUUUUCUGGCAGUCAACCAAAAUGAACUGGAAUAAGGAGAUUUUGUUGGAAGAAUUGCCUGAAAUCAACAACUGAACUCUUGAUGUGCUCAUCGGACCCGGUUACAUGGAAGGUUAUGCUUAGCAGAAGGAAAAGUUGGAAUGAUUAAAGCUGCAAAAGCAAUCAGGCAUGUGACAAGGAAUCGAUGGAACACGAGCUCUGGUGGUAGACAAUCCCAGGGGAUUUUGCCGUUUGUCUGCAAUUUGUUCUGUUGGCCAUGUGGGCUGCUAACGAACCAAAAGUUCCGCUAGUCUUAAUUGCUACCAACCAAAGCUCGAUAUCAAUACAGUUUACUUUUGCGUUCGAAUACAUAAAUUUGGCAUUGCUCGUAAUCGAGCUUAAUGCUGAUGUUACAUUUCUGUACACAAUCAUUUGGUUAGACAGUUUGAGCACAACUUCAAGGAGUCCUUAAAGUUCUACAGUGGCUUUUUCUUCAUAAAAUUUUUUUGCCAGUUAUUAAGAAUAUCAGAAACAAAAAAUGAAAGAAGUUGAAUUGUGAGCUUUGCAGUGCGAAUUGCCAGCCUUUUUUUUUCAAAUUAUUAUAAAUUAAAGCAUAGAAGCGUUAAAAUUGGGAACUAGAGAAUCAGCAGCAGGCCCAGGAUUCUUCACUAGCUAUAUAUAUACAUGGCAAAUUCCUAUAGGGCUGCCCAAGGCCCACAAAACCAGGUUAAUGAAAAAGGUAUAGGUUGGUGUUCUGUGACUUUACUGUCGGCGAUUCCAAAAGAUGAGGUAGAGGUACGUUUCGCAGUUACUAAUAGUCGCGCGACAUGCGCCGUCGAUGUCAAUGCCUCCCCUCCUAAAUGUGCCGCCAAUGUCAACGCCUUCUACAAUCUUCUCGUAACAGAUGGAUGCCAACUCCCAACUGCAUAUACCAAAUUAGGACUACUAAACUUCAAUCGUUCGUUCAUGCUCUACUUGUAACGACUCACCAAGCAGAUCUAAAAAGAGAUCGAAAUAAGGAAGCUAGGUAGGCUAUUAGUUAUUCUACUUCUAGCCGAAGGCAACAAAAGCAAGCCUUUCCAAAAUCGCCGGCCACUCAGAGCUUGAACCGGAAAGAUGGGCCGACGGUCCUCCGACGGAGCGCCAGAAGAAGGGAGUAUUCCUUUGCUCGUAUCAGGUAAAACUGCUUGCUGACUUUCGAUUCUUAUUUAUUUAUUUAUUAUAUAGCUGUCAAUUCCUCUCUUUUUCAUACAUCAUGAAACAAAAUUUAGGAGGGGCAAGAAAUGAUGCUAAGAAAUAAGAUGCACCCACCACCUAGAGCUAGAAGCCUAAAAGCCUAAAACCGUAAAGCCCCAAAUCCCAAUCCAUUCAUCAUAGUGGGAAGUGGGAACAAACCAUGCGUUGGGGCCUGCGGUUCUGCCUCUGGUCUUCGCUCUUUCACCUCAUCAUCAUGUUUUUGGACGUCACUUGAAAUUUGUUUGUUACUUGCUUGUGGGAAAUCGACAAUAAGAGGUGCCGUGGCCGCAAUGAUCGUCUCCGUCUCAUGGAGGUUGAGUUUGUGUUUGCCGGGUUGCCAUCGUGAAUUUGGACAAAAAACCAAGAACGCAAGGCUUUUGCUUCUCCGCUUCCCCCUUUGCCUUCCUUUUCCGCGUAUUAUUCCUUGUCGUCGUCAGAUCAGACGGACCCAUCAUCACAGUACUAAUAUUAUUGUACACCACUCAUUUUAUUUUUGGUUGGAUUCGGCAGAAACUGUAGAAUAUAUAAUCCAGGAAAAAGAUGCUAAUUACAGCUUCACUCUCUAUUAAUUUGGCAUGGGCAUGGGAAGAGUCCUUGGGGCGAGUGAGGAGUACUGCAUGGGGGAUUCUUUACUUUGAUUACUGGUAGUAUUUGCUUGCUAAGCCACCACCCACCAUAAAACAACUCUCUCCAGCUCCUACGAGCUACAAAUUCCCCCCGGAAAACUGAGAGAUUCUCUUUCUCAUUUUCAGCAACUCAAACCAUUCUAAGUUAGGGCGUAAAUUGAGUUAAACCAUACAAGCCUUAAUAAUUGAAAGUCUUCCAUUUUGUCUCUUCUCUCACAAAAUUAGAACAACGUUAGCAUAGUGACAAUUGAAGACUACCUAAAAAAUGAUGAUGAUACUAAUAAUAAUAAUAGCAGCGCAACACUGCCUAAUCCGUCUCUUACUAUUAUUCUAUCUAUUUAUUCCUAAUAUUUCAAGUGUUGUAGUUUCAAUAGAUAUAUGGUAACUUUCAAUUUUCAAAUAUUAUAUUGUAGUGCUCCUAGAAUUAAAAGGGUUUGUUUUCCGCCCAUGCAAUUGCUUGUGCGCGACAACUAAGAUGGCUUGGUUUCCCACCCAUUGGCUUACGGCUUCGUCAGGCUUCUCACAUCAUGCCACUAUAAUAGAGGUCAACCAUUUCAUUGUAGAGUCGUCGUUCUCAUUGAUGACAACAGUGAAAAUUUCCCUUUCGGCAAUUCCGUCAUCCCAGCUGCCUCGUUCUAAUCUCAUCCCCUCCUAUAUUGCUAUACUCUGAUUAAAAAUAAAAAAUAAAAAGGACAUAUUCUAUAUAUAAACUACUAGUAAUUAAAGCAGGAUGUAGAUGCAUACUAUAUUCGUAUUCCCAUUCCCACUGGUGGGGCUUCUUUUCUAUUUUGUUUUUUCCUGAGACUCAGACAGCGACGAGCCACCCCAUAUCCUUCCUGCCUUUCCUUCGACCGCGAUCAAUCAGCCCCGUAUCCUCCUUCUUAUAUAUUCUUCUCCUCUGACGACCCAGUGACAUGCACGAUCAACUGAUAUAAAUUUAAAACCGGCAUACAUAUAUUUGCACGUACUGAUACGUUCUGUAAUACAUGGCGCCAGAAAAUCCACGGGAUGAUCAAUCUAUACCGGAGAAAAAUCGGGAGCACGACGCCGGCGCAGUUUUUGUUUUGGAGUCCAAAGGUAAGAAGGAUUUUGUGUGAAGAUCAAAUGCAAGAUUAGUCUGUACUAACUAGUUCUAGCAUUCUUCUAUUAAUCAGAGGAUUCUCCCUUUUUCCGGUCUGGCCAGGGGAGUGGUGGCAUGCGGGAUUUCAUCUGACGACAGCGAUAGUGGGCCCCACAAUACUGACGCUGCCGUACGCAUUCCGAGGUCUUGGAUGGGGUCUGGGCUUUUUCUGCUUAACGGUGAUGGGGGCGGUUACGUUCUACUCUUACUAUCUCAUGUCCUUGGUGCUUGAUCACUGUGAGAAGUCUGGACGUCGCCACAUCAGAUUCCGCGAACUCGCUGCUGACGUCUUGGGUACCUCAUCUUUUGCGCAUUAGCUCAUCUCUCUCUCUCUCUCACACACACACACUCGCACGCACCAGUACUCUGUUUCUGAUGUGAAGUUUUUAAAUGCCUUGCCUCAGUUCUCGACCUGUGGAGUCCUUUUUGAGAAGAAAUGUGCAGCUAUACUGGGACCUGUUGAUGGCCUUUUUCUGGGUGCAAUUUGUUAUUUAAGUGAAUGAGCUUUCCUUUCUAGUUUUGGAUUAGUAGGAAGGUUAUGGAAUUUACUUUUAACCUGACAUAUCUGGUGAUAAUCGUAGUGUUCAUGGUUUGUUGAGAUACCAUGGAGUAGAUUUUUGAAAGGGUCUUAUGGGGAUAACAACUAAUUACUCUGAGCAAUAACGCCUUGUGCAGCGUCCUAUGAAUGCCUCUUGGAGAAACUUAGGCUGCGCCAUUAUAUUGUUGGAGCAUCAAUACAUGUUAUGUUUCAGUCGCUAAUUGGAGCCGUGUCUUUUACAUUUCAAACAAUUUUGCUUUCACGUUCUGCAUUUUUGGCAUUCUGACAUUGAUGAGAGCAUUUGGCUGUCAACAAAUUAAAGUUUGCUAAUUCUUUUGCUGCUUGCUCCUGCUUAUUGGGAAGAAGUGUAUCGGUAAUUCUUGACUAAAGGCCUUGCGUUUCACUCUGUAGGAUCGGGAUGGAUGUUUUAUUUUGUAAUAUUCAUUCAGACAGCCAUCAACACAGGCAUUAGCAUAGGAGCAAUUCUGCUUGCUGGGGAAUGCCUACAGGUAUAGCAACAUAGGUAUCCACUUGCUUCUUGUAGCGUGCAGACAGAUUAAACAUAUGGUAUUGGAAGCUUUAGAGGACUUCUUAAUGCGCUCUGGCUAUCUUUAUUAUCAUAAUUGGCAGUUCAAUUUGAUCUAUAAUCUGUCAUUGCUGCCUCUGUAUUUGGGGGUUGUGCAAGUAAGCUUCAUGUGCCGGACAAGGGGGUCUGUUGAUUUUGGUUUGAGACCUUUAAUUGCAAAAACAGGGAAUAGAAAUCUGUUAACAGAACUCAGAAUUAGUGGUAAUACGAAAUGGCUGAAAAAAAAGGGCUUUUUGUGAUCGAUACCUUGCUGAUGGCAACUUUAGGUGCUAACUUAGAAAAGCUUAAAUUUAUUAAUGAACAGAAAUUUGUUGAUAAAACUUAAAGAAGGUUUCAAUUUGUGAAAAUUCAACUCAUUAGUGUCUGCAUGUCCUGCAUAUCUCUUGUAGUUCAAAACCAUGUUGGAAAUCAAAAUUGAGUGAUUAUGCUCUUCCAUGGCACAAUGUGUCUUCUAGGCACAGACGUGAAAACAUCAUGAAGUUCAUAACUGGGAUAAAGACAUGUUGGAACAUAAUUACUUUCUGGUAUGAAGAUUGCUCAAUCUGCUCUGAAUAUGGUUUCUUUGCUCUGCAUAAGUAUCGAUACCUAUUUUAUCACUAUGCAUAGAUUUAUUAACAAGCCAGUAAUUCUUUUAAACUGUCUUCUCUUGAACUGACACCUGCUGUUGUUCUUGUUACAAGAUCAUGUACUCAAACCUUUCUCCAAAUGGGUCACUGAAGUUGUAUGACUUUAUAGCAAUGGUGACUGUAGUGAUGAUACUCCUCUCCCAGUUUCCAACCUUCCACUCCCUCAGGCAUGUUAAUCUUGGUUCGCUGCUUCUGAGUCUGGGCUACACUUUGCUUGUAGUCGGUGCUUGUAUACAUGCAGGUAGAUCCUUCUUUUAAUCUCUACUUGUGCUGAUUGAUUAUACAUAUAUUUUGCAGCUGACACAACAAAGUAAUUGACUAAAUAGUGAAAGCAGUACUUGGUGUUUUGAGAAAGAUGCCUGUGAUAUGAAUGACUGUUGCACUUUGAAGAGUGUUGUAGCACACAUAACAUUCAUCCUCUUUUUUCACCUAAUCCUGAGUGAAGUAAAAUUUCAGGAGCAGUAAAACAUAUGUGAAAUCCAUUACCACAAACAUAUGAAAAUCCAUUACCACAAUUGAAGCUAUACUUUGGACCUUAAUCUGGAUUGAACCCAUGUUUUUGCAACGUACACCAAAUGAUUUGCAAAGAGGCUUAUACUCUCUUAAAUUAUGUCUUUGGAUUCCUGAAAAUGAUAUGCAUGUUGCUGCCAGCUGCAAAAUCAGAAAAAUUAGAAGUUAAACAAUACAUAUGAUCCUGGUGGUGAUCUAAUUUGUUUCAGUAUUAUGCAGGAACAUCCAAGAAUGCACCUCCUAAGGACUAUUCUUUAGAAGGCUCAACAUUGUCUAGGAGUUUAAAUGCUUUCACUUCAAUAUCUAUCAUAGCUGCUAUUUAUGGAAAUGGGAUACUACCCGAAAUUCAAGUAAGUUUUCCUGUUUAAGCCAUGGUUCUAGGGUAUCAAUCCAUUUGUGCUUUUGGGCCAACAAACUCAUUUCUUUCACUAUUAGUAAAUGUCAUGGGGAACUGUUAAAUGAGGCAUUUCAUGUUGCAGUUGGAUACAGUUAUGGAGACCUCCUAAAUGGGUAUAUAAGCUGUCGUCUGCAUCCAUUUACUUCAAUGAAACAGGCUUAAGAAUUCUGAUCCCAUUAGUAUCUAGCUGCAAAAAAAUUACAAUCAGUGGUUGGUCACAUACGUGUUAAGAUCCAUUUAGUAGAAAGUAGUCGCCUGUUGAGAUUCAGUUUUUUGAAACAAUCAAUGCAGGCUACUCUAGCUCCACCAGCCACUGGGAAGAUGUUUAAAGGUCUUGCAAUGUGCUAUGCUGUAAUCUUUGUGACUUUCUACUCUGCUGCUGUUUCGGGAUACUGGGCAUUUGGGAAUAAAUCGAACUCAAACAUUCUCAAGAGCUUGCUGCCAGAUGAGGGACCUUCCUUGGCUCCCACAUGGGUAUUAGGUCUUUCAGUUGUCUUCAUUCUCCUUCAACUAUUUGCCAUUGGCCUGGUAAGCUCAUCAUGCAUUUUUACAGCAAAAUCCUGAUUACUUGUUGUAAUUCAUUUAGAACUGCGCUAGGUGUUCCAUUUGAUUAAAUGCUUGCAUCUUUGCCAAGUAUAUCACCAUCUGCUUUAACUUCUCUGAUAUAUGUAUAUAUAUGACAGGUCUAUUCUCAAGUAGCUUACGAGAUCAUGGAGAAGAAAUCAGCUGAUGUAAAGAAAGGAAUUUUCUCCAAAAGAAAUCUAAUCCCAAGGAUAAUUCUUCGGACACUCUACAUGCUAUUUUGUGGGUUCUUUGCAGCCAUGUUACCAUUCUUUGGGGACAUCAAUGGUGUUGUGGGAGCCAUUGGAUUCAUCCCGCUAGAUUUCAUACUGCCGAUGCUUCUUUACAAUAUGACACACAAACCCUCAAAAGCAUCCCUCAGUUUUUGGAUCAACAACUCCAUCAUCAUCAUCUUCACAGGUGUAGGACUUUUGGGCUCAUUUGCUUCAAUUAGGAAAUUAGUUAUAGAUGCUAAAACGUUCAAACUCUUCAGCAGUGAUGUAGUUGAUUAACUCCUCCUAUAUGCUACGGGAGUAAUUUUAAAAAGUUAUAGAACUGAAAGAGACACUUCACAAUACGAAUCAUAAUCUGCUACUCCUUCAUGUUAUUGUUUCACUAACGGCGGAAGAUAUAGGGAAACUGCGAGUUUAGUUUACAGCAAUCAUGCAGAAAUUAUGGUCAAAUGAAUCAUGAAUCCUUUCUGUGGUGUUUCAAUUACUUUUCCCUCAAACCAGAUCAUUCACCAGGUGUACAUGGAAUUUUAGGAAUCGACCAUGACCUUGUGUAGGGUCCAGCCUCUUUUUGUCUCUUCCCUUAUAAAGUAUGUUGUGCAAGCUCCAAAUUCUGUGCUGUGAUAUUUUCUUAAUGAAUCUAGCAUUAUGUAGUAAGCGAGUUAACAGGAGGGAGGAGAAUCAUAAACAACUGCUAAUGCUAGGAAAGCAGCUUAUGAUCCCCGCCAACUCCCCCACUUCCACCUUUCCCAACCCACAAAACAAAGCCUUACUCGAGCGUCUAUGCCAGAGUUUAUGUUAAUUGUUAAUUUACUGAAAAGAGAGUAGAAUAACCCCAUUGGUAAUCAGGGUGAAAUUGUUACUUCGGCAUUACCAGUAUUCUUGAUUAUAAAGAAUUCGUGGCAGGACGGCAAAUUUCUAAACAAAAACUAGUAAUAAGAGUUAUAAAGAGGCAUGAAACUACAAAGAAAAACCCACAAUUGAUCUUAGGUCGCUGCUAGGGUAGAGAUAUCUAUUCAAUCUUUAUUGAAAAAAUCUUCCAUUUGUCAUUAUCCAAAGAGAAAUAAAGCAAUCAAGGUGGUGGCGUGCAACAAAUCAGCAUUUGCCAGCAGGCCCCAAUACUUCAGCCUCAACUACCGAUAUAUACCAUAGAUAGGUUUCAGUCCAUCCAGAAAAAGACUUCUAUGGCAACCAAAUUACACGUUCGUGCUCGUCACGAGUUUUGUUCAUUUGGGUCAAACUCAAAGCAGCUGAGCCAUGAAUAGAUAAAGAUUAAUAAAGCAAAUCUCGAGGAAAGCAUGCAUUCAUUGCUGUCCCCCUUAUUUUGUGGGUCUUGCUCAUACUAAUGGCAACAAGAAUCCAGGUCAUUGUGCUCAGCAUCGUGCAAUUUUACAGAUUGAGCAGUAUUCUUUAUGAAUUUGAUGACGUGAAGUCUUUUAGAAACCUGAUCGCCCGAUUUCUUAGACUAAACAUAAACUUGGACCCUUCGCAGGGAAGAUUAUCUUUUAAUCAUUAUGGUCAAUCAGUGUUAAUUAUUGUCUUAUAGAAUAAAGAUUUGUGCCCAUAGCAUUAAAUGCCUAGUCUUCCUUCUCAAAGAACACUAAUUAAGUCUAAACAAAUGUUUCCAGAUGAAUUUUAUUUGGUUAAAUGCUUUUUAAGCGUCAUCGACCUAUAGAAAUAUGCAAGUGCGCAUUUAUUUUACAAGAAUCAAGAGUACAUGGAAAAAUUAGCUGACUAUAUUGAAACUCUAUACAUGGAGAAAUUCGCAUCGAGCUAUGGAACUCGUUUCAGGGUGACGCGACUCUCUUAAUGUUAUUUUCUCCUCCAUCACUGUUAAAGAAAUUCGAACUCAAGACCUUAUUUAGGAAAGAAGUACCAAGGUACUCACCACCCUGUCCGACAACCAUCGAUGUAACUGCGUAAACUUGCGAUCAUAGAUAGGGCGAUCAUAGAUAAGUCCCUCAGUCCCUCUUCUCUUUUUGUCUUGUCUGCUUGAUUGAUAAACCACCUUUAGUGCGUUUUAUGGUCCUCGAAUUGAGUUGACAAGGCUACAACCAGAGGAGGACAAUCAUUUAGCACUGAGACAACUGUUUUCGUUUUGGCUUUAGCGCCGGCAACUGCUUACGAUAAUUUGUUCUGCAUUUGUCCCCAGCCACUGCAGCCCACCUCUUCCCAGUCACCAAUACACACACACAGAUUAAAACCCAAAAAGAUCCCCAGUGCAGAGUAUUGCAACAAUCCCCAUGCCGUUUUCUUGGCGUUUUAAUGAACUUUACUAUGUAUGGAAUUGGGCUAUUGGAGGAUUGACGUGAAUCUGUGUAGCAGGCGUAAGGUUAACCUUUAGCAUUGUAUUGAUCCUUCAAGGGAGUGUCCAAAUAUAGAAGCUUUAUGUUGCCAUAGGAUUUUAGGUGCUAAGAACUCUAUCCGUCGCUAUUGAAAAAAAAAAAAAAAAAUCACUAUUCGUCGCAGAAAAUGAUUAGAAGUCCUCAAACAUCCUUUUCUUGUAUGAAUUUUCAUGCAAAAGGUGAAAAUUGUAUAUAUUAUCAGUAUAUUAAUGGUAUUGAAGAAUAUAUUUGUCGUGUUGUUGUGGCAUGGUCUAGUUUUAUUGUUUGAUAAGCACUCCUUACUUAUAACAUCCUUUAUUGAACGUGUACUAUGGUAAAGAGGAUAAUUUUAAAAUCAGCGUGGUCGCCGCACACACAUUAAUAAAAUUUUCCUUUAUCUAAAAUUAUGAAACACUUUUAGACUCUCAGAAUACGAAAUAUAAUACUACAUGGAGGCUUCUAAAUAAUCAUAUGAUUUUUAGGUGAACCUGUGAGUUCUAUAUAAGUGGACAACGGUGUAGAGAGGUAAUAUGACAAUUUCAUGACAGGAUAAUUGUGUGGGUUACAAGUGUUGAUGGUACUAGCAAGCCAGGCAGACAUGGACAGGAGCCGAGUAGGUUAACUGCAGUUGAAGGUGGGGAAUCAGACCAAGAGAAUGUCAAGGCAGAGUUCAGCAGUGAGAUGUCGAGUUUGUUGGACUUUUUCUACAAAAUCAAUUUCUAAAGAUAUCUCCAUAGCAUCAUCUUCAAAUAAUCAAAUGAAGUCUCAUUCUCAGUUUGGACCAUUUUUUAACGCAUACGAAGUCAGAUGAGAAAACAAGUGCUGCGUACAGGAGCCAAAACCAUAUCCUUCAAGCAGGAAAUAUGGCGUUUUUGACAUCAAGAUAUUUUCUUGUUACUCUAUAUUGUUAUGAAUCACCUUCACGUGAUUGUGGGAAGGGAUCGACAUCGACUUCAAUCUCUGCGGGUAGCUUUUUCUUCAAGGAAAUCUGAGUACUUGGAGAAGAUUUCUCUUCAUGGACUGGUCUCAUCUGUGUAGUAAAUUCCACAAUAAGCUACUUAAAAACUAAUAGAUCAAUGGCUCUCUCUCUCUCUCUCUCUUUAAUGUAACGAUCCCUCGUCAAGUGUAUGAUUAUAUGGCCACUAAGGGUAAAAUCUUAAAACUAUGUGUCCAUAAUUUGAAAAAUCAACUGCAUAUGGUAUCCAUAAUUAAGUAUAUAUAGAGAUAAAAGAAAAUCGAAAUAUAAUAAUUGAGUCUUUUUUUUGGUGGGGUGGGGUAAUUAAGGAUUUAUCUUUUCUAAUGACUAAGGGUGCGUUUGAUAAAAUUGAAAUCUAAAAAUUGAAAAUUGAAAUCUGAAUCUAUUAAAUUGAUGAAUUGUUAAGUAUUAAAUUUGAUGUAUUUGAGCAUAUAUCACAUUAAUUUUGCCUUGUUUUGAUUACUAAACACGUAUGAUGAAUAUGUUAAGAUUUGAAUCUAUUAAAUUUAAGUGUUGAAUUGAUUAUCAAACAAUACAAUGCUGGAGUCCAACUUCGAAGGUCUGGACGGUGCGUUAGAAAAAUUGAGUCUCUAGACAAUUGGCGGCUCCGACUAAGGAAAACAUAAUAACAGCGUACGAGAAAAUCCACUCAAGGAAAGCAAUUUACGAGUAGUAUUUUGAGGAAAGUAAUUUGGUGGCGUCAGAAUGCCUUCUUUAUUAAGCACUUGCUCCCCACGCUUGUUAUUAAUUUAUUAUGGUAUCCUGAUCUUGGCACCAACCUUAACCCAAACUAUUAAAUGCCAUCACCGACAUAUGAAUUCUGGGUAAACCGUCCUUCCGGUUCACUCUUUCUUUCCAAUUGACCCAAUGAUCACCCAAACCGGCGGAAUCCAGUUGUUUUCCCUUUGGCGUAGGCUUGUGGUGAUGUUUUGUUUAUCUAAAUUUAUGCUAAAAAAUGUUUAAAAUUUUGAACGGUAUUGUGUGGCACAAGUUAUGAGGAUCAACACCCCUUUUUGUCCAGUAAGAAAUAGGGCAAUUCGUUAGCAUAACAAAAAAAAAAAAAAAAAAAAAGCAGCAGAAAACAAUUUGAAUAGGUACUUAUUUGUAAAAAAAUCAAAAAAUUAUUUGCAUGAUCAACACAUUUUUUAACCGUCCUUUUAUUUCACAUAUAUCACAUCAAAAAAAGUGCUACAGCGUAUAUCUUUUACAUAAAAUUAUCCCAAAUAAUCUACUGUCUAAACACACUUAAUAUUUCUCAAACCAAGAACCGAAGUUCUGUAAGCCAAGAAAGAAAUUAUUAUGCGAUUGCAUGGAUGGAUAAUAACGUGGCAUGGAAGUAAUUUUUGUUAAAUCAAUACUAUUAUUCUGAUUGUUUGCUCGAGUGAUGCAACCGCGGCAGUACAUAGGGAAACAAAAUCAAUUAAUCUUUUUUUUUUGUCGACGGAGUGGGUGUCCGGGUCAAGUCCGUAAAGGCGGCCCGACUAAUCCCACUUCGGUCCGGUCCAGCGCCCCCAACCAGACCUAGCACGUUAGAUGCACGGAGAAGCCGAUGUUGCUGCGGAGGUUCGACCCCAGGACCUGACGGUCCCGAGGAAGAGGCGCCAACCAAAAGCCCAUUCACGUGGGGGCAAACAAAAUCAAUUAAUCACUCUAGCUGCUUCCUAAACUAAUUAUAAUUUAAUUAUCAAAUAAUAAAUCUAAUUCUAGAACUACUAAACUUCUAAAUGUGCUUGGUCCAUUAUGGCCAGCACGCCACAAUUAUAUCUGAAUGAAACUUCAUUAUUGGUGCAUAAAAAAAGAAAAGGGCGAGAAUUUGACUUCAAACAGUUGAGUUUCCUGCUGUUUUGUCCGCAUGUAAACACAUCUAUUCAGACUGCCACAUCAUUACAAAACAAUAAUGACAGUACUCCAGAUGCUUUCUUAUGAGAGGAAUCUUCCUAUUAAUUCUUCCUCGGAGAAGAGAAGAGAAGAGAAGCCUGCACAUUUUGGAUCGUAUUUUAUUAGUACCAAAGAACCAUAACAAUUAAACGUGAUGAUAAAAGAGUUUCUUUUUCCUUCCCCCAGCCUUUAGUUGACCUAACUUACGUUGAUUAAACUGAAAGCGUAAAAGUCUUUAUGGCCAACCAUCCCCUCCUAAUUAAUGCUGGGUUUACACUGCCCGCAAGGCCAGGUAAUGAGAUUUCAGAGUUAGAGAAACGGGGACGUGGCCGCUACCGGUCUACACGAGCUACUUACCACAACAAAGGCGUGAAACUUUGCUUGUUCAUAUGGUAUAGACUCCUUCACUCGUAGCUACCGUGUUUGAACUUUGAAAUCUUAACCCUUCAGCCCGCACAACCAACCAGAAGUCAGAAACUUCCUCCCUUCCCCUCGUUAUCCACUUGAUGAAGAGUCAAGUAGUUGUUUUAAUAGCAGCAGUCAAAAUAGUCUCCACAAGACGCCACACCAAAAUAUAUAGUCAUCCCUGAUCUCUCCAAUCCUUCCAAUCUCCAAACUACUCAAAAGAUGAUGGAAAAACCAGUCGAGCAGCUGAAGAAAGAAAGCCAAACCAAGUUUGCCAAGAACGAAUCUGCAGAGACUCCUACACUCGUGUUAGUCCAGCAGAAAGAAUACCAAUCCGAGGUAAAUGGCAAAAACGAACCACAGGCCACCGCGAGGCCCCUGGAAAACCAAGCUAAGAUUUCUAAAUCGGCAGAACAACCAGCUGAUGCGGCCGCCGAUCCACUUCUUUGGGACUGUGGAAGCUCCCUGUACGACUCUUUCGAGCUCAAGUCGUUUGAACGCCAACUUGACUCGGCCAUCCAUUCAAGAACUCUGUCAAUGCCCCACUUAUCUGAUCGUCGUGUGAUUGAUGGUGGUAAUCACCACCAGCCGCCAUCUCAGCCGCCUCAGCCCAUGUCUAAGAAGUCCUCCAAAAUUUCGCGUUCGUUUCACAAGUUUCUUCGAUCUGUAUUCAAGCCCAAGGCACAAAAUGGUAACAAGAAUCCUUUCUUUCCCGCUAAUGAGCAGCAGGCCACGCGGGAUGGAUUUUACGUGGUCUACGACAUUGACAAGUCCGGGGCUCUUUCAACUAUUCCAGAAGUUUCGGAGUUCGAUGGUCUUUCACCCGAGUACAAAUCUUUGGUUACAAGAACUGCAUCCGAUCGAUUUGCCGUUAGUUCCAUGGGUAUUUCUUGUGCUUGAUUAGAUAUAUAGAAACUGCGGCAGUGUGAAUAUUUCCAUAAUCAGUAAAAUUUUAGACGUGCCUACGAACUAAACUGAAAUAAUAUUCCCUAAUGAUUGUAUAACCAGUUGUACAGUGUCAUGCUCCGUAGUGAUUGUAUUUUAUGUAUUUGGGUUUCUACCCUUUUUGUCUUUCUUAUAAUUCUGACAUUUGGCACAUCUUUAAUGCGUAUAAUGAAUAGAUUUUUCUUUCGUUUUAGAGAAAGAGAUGCAAUAGAGCCAAAGUCAAUUUUGGCUGGCUACUACUCCUAGUGACUUGUAGAUUAGGUAUGUAUUUUCCAUGUUUGGCCAAUUUCCAUAUUUGUUUUUUUAAGUUGUUCCAUGAUAAAAAAAUGGACAUAAGAGUGAAAUGAACUUCCAAAGUAACUUUAAUCCGUGAUCUCGUGGCAUUUGAGAACCUUGCCAAGGUAUAUGCAUUUAAUUCUACCUCAUCCAAUCCUUCCAAUCCCCCUUCCUUUUUUUCAGCCAUUCUAAAGAGGUGGUGGCCGUGGUUCCUUCCUUUGGGCUUAAUAAUCCUGGCGGACGACGGAUGAUGGCGUUUGCCACCAGCAGCUCUCGGAGAAACUUUAGGGCCGGGAUAAUGAUGUCACAUGCCCAUUUCAUUCCUUGUUAAGGGACUUAUGGCCUCUCCCUUGUACCUCCAAAAAAGGAGUAAAGGCUCAUAAUUGAUCCCUUGUCUGUAUCAUGUAUGUAUUAUCCUUACCUUCCCCAAUUAAUGAGGUUGUUGCAGGUUGGUAGUCCUUUUGUUUUUGAAUGAGGUUGGACCGCUCAAAAUCGUAAUCAUCAAACAGCGUUUUAAUAUGUACAGCGUAGUAAAUAACCAAACCAGUAAACAGGACAGCUCUCAGAGAUCUGCUCAAAAGGGACGGAUAACUCUCGAACGUCGGGUUGUCGGUUGAAUUAGCAUCGCUUUCACGGAAAUUAUAUGUUAGAGUACAAUUUUAUGGGAAUUUAAAUUGAUGGUAAAAAAAAAAUCAACUCUUAUAAAAUGGAGUAGAUUUAUAGUAACAACAACUUACAUUGAAUAAGGGUAUUUUAGAAAAAUUAAAAUACAACUACAUUCUUCAAUUGAGAAGUGAACUAUAGGCCCUGUUUGGAAGCUAGUUUUUUGGGCAAGUUUUUUACCUACAAGUUUUUUAACAACUUUUGCUACAGGAACCCAAAAAACUUCUCAAAAUUUUUUACCUACACACUUCAAAAUACACAAAACACACACAAAUUCCUCCACCAUCCCAACCCAAUACACAAAACACACAUAAAAAAAAUACCCCUCCCUUUGGCUUUCUUCUUCCUCUACCAUCCCAACCCAGUCCACCACCUCCGUCACCGACCACCACCACCUCCGGCGCCAUUUUCUUUUUUUUUUUUUUUGCCUUUCUCCCUCUCCCUGCCAUCCUCCUCCUUUACCCAAUUUGACUGCAUUCCUCUUUUUUUUUUUUUUGUGUGUCCCCCGCAACCCUCCCCCUCCAGCGACCAGAUCUGGUCCCAUGACCAGAUCGCAAAAGUGGAGGGGAGGGGAGCUGCGAUCUGUUCGCACAAGGGCGACGAGGCUGCUGAGGGUGACGGAGAUAGAUGAGGGGAGGAGAAAAAGGAGGUGGCAGGCAGCGGGGGUUGGCGGGGCAGAGGGAGAAGAGGGGCGGCGGCGAAGAGGGGAGGAGAAGAGGUGACGGGCGGAGGAGACGGGAGAGGAAAAGGGGUGGCGGGUGGCGGGGGAGAGGGGAGGAAUAUGGGUGGCGGGUGGCAAGGAGAGUGGAGGAAAAGGGGUGGAGAGCAGAGGGGGGUGGCGGGGGAGGGAGAAGAGGAGUGGCAGAGGAAAGAAGGGGAAGGGGAAAGGGAGGGAGGGGGAAGGGGAGAGGGAGGGUGACGGCAGAGGGAGGGAGAGGGGGAGGGGUAGGGGGUGCUGCGUUGCUGCGGGGAGGGGGGCUGGUAACGGGGAAGGGGGAAGGGAAGGAAGAAGAAGAAAAAGAGAAGAAAGAAAAGAAAAAGAAAAGAAAGAAAAAGAAAAAGAAAAGAGAAAGAGAAAAAGAAAAGAAAAAAAGAAAAAAAAAAGUUUUUCCUCUUAAAAACUUCUACAAAAAAAUUUUUCACCUUACAAAAAAUUUUACACAAAUUUUUUCAAAAACUUCUACAGUGUACUACAGUAAAGUUUUAGACAAACUCCCAAAAAACUCAGGUUCCAAACAGGCCCAUAAUUUGGAACAGAUAAAAAAAAAGAAAAACAGGACUAUCAAAGUAGGACGGAGAAAGUAUAUUUUUUCAUACAUCAAAAGAAUUGUGCACAACAAAAUUAGACGAGUAUAAGCUAAAUCGUGUAUUAAAUACAGUAUAACAAACACACAAUUUCCCGUAAUGAUUAGUGUGACAACCAUGACAAUUGCACAUAUCGUCAAACAGAUAUUAAUUACAAGCGAAGGAAAAGAGCUAAUAUGAGUCACAUGAACCAGAGAAAGAAAAGCCAGUGCCAAAGCAAAUCAAAAGAGUGCACUACUAUCGCCAUUAUGCUUCCCAAAUUACAUCAGGCGACUGAGAGUUUUGUGGCUGUAGUAGAACUCCAGCCUGGUUAGGAAUUAGGAGGAGUCCCUUCCUUCGAAAUUUCAGGGUCCAUAGGGCUUAGAUUAAAAACUUUUAUUAUAAAUGUUUUUGCAAAUAUUUUUAAAAUUUAAAACUUUGUUAAGGCCUAUUCAAAAAUAUUUUUAUCUUCCCUGACACAAGGGUUCACCAACCUCUCUCCACCUUCUCUUCUCUAGCCACCACCAGGCCUGUUUCCUCUCUCUUCUCACUCUUAACUGUUCUUUUUCUUCUUCCCUCUCAUUUUUCGUCCCGUCCUUUCUCGUGCAUCUAUUCACCUUCUAGUUGUAGGGAGAGAGAGGAGAAAAAGAAAGAAUAGGGAAAGGGAGGGGUGGUGGUGGAAAAUGAGAAGAAGAGAUAGAAGAGAGAAGAGGAGGUUGGGCGGUGGUGAAGGAAGAGGAGAGGUUGCCAAGGUGUGGGUGAUGGUGGCAAAAGGUUGGAACUGGUGGUGGCUGGAAGUAGGGGUAGUGGUAAAGAAAGAAAGGUGUGUUGAGUUAUAUUUGAAAAUUUUUAAGUUAUUUCUUUUCUUGGAAUAUUUUUGGGCUGCUGUUAUUAUAGACUUUGUAUGUAUAUAAUUUUUUGAUCGAUCAUCACAAACUACACCUACGCCUUGCCUGCAAUGGGAUAGAUACUAAACCAUUACCAGGCCAAAUAAAUGCAGUAAGGGCCUGAUCUAAGUGUCUUGUGGUAGUCAAGUCGCCACAAAGACACCUAUAUUUAUGGGAGUCAAAGUUUGAAUUCUUUGUUUUUUUUUCAAAAAAAAAACACUUAAGUUUCUUUUUCAAAAAAAAACACUUAAGUCCCUUGUGAUGGCUAAGUUGUCUAGGACAAUUGAGCACCCACAAAUACACUAAAGCACCCGCUGCAGAUUUUGUAUUUGAAAUAUAAUUUUUUCCAAGAAAUUAGAACCCAUACAUAGCCUCAAUUUUUGGUUCGCUCAAUUCCAAACACCCAAACGUGAACUAAUACCUUUUUUUUGUUUUUUUUUAGGGCAACUUGAACUUAAAAGCGCACGGACAUGUCCUAUCGCGCAGGAGCAUGUUAAUACCAAAAUGCCCCACCCAUCAGCCAUCUUCAGGACAUAGUUAGGAUCCUACCCCAAUUAAGAGAUACAGAAGACAGCCCAAUGCAGCCGUUUUGUGGGCAACACAUUUGAGUGAAUUGUAAACCCCUAAAAAUGAUUCAGGCCUAUGGCCUACUUAUCAGAAACCCAUUUAAGUGGUGUUUGUUCUGUCGUCAAUUUUAGUAUCAUUUGCAGAUUCAUUUUGCAAUGGAUAAGACAACGAUGGCAUACCAGAAAGAGUGGGAAAUAAAAGGAUUUUGACCUCCAACCUUCAUACAAACACUAACAAGUUAACAACCAUCAACGACUAUAAAUAACACACACACUAUUUAAGGAAAACUCACAAUCCAAUCCAAAAGGCAUGCUGACUUUCAGGCUACACUGAGGAUUUUAAGUAGUACACACACCACUCACAAUCGAUGUGGAAUAGAGGGAAAGGGGGAGGGGAAACACCAAGACUAUUGUCAAAGGCUCACCAACGGCUUUUAACCAUUCCAUGAUUUUCCUUAUCCACCAACAACCAUAAAUAGUACACACACACACUACCUAAGGGAAACCCACGGCUCAACCUAAAAGAUAUGCUGACUUUCACUAACAAGUUAACAACCGAAGUGACGGAUAGACGAACAGAUAAAAUUCAUACAGUUUCAUCAAUGAAAUGAUUAGUUAAAUCAAAGCAUUAUUUUUUUUCAAUACCAGACCAGGCUAAAAUUUGAAGGAAACGAAUACGAAAUAUAUAAAUAUGCAAAAUCAUUUGCAUUUAAAAUGCACCUACUUUUUUAUAUAUAAAGGCUUUAUUGUAUUCAAAAAUUUAGCCUUCAUUUCUUUUGAAAAGAAUGAUUAUUUGAAAAAAAUAUUAGUUUGAAUAAUUCAUGUAACCGUUGUUGUGAUGUAAUGUUUGUAAAAUAAAAAAUAAUUAAAAAUGUAUAAAGAUAGAAAAAAUGUGUUUAUAAUGCAAAUAAAAUAAUAUUUAGAAAAAUCUAUGCAUCAAACACACUUUGCAGUAGAAAUGUUCAAUUGAAAAUGAUACACAUAGAUGUAUUACAGAAGUUAGGACGUGGGUAGAGACAUUUGAGUACGAAAUUUCCGGUCUUUGCACCAUCACCAAAUAUAUAUAUAUAUAUAUAUAUAUAUAUAUAUAUAUAUAAGUAGGCUCAAUUGAAAAAAAUAAACCAUUUAUUCAUAAAAAGGUUGAUGUGAGGGUCAUGUUAAUGUAUGUUUGAAUUUCGCUGCUAAUGUAAAUAUUGUAUCGGUAAUGAUUUGCAAGAAGCUCUAUAAAUGAUCUAUGAUUUAGGAGGCGUUUCUUGAUCUACAGCGGUGAUUGAAACCGAAUCAAACCACACUUUCUUCUUCUUAAAAAAGAAAAAUAUCCUGUCUCAAGGACCAAUAAAUAGAGAACAAGAAUUGAGAAUUUUGGCUAUAAGCAUCAGGGCCUAAGCAAUAACAAUCAUCUUCCAUCAACAGCCGAUUCCACCAUGGAAACCAUACAAUCUCACAUAGCCUUUUUACCAUCUCCAGGAAUGGGUCAUCUCAUUCCUCUCACUGAAUUCGCCAAACGACUUGUUCUUCACCAUAACUUCUUAGUCACUCUUAUACUUCCCUCAGACGGUUCACCCAUGAGCGCCCAAAAAUCCUAUCUUCAAUCACUACCCGCAACCAUAACUCCCAUCUACCUUCCUUCGGUUAGUUUCGACGACCUCCCUGAGGAUACCAGGGUCGAAACCCGUAUCGCCCUCACCAUUUCUCGAUCUCUUCCCGCAAUUCACGAUGCAUUAUUUCAGUUGCUAAUAACCAAGCCAUGCUCACGUCCUAUCUCAGCUCUAGUGGUUGAUCUUUUUGGUUCAAAUGCUUUCCGAUUGGCUAGGGAUUUAAACAUGUCAUCCUACAUGUUUUUCACAUCGACUGCAAUGUCCUUUUCCUUACUCGUACAUUUGCCAAAGCUUGAUCAAACCUAUACAUGUGAGUAUAGGGACUUGACCGAAGCAGUGGUGUUACCCGGAUGUGUUCCACUGCUCGGGAAAGACUUUCUUGAUGCUAUUCAGGAGAGGAAGAAUGAUGCUUAUAAUCUUCUUCUCGAAUUAUGCAAGGAAUAUGGUUCCGCCGAUGGGAUACUGAUUAACAGUUUUGUGGAGUUGGAAUUCGGUGCUCUCAAGGCUUUGAAAGAAGAGGGAUGGUUUAAACCACCGAUUUAUCCAGUUGGACCGUUGAUUCAGACAAGAUCAAUAAACGAGGUUGUUCCGGAAUCAUCAGGUUGUUUGGAAUGGUUAAAUAACCAGCCAACAAAGUCGGUUUUAUUCGUUUGUUUGGGCAGCGGAGGAACUCUGUCCCAGGAGCAAAUAAAUGAAAUGGCUUUCGGUCUGGAAAUGAGUGAACAAAGAUUUCUCUGGAUUGUUCGAAGCCCGCAUCAAACCGCUGCAAAUGCUGCGUUCUUUACCAACAAAAGCGUGAAUAAUCCUUUGAAUUUUGUUCCAAAAGGGUUUUUGAAGAGAACAAAAGAAAAGGGGUUAGUGGUUCCCUCAUGGGCUCCUCAAAUUCAAGUCCUGAGCCAUGGUUCAACCGGAGGGUUCGUGAGUCAUUGCGGUUGGAACUCGGUUUUGGAGAGCAUUGUCCAUGGAGUGCCUUUGAUUGCAUGGCCACUUUAUGCGGAGCAAAAGAUGAAUGCUGUUGUGUUGACUGAAGAUUUGAAGGCUGCCUUAAAGGUCAAGGCGGAUAAAAUCGGACUUGUGGGGAGAGAACAAAUUGCAAAACUCGCAAAAGAUCUAAUUCAAGGAGAUGAAGGAAAGGAUGUUCGAGAUAAGAUGAAACAACUCAAGGAUGCUGCUGCUAGAGCUUUCGAACUGGAUGGCUCUUCUUCAAUCUCACUUGCCCAGGUGGCUCAGAAGAUGAGUGUCUUGAAAUCUAAGUGACAAUUACGGAACACCACCAAUUGUUGAAUGUACUCUUGGCUAGCUAGUUGCUUUCCUGUUCGAGUGCUCUAGAAACUAGAAAUUUGUUAGGAUCUUUGGGAUGAAUUCAAAUUUGUUUUGGAUCUUAGCUAGCUAGUUUUGGAUCUUUUCUUUCUAGUUUCCAUUUACACUACGCUUGCUUCCUAAGCUAAUUCCUUCCUAGUAUUUUUCUCUUCAAUUUAUUAGGCCCGGUUGAUGAAUUCAAAUUCCCUCGGAUCCCCUCCAGUGGAAUGAACCACAACAAUUUACAAAAGAAGACAGAAAAGAAAAUACAGACAAUGAACUUAAUGUCGUCCAGCUCCUAAGCUGCCCCUUCCUUUCAGCUUUCAGAAUGGUAAAAUUGAAAAGAUGCAUUAAAAUAGAGGAAAGAAGAAAUGGUAGGGCUGGCCGUUGGAUGUCAGCACAGAAAGCAACUGGGCAGGAGGUGACAUUUCAACUGCUCUAUUCGUCGUUACACUGAAAGAAAAUAUCAUACUUUUCAUUUUUUAAUGUCCAAAAACAUUUGUUAUGUUAGAAAAUUCAAAGAACAGUAUCUUUUUUUAAUAUAAUGUUUCUUUCUAAUUAUAUGUAAGAGAAAAAUUAGAAAGAGAAGUACAAAUAUCACAAGUAAACCACUAUUCUUAAAAAGUUGGAUUUCCAAAACAUAACUAAAUAAUUGGGACGGAGAGGGAGUAUUAUUGUUCGUCUUAUUAUUUUUUUGGUAAAAUUUCAGAAACUUUCUCUAAGGUUUUUGACAAUUUCAUUUGCCUCCCUUUAACUUCUGAAAAUCUCAAAUAUCUCCCCUAAUAGGGAAUUGGGAUCAAUUGCUAAUAUAAUGUGUGGCAAAAUGACUAUUAUAUCCUAAGUAUUUAGUGAGAUUAAUUAAACAAUACCUACAAAAAUCGCUAUUGGACUAUAUUUGAAGAAAAAAAAUAAAAAUUUGGCCAUUUGUCUUUAGCAAGUUGGUGUGAAUUUCUCCUCCAAAUCUAGAUGGCACACUUUUCUAAUAGUAAUUACGUACUAUUAAAAAAGUGUGCUAUAUCAUUUAAUUUUUUAAAAGUUUUUAAUGUUGGCCUUUAUAUUUUGUUGAGUUGCUUUGCAAAUUUAGAAUUUAGUUAGUCAAAUCAUCUAAAAUUUGCUAAUGCAUUUGCUACAUAUUUUUGAAAAUUACCUCCAGACUUUUGAUUUUUUUUGCCUAGUUUUAAUCCAUUUAAUAGUUUCUCAAAACAAUCGUUGUAACAAUUGGUAAGGGCAUUUUUUAUGCCAAUUUACGUUCUCUCUCCAACAAUUAUUUUCCUAUUCUACCUUUUUUUGAUUUGGGAUUACAUGUUACACAAAAGUUUCAAAUAAGAGAGCUAAAUGAAAAUUUCAAAAUUUGAGAGGAACUGAGUGAAAUUGUCAAAAACCUCAAGGGAGGAUUUUGAAAUUAUCCCUACUUUUUUUUUGGUAAGAACAUUUCAACUAUUAUCACUCAUAAACUUUUUCGUGCUUUUUAUGUUGGUACACAUAUUUUGUCCUCCAUUAGACUCAUGAAUGCUCUAAGCAUUAUGAUGUUUUCUUUUCUAAGAUAUGCUGGCCUAUGUGUUAUACUCCGUUAGUUAAAAUUUUUACUUAAUGUCAUGAUACACUAUUGACUGUUAUGAGAUGAAACAGAAAAGAAAGUGAAGCAUUCAGUUUUGUUAGCCAUCUAAAAAUGCAACGAAAGAUAGUUGACACAUAUAAAGAAUAUGUGGGAAAAAGUAGUUUAUUAUUGUACCAACAAAAAAGCAUGUCCAAUUCUUAUAUUUCAGUAUUGUUCUAUGCUUGAUGCAAACUAAUACUCAGCAAAAAGUAUUGUUCUGUAUUUAAUGCAAACUAAAGCAGCAUUGAUUUGAUAUUGUGUUCCCAAUAAAUGUACAUUGCAAAAUGAGUGCAUCCAUGUAUAGGUAAUGUAACUUUGGUAUAAUGUUCCUAACACAACACCAAUGUGUCUCUGUCUAGGGGUGGCAAUGGGGCGGGGGACACCUCGCCCCGUCCCCCGUCCCGCUCCGCUUCCCUCGCAGGGCACCACGGGAAAAUAUUAAAAUUAAAUUUUAUUAUGUAAUUUCAUUAUAAUUAAAUUUGAACAAAUAAUUAAGUACUAAAAUAUUAACACAUCACCAAAUUAUUAUUCAUUAUAAUUUUACAAUUGAAACUCAUAAAAAUAAUUAAACAAAGGUUAUUUGAAUACAAUCUAAUAUGAUAAAAGAAAUAUAACUAAAAUAACCAAGUUUUCACUUUUGAUACAAAUACAAUCACUAAAUUAUUAUUGUAUUUUUUUUUUGAAAAAAAUGUUAUUGUAUUAAGUGUAGUUAAGAAUUUAACAUAAAUAUAUUAAUAAAGUUAGUAUAAAUAAUUAAUAAUUUUUAUUAAUAGACAUGUAUAAUUAAUAGUAUAAUUGAAAAUAUCAAUAUAUAUAUAAUUAUGUACAUAUAUAUAUAUAUAUUUUCAAAUGCCCGUUUCUAAACGGGGAGAAAAAAUUCCCCCCGCCCACGCUCCAAUGACCCCCCGUGGGGAGGGUGCCCGCCUCCGUCCCCAUCCCCAUCCCCAGACUCGGUCCACAUCUCAAAGUCUAGGAAGAAAUUAUGAUCAUAAGAAAGCUCGAAAACGCAAAUAAUGGUUUAAGAAGAAUAUAUCCACGGAAGAGAUUUCACUAGCAACUGAUUUAAAUUGCAAGACGAAUGUGAUUGCUACAUUUCGUUCAUGUAUUCAACACUGUUACAUUUCGGGUCUGAAUUUGGACAGACCACAGAUAUUUUUGACGUUUUUUCUUUUCAUAUUCGUCUCACUAUUUUUCUCUUAUGUAUUGAAGGACUUGUGCAUAUUCUUCUUCUCAAUCAUUAUCGUUUGGAUUGUUAUUUUUAAAAAUUUUUAUAAAAAUAUAUAUUAUGAUGAUUUGAUAUAUAUAUAUAUAUAUAAUUAAAAAUACAUUUCCAAAAAAUAUAAAAAAUUUUCCGUAAAAAAUCACGAUCCAAACAAGGCAAUACAGUCUUACUUUCAAGAAACUGGCACAGUACCCAAAACACCGAGAAGAUAGAGCAUGCGAUGCAUGUAUUGGUGGAUGCGUUGCCAUCUGAAAAGGAAUCUAAAAAAUAGGCAGACUCAUUCCAUUACCUAUUGAGUAUAUAGUAGCGAGUGAUUCUGUAAUUCCUCAUUCCACACAAUAUUUAAUAAAAUCACCAUGGAAACCACAAAACAGGAAGAAGCUCGUCAUCUUCAACCUCACAUCAUCAUACUUCCAGGUCCAGGACUGGGUCACCUCAUUCCCUUCACUGAGCUCGCCAAACAAACGUCUUGCCUUACACCAUAACUUCUCCAUAACCUUCAUAAUCCCCACCGACGGUUCUCCUACCAAUGCCUAGAAGGCCUUCCUUGAAUUCCUAGCAUCAACUCCAUCUUUCUUCCUCCGGUAAACAUCCAUGACCUCACAGAAGACACUCCUGUUGAAGUCCGCAUUUCACUGACCGUAAACCGCUCGCUCCCGUCCCCCCGCCGCGCGUUAGUUGGAACUAAUUUCUCAAUUGGGUCAUCAUCAUGUAGUUGUACUCGUAUUUGUGCAUUGGUUGUUGAUCUUUUUAGUCUUUCAGCAAUUGAUGUGGCAAAAGAAUUUGGCAUCCCAUCUUAUGUAUUCUAUCCCACCACAGCUACGUGCUUCUCCUUGGUCUUGCAUAUGCCGGAGCUGGAUAAAAUUUACCCCGGCGAAUAUAGGGACUUGCCUGAACCAAUCGAGUUACCCGGGUGUUUCCUGUUGCACGGGAAGGACUUCAUGGACCCGGUUCAAGAUAGGAAGGGUAAGGCCUACAAAAGGUUGCUGCAGAUACGCGACCGCUACAAUUCAGCACAAGGGAUAUUGAUUAAUAGUUUUAUGGACUUGGAACCGGUUCCAAUUCGGGCUCUGAAGGUAGGUAGAGUAUUGUCCUUGAAACCACCGGUUUAUCCGGUUGGACCGUUGGUUCAAGGCAGCGGUAUAAUAUAUUAAUAUGAUUAAUAUCAUCACGCGGAAUACACGAAUCUGAAUCGCCAGGAUAUUGUCUGAUGAGCAGCCGGAGGGGUCGGUUUUGUUUGUUUCGUUUGGGAGCGGGGGAACGUUGUCUCAGAAGUAGUUGAAUGAAUUGACUUUUGGACUGGAAAUGAGUGAAGAGAGAUUUCUUUGGGCUGUUAGAAGCCCAAAUGAAUUCGCAGCCUUUUUUGGUGUCGAAAGCGUGGAAAGCCUGUCGAUGUUCUUCCCGAGGGGUUUUCAGAGAGGACUAAAGAGAAGGGUCUUGUGGUAGCCUCAUGGGCUCCUCAAAUUCAAGUCCUCAGCCAUGGUGCAACUGGGGGUUUUCUUACUCAUUGUGGGUGGAACUCAGUUCUGGAGAGCAUAGUGCAUGGGGUGCCUUUGAUUGCAUGGCCACUUUUAUGCUGAGCAACAGAUGAAUGCUGUAUUGUUAACUGAAGAUUGGAAGGUUGCCUUGAGGGUUAAGGUGGAUGAAAAUGGACUGGUGGGGAAAGAAGAAGUUGCAAGAUUGGCAAAAGGCCUAAUUGGAGGAGAAGAAGGAAAAGGACUUGGGCUCAAGAUGAAAGAUCUUAAAGGUGCAGCUGCAAGGGCUUUGAGAGAGGAUGGAUCAUCGGUUAAGGCACUUGCUGAAGUGGCUCAUCGAUGGAGUUCCUUUAACGUGCAAAAGUAAAAUUCUUCUACAUCACAGUCCACCACCAACUCUGAAAUUUUGUCCAGGGUGACUUAUAAAUCAACGGUUUCCAUGUUUCUUUUACAAGAAAAAAAGGAGCUCCAUUGAGGAAUCGAGCUUGUUUUAACUCUUGAAAAGAUGAGCUGGAUUAAGGAAUUAAGCUUGUUUUAAUGUAGCAUCACUUCAAGACUUACACUUGAGGUCCGUUUGAUAAAACUGAAAUCUGAAAAAUAAAAUUGGAAUCCAUUAAAUUAUUAAAUUGUUAAGUUAUUAAAUCAAAUACAUUUAAAUGUAUAUCAUAUUUAGUAAUAAGUAAAUAGUUUAUCAUUUAUUUUUGAGAGUAAAUUUUACCACUUAAUUAAUUCAUAUAUUCAAUUUUUUAUUUUCAAACGCGUUUGAACAUAUUAAGAACUGAAUUCAUUAAUUUUAAGUAUUGAAUUAGAUUAUCAAACAAAACCUUGAUCACUCCCAAACUUUUGAAUAUUAAUCAAGCUAAGUAUUCAGCCCACAGCAUUCUCCUUCAAAGGAGUAUUUGCAUCCUCCUAAAAUGCCGAAAAGAGCAGAGAGAGCCCUUAGUCACUGGGCCCGUUAGAGAGACAGAAUUAAAAGCAGCCCAACCCAGGGCCAUAUGAGUAAUCUUCAAUCAUAGCAUGUAAACCAAUUACCUAGUAGAGAACAUUAAAAUUUUCAAAUGAACCCAAAAACCUAAAACCCUAGAGAAAAAUCUGAGAAAGGGGUUUAGGAUCAGCAGAUGGAGGAGACACUACUGACACUGGAUCAGGAUACUACUUGUACAGCUUGGAAUUAUAGUGGGCAGAGACUAGCUGCUGGCUCCAUCAAUGGGACAUUAGCCAUUUACGAUUCAAAGGAUCCAGCUUCUUCAUCCUUCACCUGCACUUCCAGAUUUAAGGUGCGUCACAAAAAUUUACUGCACCCAUUUCUUGCCUUUCUUCUUUUUGCCUUUUUUAAUGUGCAAUUUGCUAGUUGCUGCUAUAAAUGCAGUGGGCUUUAAAUUGUUAAGUUAAUAAUCAUCUUUUCUUGAAGAUUUUGUUGGGUUUUGUUUAAUUUGUGAAAAGGAUAUAGAUUUUAGUGACAAAAACUUAUUCGAAAACUUACUCGUUGAGCAGGGUUUUCUGUGUUGAGAAAGUAACAUUUCUGGGUGUAGUUCUUCUUAUCACUGCUCUGAGGCAAUAAAGAAAAAUAAAAGGAACUUUCACUGUAGUGGAAAUGCUUCAUUUUCUAAAGUUGUAGCUUUGGAGUUGAUGUUUCUGUGAACUUAAACACUCAAAUUAGUUGUUUGUUCUUUAUAUGGUCAACUGCUGUAUUCUGAUGUUGCAUUUGUCUGAGAUCCAAAUUCCAAACAUGAUGCAAUUUCUUAUGCAAAUUAGGUGCAAGAAACAAGCAUUCUGAAAAUUGUCUGGGUUCCCCCAGAGUUUGGAGACGCAGUUGCCUGCAUUUGCUCUGAUGGAAGUUAUUCAUUGUGGGAAGAAGUUGUGGAAGGUACUUAUUGAGUUUAAUACACGGUGUUUAUCCUUGAAGUUAUAGUCCUAAAUGAAAAUUGUUACCACAAUCUUUUGAAAUGCUGGGCUUGUUUAGUAGGACCAAUCAGUGCAUCAAAUGUUUAAUCUUAGACCAUGUAACCUGACUCUCAUCAUUCUAUUCGUUUGGUAAUUCUUUAGAUGCUGAUAUUCUCCAGUGGAAGCUGUGCAAACGCUUUGACAGGAACUCAAGUCGAGUUUUAGACAUUCAAUUUGGAGUCUUUGCCACAUGUUUGAAAUUGGUAAGUUUUGGACUUAGUUGUUGACGACUUCAAUCUCAUUAUGCCUGUCAUGUCAUGAACAAUUGACAAGGGCUUAUAGCAAAAGGAAGAACUAAAAGUUCUGCAUUUCUUCAACCACCAAAAUCUAAUAGUCUGCAGAGUAUUACAUUGUAAUUAUAUUGAAGAAGGCCCGGUAACAUCUUUUCUCAUUAUUUGUACUUUCUGAUGCAUGUGUGAUCAAUGGGGAAAUUACUGAUAGAAUUAUCUCUUAGAUAUAUUGUCUAUUACUGUAUCAAUGUGUUGAAGAAGUUACUCUGUAUUUUUUUGCCGCAUUGAUUCCUCAUGCUAUGUUUUACCUAGUCUUUGAAGCUUGAAUAAUCCAGCAUGCCUGAUAUAACACUCUUAAGCCUUGUUUGCAGUGACACUGUAUAUUGUACUUGAAAAAAUUGAGAAACUGUUUCUGGAUAUUUAAUAACCAUUGCUACUCUACAUUGAAAUUUCUAGUAGUGGGGCAAUGGGAAUUACAAAUUCCAAUUUCUGAGCCGAAAUAACUUGUAAGGUUUUUCUAUUUUUCUGCAUCACUAUGUGCCUCGUAAGUGGCCCCCUUCUUUGUUUUUUGGUUCUGCAUCAGUGUGUGGCUUUUAAGUGGCCCCCUUCUUUUUGGGUUUUAUUUGUUGUUGAAGGAAAAACUCCAAUUAGCCAAUGAGUGAAUGCUUUGUUGUUCACUUAAUGGUACUUAAAAGUAAGUUUAUAGGGUUAUGAACACAGGCUACAUAUGUUGAGUGCUUUUUCUACUCUAUAUUAAGUCAUUAUUCUGUAGGUUGUUGUUCAAAAAUUUGUAGUGCCUGUUAAGGUUGCAUUGCUUUUUUGUGUACAUAUGGAAGAAAAGACUUGUUAUCCUUCCAUUCACUACACAAAGCUUCUUUUAUGAAUAUUGAUAAUAAAUGUUCCUGAUAAAGUUGUGUUAGUCAUGUGUACAUCUCGAAGGAAAGAAGGGUAGCUUCUGAAAGUGAGAUGCUACCUGAUACAAUCUUCCUAUAGUAAAACCUCUGUAAUUGUCUACUUGCAGCACUCAACAAGUAGAGUUCUUGUACGCUCAAUUCUGAGGUACAGGGUGUAUAUGCACCAGUUUAAUGACAAUGCAGUGUUGUUUCUGCUGUAUAUACAUCUGUGGCUGGCUUCCUAUUUCUCAUUAAGGAACCUUUGGAUGAUUUUUGUGACUUUCAAUGGACUUAAUUAAUCACCAAAAGGAAAUGGGCUAAUAGUAGAACUCCUGAUGCGAUGCUCUGAUGUAUAUUUAGGCAAAAUUUUUCUAACAGGAUGAGGGAAUCAUUCAGCCCUGCCCUAUUGAAUGAAUAAGGAGAGACAUAUUCCAUGACUCUGCCAUUCUUAUGCUACUCAUUCUUUACUCCCCCUGUAUCUUCUUAAAGGAGUUUUUGCAAGAAAGAGUUGACUUUUGCCCCCCUCCUGGAGUUCAAAACAUUUACAGUUCUGCUAAUCUCCAUUCUUAUCUUAUGAUUGAACUGCUCUGGCUUAGCUAAUAUAACUAAUUUAAAUUUGAGUUUUUUUUUUCGUUCCUGCUGUUAUUUAUUCCAUAUGUGCAACAAGCUGCUUAAUUAUGUCACUUUUGUGUCUUUUCCAGGUUGCUGCAUACUCAGAUGGCCAAGUGAAAAUCUUUGAUCUCCUUGAUCCCCUGGAUUUGAUAAAUUGGCAACUUCAGGUGGUUGUUCUAUAUCACUUAAUUACUUUAUAUUACUGCAAACUAGUCACAGCAAGUAUUGCUGCGAUUUCUGUCAUCUUCGGAGUUCCAAGGCUUUUGUGUCUUAUAGCAAUUGUUCUCCUUUUUCCCUUUAUUCUCUCUUUCCUUGUUUUUUUUUAAUAAUAUUCAUGGUUCAAGUAUUGAGUAGAUUUCCCCUGCCCGCUGCACCUUCAGAUCCUAAUACUUGUAUGUGCUGGAAGACUUUUAAUAUUCACAUUAACAAACAUGAUAUUUUGAUCUUUUGAGAAUGGUGGAUCUGAAUAUUGUCCUUGUAGGCUGAAUUUCAGAAUGUCAUUGAAUCUACAUCCAAAUUUGGUAGACCUUCGUGCUUGUCUGCAGCAAUGUGUUGGAAUCCUCAAAGGGGUGAACUCCAGCAGUCAAGCUUUGUUUUGGGUUUCAAUUCAGAUAUUCCGCAACUCAAUUCCUCUAAGGUAUUACAGAUUCUUUCUUCCUUCUUUCUUCACCUCACGCUACAGCCACUUGAUGGAAACAUAAGGUUUUGACUCUUUUACCUGUUUGAUAUUCAGCAUCAAACCUUGUUUGUUCACAUAGUUUAUUAUUAGAAUAACUAGUUACAAAUGUUUAGUUUCUCACAGUGUGCUGUUUGUUGUAUGAAGAGGAUCCUGUCAAUUGUUUAACUGUUAAGCUUGUGCAUGCCUUAAAUGUCCCAUAGUUGUUAUUGCAUGAAAUGCACAUAUGUUGGUCCAUAUGGUGAUGCAUUAUCAUGAGGUAGCUUCCAUUUCUGUUAAAUGUGAGGGGUGGCACUGUAUGUGUUAAUUGAGAUUUUUUAUCUUGUCCAAUUGAAAAUCAUCAUUGUCCAAGUAUUGAGUGAACAACGAAAUGCCGGGUGAGACUGGCCCUGGAGGUUUCCAUUGUAUGACCUUUUUAUAGGCUUCCACAGGUUUGGGAAUUUGAUCAGGAUCACCAGAGAUGGCUACCUGUUGCUGAAUUAGCUUUGCCAGAAGAUAAGGGUGAUCAAGUUUUUGCUGUUGAAUGGGCACCAAAUAUUGGAAGGUGGCAUACAGCUGUUCAUUUCAUGAAUUUGUCCUUUAUACAUGAGAUCCCUAAUAGGAUUUGGUUUUUCUGAUUUGAGAUUAGCUUUCAAGAGCAUGGAAUCAAAACAGCAAGGAGAUAAAGCUAGAUAGCAAUUUAUUGAUGUGACAAUUUUAGGUUAUGAUUAGUCUACUUUGUCAUAAGGCACUUGAUCCAACAUUUCUGUUCCGUUCUUUUGACUUCUAAAGCAAGAUUUUGGUUAUGAAAAAGUUAUAGGUGAUUUAGAUCUUGAAGCAUUCCAAUGCUUUCACCUAUGUUAAAUUUAAUAAUUUGAAAUUGUGGAGCACAUUAAACCAUUUAUAAAGCUGCAAGGACUACCAUAGCACAUUAUCAGUUAGCCAAAACUACUAUAUGCUACCAAGACAUGAGUCUGGACUUUAUCAUCUCACUGGACCUCAGAUCCUUUACUUAAUUGGUGCAAUUGGAAUAAGAAUCAGAUUAAAAUAUUCAAGUUUAAUGAUGGUGGAUAAGAGCAUUGUACUUUGUGCAGGCCAUAUGAAGUGAUAGCAGUUGCAACUUGCAAGGGAAUUUCGAUGUGGCAUGUCGGAUCAAACCAUGAUCCUAAUGGGAGGCUCUCCGUGGAGAGGGUUGCCUUGCUCUCAGGUCAUAACGGCGAGGUACCAUUUGCUAAAGCUUAUGUACUCCGAUGUCAUUUUCCUUUCAGGUGUUAGGUAGCAAUUCUGAAUAGUGGUAUGAAACUACUUGUGCAGCUUUUCUGGCUUUUGGGUGUGACAUCAUAUUGCACUCUAAUCCCAAUAUGGUUUUGCAAUGCUUUUGUGUCCGUGGACCUUUUACCAAUCUUUACAAAUUUUUCUCUACUAAAUCUUAUUGUCAGUUGGCACGUAUGAACUGUGAAAUGUUUUUACAUUGAAUUGUUUAUCCUUGCAUCUUUAACCUCCAGCUCACCUGGCACACCAGUUAUUUUUGGGUUGACAAAAACAUUAUAUUUCUUGUAUAGGUUUGGCAGAUGGAGUGGGACAUAAGCGGAAUGACAUUGGCCACCACCGGCAGCGAUGGAGUUGUCAAGUUAUGGCAAUCUAACCUAAAUGGGGUUUGGCAUGAGCAGGCUCUAUUUGAGCCAACCAGUUAGAUUGCUUCACUGUUAUAGAUGCAGAAUUUGGGUUUGCUCGUCUUUCUGACUCCUCUUGGAUUGUAAUUCUUGGAUUCGAAUUGGAUUGGAGGCACUUGUGCUAAUAUUUGACUGUAAAAUUGCAAAUGUAGUUCUCACGACAGUUACAUGUGGCUCCACAAGAUGGUAAUUACAAGAGCGAUGAUAAUACCUUUAACCAGGCAACUGGAGAAGUUGGGACCAUUCUGCUUUGUCCACUAUAACGUGAUCUACUUGAUAUUGGGGAAGAGGAGACCGAUGGUCCUGAUGGAUUUGACGAAAUUCAGAAAAUUGGGAUUUUUUCCGCAAGUGAAAGGCCUUGAUUGACUUCAGGAUUUCUUACUUAUAAUUCUUUCCAUCUUAUCACUCAAUUCAAUCCACCCUCAAACUGGGAUAUAUAUGUUCGAAUACAAGGAGUCAAAGAUCUUUUAUUAGGCCAAGCCAAUGCAAAAAUAACGAUACUGGAAAAAAAAUUGGAGAUAGCAAAAGCGAGAAACAACAGAAGGUAGAACUCUUUACGCGGAAUGAAUCGUCUACUUUUGACUUUUGACUACUUGAAUCUUCUUACAAAAUUGUUGUUGUGAAUUUGUUUUGGAAUUUUGUCUUUAAAGAAGGAAAUGGCAAUUUCUUGAACACCCUCAGUUUGUAAAUUUUACUUCGGUUGACUGCAAGUGUGGUGCUGCAAACCUUGUAACACAAUCACUACAAGCCCUUACAAUUUCCUGUUGGAAGAAUAGUUUACUAGAUGCACAAACACUGGAAAUUUUCAUACUUUAUCCCCCUUCUGUAGCAGAAUAUAUAUGCAGGAACCAAAUGUUUUUGCCUUUUCAGAUGAUGCAAACAAAAGAAAUACAAUUAACCUUUAGUAAGGUUGAAUUUAACCAUUAACAUUUAACGGAGACCAUCAACAACGCCUUUGAUCAAUUCCAAUUCCGCUAUCCAUCAUCUCUUAUGGCUCAACGACUUGUGCAAACUAGCUUAGGUAAUGUAGUAAAUUUUUUUCUACUUUCUACAAACAGCAAUGAAUUUAUAUCAAAUACCAGUGUGAAACCGUCCUUCAAACAAGCAUAUUACUUGGGUAAAUCAUUUUUUACCCGCAUGUGGUUUGGUGAUUUAUCAUAUUACCCCCCAUAGUUUAAAAACCUAUACAUAGUCCCGUCACAGUUUGAGUUAAAGUAUCAUUAUUAGUUUUUUUUUUUUUUUUGUUAAAACUAAUGAUCAAUAUUAAAAAAUCAAAGCGAAACAGUUAAAUUGACAAAUUCACUUUCCACUACUAUUUUUUCUCUUUUUCUUUUCAUGUCUAUUUUUUUUUAUUUUUUUUUCCUUUGGGAAGAUAAGAGAUGAUUUUGAAAGAUUGUACUUUUGGCCUACUAAAUCUUAACUUUCUCCAAAUACAAAAAAGAAGAAAGGAAAAAAAAUAGAUAAAUAACAAAUAGAGAAUACUAUUAAAGAUUUGGUUUAAAAUCAUACAAUAAUAUUUUCAUUUAAAGAUUUAACAUUUUCUAUUUCUUAUUUAUCUAUUUUUAUGUCCUUUUCUUUCCUUUUUUUUUUUUGUAUUUGGACAAAAAAAGAAAAAAAAGUAGUAAAAAGUUAAUUUAUUAAUUUAUUAGUUUGACUUUGACAUUUAGUUUUUAGCCUAGACCAUGGGUGGAUUGUGUAUAAAUUUUUAAACCAUAUUGGAGUUAUGUGGUAAAACAUUAAAUCAAAGUAAAAAGUAAGUUAUCCUAUUUACUUUUUCGAUUAAUCUUCUAUACAAUAAGAAUGUAUACAUUGUCUCACAUUGUAUUGUAUUAUUAACCUAAGUAGCACCGCAUGUAUCAUGGAUCUGAAGGUGAUAAUAUAUAUUCUAUCAAUAUAUAUAUAAGAUUUACUCGUACUUUUUCGUCUUCCACGUAGUAAUCUCAUGAGAUCGCACGAAAUGUUUUUGAGCCAACGGCAUAAAUCUUAUACAUGCCUAAAAUAAAGUAUUAAGCUACUCCCAUUAAAAAUCCUGAUGCCUGUAGGAGUCUAGCAAAACUGUUCAUUGUAUAUCCACAGUCUGUAUGUUUUACGUAAUUAGUGCUUGGUGUCUGAUUUUAUCCUCAAUUGUAAGCCCAACAUCUGAAUGCCCAAAAUAAUUGGGCUGAGCCUUCUUGUGUGUACUUGUUCCACCGACUACUAGAGCCUAGAUAUGAACAAGGAUGUUUGUUUGAUUGUUACUAGAACACCGGGAUAGAAGCAGCGACCGUGCAAACAUGUUUUAGGAAAGUUAGAAUUCCAGAAUCAGUAGGUAUUCGACGAAUCUGCUGAUUUACAUUGCAUUGCACUCACACGUAUCCCUACAUAUAUGUAUAGACACCUCCUCUCUGCCUCCACAAACUUUUCUCCCCAUUCUUCUCUGUGAUCAAGAAACGUUAAAGAUGGUGAGAAAGAAAGUGGACAUCGUGAAAAUUGAGGAUAAAUCAAAAAGACAAGUGACUUUCACGAAAAGGCGGCAAGGGCUGUUCAAGAAAGCCAGUGCACUUUGCAAUAUUAGCAAUUAUGAGAUUGGAAUCGUCACUUUUUCCCUGGCCGGCAACAUGUAUGCCUGGGGACAUCCCACAGUUGACUCCGUCCUGCAGCGUUACAUGGCCUACAGGGCCCAGAAACCUGAUGAAAAUCAUCAAGAAAACGAAACUUCUCCAGGCGAUCACCAUCAGAACAAACGGGAGGUGAGUCUGGCUUUGUCUUUAUCACUACCUGCAGAUGAAAAAGAGACUCCUAAAAGAUCUGACGAAGAGAAGGCUGGUCAGGAGAAGGGUUUGGUGUUGAAGAACAACAAGAAUAACAGUAGUAAUCAAGAAGGGGAGAAGAGAGUGGAGGGGCAUGCAGCAGCGGCGAAGUCAAAGGUGAUGGCCUCAUGGAAUUUGCCAAAAGUUGAUGAUCUAGAGAUUGAUGAACUUGAACGACUUAUGGCAGAUAUGGAAGAGAUGAAAAAGAAGGUUGUUGAUCGCGCUAAUCAGAUGAAAAGCAGUGCUGGUCGAGUUCCAAGUUCCUAGUCUGCCUAAUUAGUUGGUACAUAUUUCGGGGGAGAAGAUUUCAAUCUUACAAGUCAUUCAAUUGUUAAUUGCAAUCGUUGGUCUGAAAGUCUACAAUUUUUUUUUUUUUGGGGUUUUUGAAGGUUUGGUCAUGUUUCAGCCAGCCAUUGGCAGACAGGUAUUUAGGUGAGUGAGCAGGGAUCAGUAAUUAGGACUUAGUAGUUAAAUGGGGUUUUGUUUGAGUUCAUAGGACGAUGGACAAUAUUGCUGCAUGUUCCUUUUCCCCUUUCUCCUCAGAAUGUGGCACUUCUACGUUUAAUUUUUCUUUGUGCCUUAAUAUGUGCCGGGAGCAAGAUAUGCACUUUGUCCGACUAAAGUUUCUUCUUUCCUACAUCACAGGCGAACCACAUUAUAAUGACCUUAACCGCACCGGCACCGGCACCGGCACCGGCCCAGGCACCGAUUCCAUUUGUUUCACUUGAUUUUCACCAAUAAUAAGCAGUAGUAGAACUUUUCAUAUAAAAAUUCUUUAAUCAUGUUGAAUGACUUUGCCCGGAAAGGACUCGGCAAUGUCUUUCUCAUCUAAUUCCAACCUUUGGGCUUUUGGCACCUGGGCAUUUGGGCCUACUGGUUUCCCUCCGGCCAUUUUAGUUCUCGAAAACAGGAUAAGGCUCUGCUCAUAUCCAACACAAUUUUCCUCCAAAAAUAAAUAAAUAAAAAGACACAAUUUUCCUCAAUAUCACCCUUUAAUUUCCAACGCAGAACUGCAGGUACACAACUGUAAAACUACGCGUUGUGCAAAAAUGAUAUCAGCGAUGAACUCCGUACAACCUCUCUGGAGUUUGAAGAGCCCCAAAUUGUCACUGGGUUCUUCUUACUCUUACUCACUUCGGCCUAGCGUUUCUCAGACAAAUCUUGGGAGUAAAAUCAAACGAUCCAAGUUUGGCAGGAGAUUCUUGGCAAAUAGAGCGAGACUUGUAGUGUGUGGUGGGUUUCUUUUGCCAGUGGAUCCCUGGGCACCUAAUGUUGAUUCACAAAGCAUAGCUCCACCGCUCUUUGCUUUAUCUCUUUUCCCCUACAUUGGUUUCUUGUAUUACAUCACCAAAUCCAAGUCUGCCCCAAAACUCACUCUUUUUGGAUUCUAUUUCCUGCUUGCCUUUGUUGGUGCCACCAGUGAGUUUCUUGCUCUUUUCCUGUCACUGAAUUUCUUGUGUUUUCUUUGGGGUGUGAACAUGAAGAAAGUUGCAAUUAUCCCUUUGUCUUUCCCCCUUUUCCGCGUAUUCUUUUCAAAAGAAAGCCAUCUAUCAUAUUCAUCAAUACUUAAUCCUUUUGCCAACUAUAACUGUAUUUACAAAUAAUCAAAUAGUUCUGCUCUUUUGAUUUCUAAUUCCGAUUGUCCUUCUUAUCUAUUAUGACUAUAACAAAUCUAAACUAGGUAUGAGUUGCUAGUGGCUUCUUAAUGUUUUCUGGUUCAACAUCUGGAAUUAAACAAUCAGUUCCCUGACUUGGUGUACCACUUGGAAAGUGAACAAUGUGCGCUAUGUUGAGUGAAGUUUCUUACCAUUAAAUUGACUGCAAUUGCUUUUGCCAUCCUAUGCUUCAUAUUUUUGCUACCGAGAGCUACUAUUCCACACCACUAACAUUUUGCAUCUUGGUUAUUUCUGCCAGUCCCAGCUGGAAUAUAUGGUAACUACUGUCCCUUAUCAAAAUUUUUGAUGCAAAUCAAGUACAUCUUCCUCAUAGUCUAAAAUUGUCUAAAUUUUGUGCUCUUGAGCAGCAAAAGUGCAAUAUGGAACUUCCUUGUCCAAUGUAGAUUGGUUGCAUGGUGGAGCUGAGUCACUGCUGACUUUAUCCAACUUGUUUGUUGUUCUCGGGCUGAGGCAAGCUCUUCGAAAGUUGAAAAAUGCAGACGAAACCUCCUCUAGUUUGGCUUCUGGUAUUGAAACGGAAAAGUCAUCCAAUGUCAAAUUUUAAGAGAACGGACAUUUUAUAUUGGAUACUUAUCCUUGCCAAUGUUUAUACGUAGCUAAUUCCGUCACCUCUGUCUUUGGACAACUUUUGGCAUACAUUUGAUCUAGUAUUGACAGUCUGCUGUUUGCGAAAAUCAUGCAAUUUGGUUGUGAACCUAAUUUUCCAGGUUGAUUCUGUAUCGUGUUUAAAUAAUCAUCCUGAGACAAUAUUAAUGGAGCUGAAACCCCAUCCACCCUCCAGAAAGGACAGAAGAAAAUAUUAAUCAUGUUACAUUUUUCAUAUCAGGUACCGUAAAUAGUGCCAUGCGAAGAAUUUUUGAUCUCCUUUCCUUGGAGCAACUUUAUCUUUUAAUUCUCAAGCGCUCAUGCACAUAAUUGAGCAAUUAUGCUAGCUAAAGAAAGGCCUAUGAACACACCUAAACAGAAAAGAAAAUACAUAUUAAAUAAUCUGUGUUCAUGGUUUUGUUCAUCUGAGAACUCUUAGCUUAAUUCUUGGCAAACAAGAGCAACUUCUGUUCAGUGAAGGCCUGCAAAUUGAAGGCAAUAUCCAUGGAUACCAACAUACUAGGAAGCAGUUGGCGGCAAAGCCUUUGUCAAGAAGUUGUCAAUCCAAUGCGACUGGUUAGUGGUUAGUAAGAUUCUUAAGCUUCUCAGGAACACUGGUCUAUUCAUAAAGAACAUUUCUAGAGCUUAACUGCUAGAUGGGAAUGUUAUAGCUAUGGCCCCUGUACUCAGAGAUGGGCCUCUAUAUUAUGAGGUUCAUAAACAAUUUUAGAUACUCUCUUGGCUAAAUAACUAAACAAUUCUGGAUACUAACUUGGCUAGCAUUAUUUAGCUGACGUACAAAUUUGUACAGGCACAUUCUCAUUCUACUUGUGAAAAUGGGAAAGAUUAGUUGCUCAAAUUAUCAAUUUUGGAAGCAUGGCCAGUUUGUUUGCCUAUUCGCCUCUUCCUUUUACAUUCAAGCCUGGGAUCAUGUGAAAAAUCCAGGCGCAUUGAAUGGGAAAUUUGGGUCUAGCUCAACAGAGUCAAUUGAAAAAUCCAACCCUGCGAUUGGUGAAUUGGUAGCUGAUGCAGUGGCUGAGAUGAUCUCCGUGAGAUCAGAUUCUGAACUGUGCAAAUUUUUAAUCCUUCCAAGGUUUGCCAUGUGGCAGGGUGACAUCGAGAAGUAGUUCGAUCCAGACGUUGCUGGAGAGACAAAGGAUGGAGAAUAAGUCCCCAAGAUGUUUUCAUCAACAAGUGCUGACAUUGGAAAGAGCUGACUUUCAUCAUCCAUAUGUGUUGCUGAAGGGAAAGAGAAGGGGGAUACAAUCUCCUUAGCCUCUGAAUCCCCAGUAUUAACCCUUAAAUUUGCUCGAAAAUUCAUUAGGAUCUGGUUUGGCUGUUGAGGUUGUUGGUGGUUAUUGUGAUUGUAACUAUGUUUAAAUUCUUGCUUUGCUGGUGAUGGGUGUUGUGGAACAGAAAUGCUGGUGCCCGUGUUGCAUACGUGCGUCCCUUUGUAAGUGAUCUCAAAUAGAGUAGGAUCAUCAUCAGACCUCUGAACUUGCUUUGUUGCCCAGCAAUUUCGCAUGUGGCGGUAUGUGCAUCUAUAGUAGCUUCUGCAGAUAAAUUGAAAACAGGGGUUAGUAUUUACAUUUCGUGCAGAUGAUUGUUUAUCUGAAAAGCAAGCACCUUCUUAGGUAAGGGUUACUUUCAUGUUUGCAGAGUGUUUUACAUAUUUUAGUGCAGUUUAGUUAAGGUAGUCAGGUCAGCUGGAUGUACGCAUCGGUCGUGUACUUGUUACAGUUGUUUGUUUGAACUUUAAAUAAUAAGCGAGCGUGUAGCUUUAUCAAUGACUUUUAUGCGGGAGGACAAAGGAAAUUGACCGCGCUCACCUGGGAUAUUUGGCUCCCAAAAUGUCCUUCUGCCCGUACUUUCUCCAGCUAUAGCCAUCAUCAGCAGGUCCUUCAAGUCCGUUCUCAGGGCUAACCCUCACUUGUUCUGUCCAUGUGGGCUGUGUCUUUCUGCAAGAUUAAUGGCGAAUUUUUUAGCAUAGUGACAUCCUAUCAUAAACUUAAGCGUUGUGAUAAGAUUUGAGUUCGACGAAAUUCACCUCUUCUUAGAUACAUCUCUGAGGUCCUGAUAAUCGUUGAAGUUGUUCUUCGCUUCCUCAUUCUGAGGGCUGCCCUCCACCGAGAUUGAAGACUCCGGGGCGCCAGAUGCCAGUGGCGUAGGCUGUGAUUGUCCUACCGAGCCGCCACCAUUCCACUUGAGGAUCGAGAGAGCUUUCUCAUAAGAAGAUAGGAUCCUUUGCAAGAGCAAAUCUUGAGGCUCCAUAUAUCCUGAGCUCAAGUGAACUCUGAGCUGCUUAGCUUGCUCCAUCCCUUGAGUUAGCUCAUUAACCAGCGUGUAGUAAUCCCAGCUUGAUCCGUACUCCAUCUUGAUAUAGUUCCCAACUAACUGCUGUUUCAAGAACAAUGCCUUCGAUUUCUUUAAAUGGCUUAUCUCAUCCAAGUGCUAUAUUAGUGACGCUCGGUCCGCGAGUUUGCUGCUGUCGAAGUUUUCAGUUUGCAGCAUAAGCAGGAGACGGAGCAGAAGUGGAGCAGAAAAAAUUUGGAAAUGUUUUGUCAAACUCAAAAGGGUCGAUGAAGAAGUUGCCAGGCUGCAGAGUGGAGUGAUUUUGGAAGGAGGACUUGGAAGUUUGUUUCUGGGCAACUAAACUGAGGUUACGCUGUUGGGUGCAACUGCUAACUGCUAAGACGCUACUGAAAAUGAGAGAAGCCGCAGCUGCUGAGUGCUGAGGAAGAAGCAGAGUGAUGGAUUUGAAUUUAAAGAGACAGACACCUUUGAGUAUUAAUCUAUAUGAUUUGAAUACUUGACAAAGAGGAGGGGCUGUGGAAAAAGACUGGGAGAGUUGAAGUUUGACCGAGAAACCGAGUUUUUCCGCGUAGAUUGGUCUUUGGUCAUAUUGGAAUUUAGAAGUAAAACGUACUCUUACUGAAUAGUGUGGCAGUGGAACUAAGGAAGAAUGCUGACCAAUUCAAAAGGGUUCUUUUUCCUUGAAACAGUUUCAAAAAGCACGUUUAAGGUUUGAGUUCCGGUAAGCGGUAGUGGCAAGUCCCCUCUCCAUCUAAGUGUACCUCCUCCACCUUUUUUUUUUUAAUAAUAUGUACCGAGAUUGGUAACUUCAAUUGUUUAGAAUAGUGCAUGUAGCAUUGGAUGUUUGAAAUUUUCAAUUUAAUCCUCAAAAAAAAAAAAAAAAAAGUUCCCAAUUUACACACACCAUCAUGGACACCAAUUAUUGCUAACUUUGAAGCACAUAAAUUUUUUUUUUCUCGAAACGAUAGGAUUUUUUUAUUCAUUAAAAAGGGAAUUUAUAUGCGCGAGAACAAAGACUCGAAAAGCUGUACAACUAAUACUCAAUUGCACUGAGGAAAACACCACCGUUCCUCAUCCAAAAGAAUGCCUAAGGCAUAAGAACUUAAUCUUCUACAAUUUGUCAUGAAAAAAUAAAUUUCGCUUAUUUAGUAGUAAUAUAUUAUUUACUCCACAAUUGUUGACAAUUGGAACUGGAAACGUUGAGACUAGAUUUAUCAGAUUCUAGAAUGUAACACCCCGGGGGAAGAAAAACCGGGCCGGGGGGGGGGGGGGGGGAGGGAGGAAUGCAGUGGUAACUGGUAAGGUCCAAGUGCUGACCAAUUCAAAGCUCCAAACCAAAUGGGCCUCCUUUCUUUCCUUCUCUCCUCCUUUCUCUGAAAAUACUUUUUGACAGCAAAUUCGUGGCGCACAUGAUUGAAGUUUGGAGGAGCUUACCAAGUCAGAGAAAGGGAUUUAGGUGAUUUGGAUAUGCAGCUGCCUAGAUAAAUCCUCAUACGUCAUUCCGCGUGGUUUCUUGAUUGCAGCUUCUCACUGCUACGACACCACAUACUAGUACUUCGUUCAAUGGCCAAAUUAUGAAGAUUCCAAUUCUAAUACCGCCCUCCCCCCCCCCCCCCCCACCCCACCGCACUCCAGCAAAAAUGAAAAACAAAGGAUCAGAGUUGGUGAGUUUAACUACUAGUCCCACUCGUAAAUCGAGUUCUUAACCUUUUUUUUUUUAUUUGUUUUUGAGGAAAGAGUUCCUAACUAUGUUACUAUUAUAUAUGAUUGAGAAUAGGCAGGAUGGUUCGUCGAAAAAAAAAAAUAUAAGCGGUAAGUUACUAUUAUAAUACAGUAGUAUUUAAAAGAAAGAAAAAACUGUUAAUAUUACAUGUAUGCAUCUGCCACCGGUCUUGUCUAUAUUAACGAAUUUAACUGAACAUCCAAGACUCACCGGGAAGUGUCUCUUACCAGUGAAUUUUGAGGUCACAAGUUCGAGUCUCCGCUCUGUUGGAUUCCUCCGCGCACUUAGCGUGUUCGGGCCGGGAUGGGGUACCGGGCCCGGGUCGCAGGGGAUUAGUCGGGCCCCGUAAGAAUUGACCCGGACACCCCACAAAAAAAAAAAAAAAAAAAAAUCCAAGACUCACCAGGAAAGAAAAGAAAAGAAAAGAAAACAUGUUGUGUCCAUAAUAUUUCAAGAUAGGCCUCGAAGGAUUUCUUCUUUUCAAAAUGUACCAUUUGUACUCCACUCUUAUUCCUAUAAGGGAACAGAUUAGACAUGCAUAUGAAAGCCUCUCUUGUCUUGCAUCAAGAUCUGAGUAGUGGAGAAUUUCUUACUUUCAAUUAUUAAAAAGAGUGUAGAUUUCAGCUCUACAAUUUAUAGAGUAUUCACACCGCGAUAUAUACCAACCAGUUCUUCCCAGCUGUAACAUAAAAGCAAUAUACUUCGCCGGAGUUUAAAUCGCACCAAGGACAAUGGUGAAGCUUCGAAGCACUAGGAAAAAAAAACGAGAAAUUAAUUUUUUUUUUUUCCUCCCGCGCAGGAAUAAUAGCAGUAUACGGCUAGUGGAUUAUAGAAUUUGACUAAUGAUAACAUUUUCAACGAGGCAGCCAAUAUUCAGAAAUAAGGAGCACCUCUCCAGUCACCAGGAUAAAGCAGCAGUAGUAUAUAAUUUCCUACGAAUUUUGUAUGGUUACAAGCCAUUAACGCGUAAAAUUCAAUGGGAGUCUCUAUAGCCGUGUCUUCUUGCAAAGUUUGUUUACUUUAGUGGUAAAAAAAAACCUGAGACUAUAGAGAGAUUUGUUGUCAAAAAAAAACUGAGGAGGGAUUCAUUCAUUGAGAGCUCAGCUCACAGAAGGAACGUCAGCUAACGAUUAUUUGGAUCCGCCAUCCAACUUACAAAUGGUUGGUUCAGCACUGAAUUGAAUGGGCGAUGUAAUUUAAAUAGUAAAGGUUUUGCUGCAGAAACUUCAACCUUGAAGUAGCCUUAUUUAUACACUUGUAAGCCAGGAUUUAUCUCCUUCGUACUGUUUCAGAAUUAGGAGGAUAAAACAUUUUCAAUUUGCUUUUUUUUUAUAGCAAUUGACUUGAGAAUUCGGUACUUCUGUAGCUUCUGCUUCAUAUUUUUUUAGUCCCUUGCUAUAUAGUUUCAUCCCUCCUCGUUGAUCUUUCCCAGCAGCAUUCAGUUCUGCACCCAAAAAACAAACUUUAAUUAGUACCAUCAACCGGACAAAGAGUAAUUUCUUGUUCUUACAAAAACAUCUUAGAGAUUAUGUUGAGAUAUGCAACUUUUCCUACAUAUUUUGCUAGAUUAUGUUUGAUAUCAAAAUAAUUUGGUUAUUAGAAAAAUAAGGAUAUUUGUUAACAAAAGAUCAUGUUGGUUUGUUAACAGAUAUUUUAGAUAAGAUUUGCUAGUAGAAAGAGAUUAUAUUUUGUUGAGAUUUUUAGGAUAAUUGUUAGUGGGAUAGUUUGCUAGUUUGUUUCAUGUAAUCACUAUAAAUAGUGAAUUGAUGAAUGUAAAACAUAAGCUCAUUUUCCAUCUUCAAUACAAGUCUCUUAUAAGCUUUUUUUGCAACACUAAGGUGUUGUUUCUUAGUUCAUGCCCCAAAAAACCAACAAAGUGGUAUCAAGAGCCUAUAUCUUAAGGGUCUGAGUCUUUUUUUUAGAGUGAGUGCAUUAGUGAGGAUCCUUUAUAAGUUCAAAGCCAUGACAGGAAAGAACUUUUUGUCAAACAUUUCAACUUUUAGUGGUGAAACUUACCAAAUUUGGGCCAUAAAAUUUUGGACUUAUUUGGUAGUCAAUGAUCUACGAGAUAUGGUAGAGACGAAUUUUGUUUCAUCAGUAUUUGAAGAGCUGAUGGAUACACAAAUUAGAGACCACAGAGUUGCAGUUAGACAGAGAUCCAAGGCCAGCAUUCACAUAUCAAUUUUUGAUGCUGUUUUCACAAGGAUAAUGGCUGAUGAUUUGAUUGAGAAUAAAUUAUUCUCAAUUAAAAUAGAAAGGAGAAGUUUCACUAUGAAUUGGUCAAAUUUUGACAAUUCUAAAGUGGAACAUGAUGAUGAAAUCAAGAAUCCAGAUCCUGAAAAAAUUCAGGAGGAGAUCAUUGAUAAGUCAGGAGAUAUCAGAUUGAUUCCUGAUAUUUAUCAAGAUUAUAACAUUUCUGUUUUUGGGUCUACAGAUUUUGAUGGUGAUGGCAAAAUGAAGAAUCAUGCAAAAUUUCAUAUUUUCUAUAUAGGUUCAAACAUCGUCAAAAGAUGUUCCAUUUUAAACCUAUGAGAAAGUUAUUUGGAAACAUUAAAAAAAAUCAUCUUUUAUGUGGAGUUUGGCAUGAGAAGACAAAAGAAGAAGUUCAUUGCAAGGCUAAUCAUCAAUUGCAGAAUUUCUUACAAAAGUCUCGUCCAAAACAAGAUUCAAAGAUUUGAGAAGACAAUUCAAAAUCUGCAGCAAAAGUGGCAAGGAGGAGUGUUGAGAUAUGCAACUUUUCCUACAUAUUUUGCUAGAUUAUGUUUGAUAUCAAAAUAAUUUAGUUAUUAGAAAAAUAAGGAUAUUUGUUAACAAAAGAUCAUGUUGGUUUGUUAACAGAUAUUUUAGAUAAGAUUUGCUAGUAGAAAGAGAUUAUAUUUUGUUGAGAUUUUUAGGAUAAUUGUUAGUGGGAUAGUUUGCUAGUUUGUUUCAUGUAAUCACUAUAAAUAGUGAAUUGAUGAAUGUAAAACAUAAGCUCAUUUUCCAUCUUCAAUACAAGUCUCUUAUAAGCUUUUUUUGCAACACUAAGGUGUUGUUUCUUAGUUCAUGCCCCAAAAAACCAACAGAUUAGAAUACGACCCACUGAUCAAGUCUCCUUGUCUUAAAAUGACGGCCAAUUCUUAGUUGCCAUAUUUCCCUCUUGUAUUUUAGUAUUAGACAUGCAUUACAUGGGAUAUCAGUUCAUAUAAUAAGCUAGCACACAGUGGAAACACACACCUCUGCAGAAGUUUCUUUGUCACUCUCAUCGUCGCUGCUGCUUCCAUCACUGGACUUGCCUGCCUUGUGAUUCAUUUUGUUCUUCAUGUUCUUUAUGUGCUCGCCAAUAUUGGCAAUGAAAUGGCCUCCAUGGCCUUCCUUCUUUUUCUUGUCAUUUGCUGCAGCAUUAGCUGCAUACAUUUGUGAUCCUUGACAUGCCGAUUGCUGAACAUGGCUUGUAGCGUGGCUCUCAUGGUCAUGGUGGAGUGAAACGUGAUUCUUGGCCGCACCAUGCUGUGCAUGAUGUCUGUGACUGUGAUGCUCACCAUUUUGCCCAUUAUGCUCUUGGUGCUUGUGCUCAGUGAAUAUUUUGCGGGCCGAAUUAGCCAUCUCCUUCACCUUGUUGGUGACAGAGUGUUCAUUGUUAGCCUUUUGGGAAGUCUCAGUGGUUGUCUUCUGGCUGAUGACAGUAGACUCCACAUGAGUGUAAGUUUGCUCAACAGGCAUAUGGCAUUGCAUUGAAGCCAUUGAAGUUCAGUUUCUGGCCGGCCUCCGUUCCGAUUCUGAUUGCUAAUUUGCUAGUGCUUCUUGAGCUUUCGAGCUGUUGAUCAGAACUUACAUAUAGUUGUGGAGUGUUAGUGGGAUUGCUUUCAGUCCCCCCCCCCCGUCACGCUAUACUCCGAAUCUCCUUUUCCUGCGAAGCACGCGUUUGGGAGAAUUGAUUCCCUGAUGAUAACAUUCGCCUGACUCCUAUUCAUUUAUUCCAUGUUCCAUCACUUUGAGAUUCUCUGAAUGGCCACACUUUCAACAAUGCUCUUGAAGAAACGAGUAUGGGUAAAUGGUACUGAUCAAUUUUUUUUUUUUUUUUUUAAAUCUAGCUAGACUAUGAUCGCAAAAUCUUUUGACUCAACCAUCGGUAGAUUCUCUACAGAGGCAUCUUGCUUAGAGCUUUACAAGAGGUUUAAAAGUAAAUUCUUUUCUGAAAAUAGUAAAUGGGCACUUCCAACCAAAUUACAGAAACUCUAGAAAGCACAAAUUUCAGGAAAGCAAUAGGUUGUCAGCACAAAUGCAGCGUUCUAGGCACUGAAUGAUCUGUCAUCAUGUAAAGAGCUGAAUAACUCAAGUGAGAAAAAAAAAAAAGCAAAAGAAACAAAACCAAAAUUGGAUCAAAUUUGGUGGCAUUGAAUUGGCAUAGAAAACAUGUCACGGAGGAUCCCAAGUUGCCUUAGAUAGGUACCAUUCAGAAGUUCACGCACAAAGUGUCCCUGGAUGAGAGUCAAAUGAUGAGAUUAUACUAGAGAACAGAUGUUACUUGUAUUUACCAGAAACACGAUAAAUUAGGAAAAUGAUAUAAAAUAAAAGAAAUAAACAUAUUAUGUGUAUCCAUAUAGACAAACAGUAACAAAUUUUGCACUUCAAAGUUUUCCGAGGAUCCAAGUAGUCAAUCCACAUCCUCCUGCGACGACCAAAUGAAAACUCACAAAAUCCUAAUAACUUGUUUUCUAGGAGCAUACAUGCAACAAAAGCUUUAGUGAAUAAUAGAGAGAGCAUCUCCUUGUAAUAACCAAGACAUAUGCACAAAAACAUUGAUAGCUCGGCAGAACAUGUCAACCAAAUAUGUUCGUGCCCAUCUGACAAACAAAAUACUCUUCCACCAAAAGGGUUAAGCUGCCACUUUGUCACCUUCCUUUUAAAAGAUUGGAAACAAAAGUAGCUAUAGCCUGGAUUGCACAGUCUUCAGCUUCAUCUUGAGAAGUUCCAGAUGAUUGUUGAUGCUUCUUAGCAAUCUUGAAAGAGUGAUCACCACCUUCAAUAACAUGCAAUUCACUGACUACAGUCAUCUUCUCCUUUACAGCGUCCAACUUCUCCAGUGGACAAAGCCCAUCUUUGCUACCCUUUAUGAUUGAAUGUUAUGUAACCCACAGCCAAGUAUGACACAGCAGAAAAUACAGUUAAAAUUUCAUGUUUGCAGGAAAAAUUAUGCUUAAACAUUGAGGAGCCUAUAAUGCAAUUAGCAGUGAUAACUUCAAUUGAACCAGCCAUGUAAAUAUUCAGUAUCAGAGUACAAGAAAGAUGGAAACCAAAGCAAAUAUCAGAAUAGAAGCCAGAUUCAUGCUUUUCAACCAGGGAAAAUUUCCACAUAAUGGGAAAGAAAGAAAGGGGAAAAAAAAAGCAGAAGAUAUCAUCUUGUCACCUGUACAAACAUGACAGGAACUUUGAGUUGCAACAGUGUUUCAUCUCGUACUGCACCAUUCAUCCCCUGAAAUUGAGAGGGAUUAAACUGAGUAGAAGAAUGUAAAUUUGUGCACCGAAGCAGACAUGCAUACAUACACACACAGAAACAGAGACUUCAACAGAUAAAGCUAUAGCAAUUUGUUUUUGUACUCCCCAGUUACUUUUGGCCACAUUAAAAUACUGCCCAGUGCUAAUAUAAAGGGUAAAGGGCUUUUGAACUUGUUUUCAUGGCUUAAAUGGAAAUUCACACUCCUUCGCCUUUGCCUAUGAAAUUUAGUCCUCCAGAAUGUUUAUACUUGCUCAAGUCUCAAAAAUCUGCUUGCCAAAAAAGGCAAGAAGUCUUAAUUGGAUAAGUUCUUUUCAUCUUUAAUACCCAAGUAAGAUGCACCAUGACGCAUCUGCCUAACUUACAUAAAUAAAGACUACUGAUCUCCAGCUCGUGCAGAGACAAUACAUGGAAUCGACCAUUGCUUAAUUGCAGAAUACAAAUUGAAAGAUCAGUUCGAAAACAUCUGAUAUGCAUAAAAAGGGACCAGAUCAUCACUAGUAAAACUACCAGAAAAAAUAAAAUCAGAUGUAAAUGAUGUCCAACCUUUAACGGGUAGCCCAAACAAACUACUGCCAAAGCAUCGACUUCUUUACCACUAGCAACCAUGCAGCUUACCCUAUACACCCAAAGCCAUGACAAAAAGAUCUGCAUCAUGUACCAUACAUACAGCCAGGAAUAGUCUCAAUAAAAAGUAGUCAAAACUAUAGAUAGCCGUUCUGCAAAAUAUUAUAAUUGUCUCACUCGGCUAGGAUGAUAGAGUGCAAAAAAUCUCAUUUGACAGACUCAUAAGUAUAUGAGGUUUCAUGCUGUACCCAGUCAUUUCCAAAAGUUGAUUGGUUCCUGCUUUUUUGGAGAUUUACUCAUCAGCAAACCAGUAAACUUUGUAAGGACCAUUGCCUUGGCCACAAUUGAAGAAAACUUACAAACAGAAAGACAAUGUAUAAGACUUCCACAACUUUGUCACAAACUGAAGAAGAAUAACGCAAGAACUAGUGUUACCUAGAACCCAUGGAUUUCCCAACCAUGAUCAACGGAUGCCCAGCGUACAUCUGCAUCGUCUUUCUAACAAUAUCUGCAUGGAAUUCAACCAGUUUUUCUGCCUUAGGAGGAGCCUUUCUUUUCCCUCCAGCAAUAUCUGCCAAAAAUCCAACCAACAGCCUUACCUUAAAAAUUCAAACUUUUUGAAACACCAUAAAAACAUCAUGCUAUUUUUUACUCACUAACUUCAAACUAUACCUCCUAAUCGAACACAAUAAUAUGCCCACUAUCAUUUCUCAUAUUAACAGGAACCAUGUGACCGAGAAAAACAAAGGAAGUACUACAACAGUUGGGAUUGGCAAGAAAAAGGAACAGCUUACAUGGGUAAUCGAAGGUUACAACUUCAACAGCAUUUAGUGCCUUGUGCAACAUCUUCUUCCAUCUGGUUUAGAAUACUAUUAAGUUGGGUUAUUUACAAAAUAAAGGAAUAUUGAUGUUUUUUUAUUAGGUUUCCAGAAAUAUACAAGUCGAUUUCACAAGCUAAGAAGAUUCAAUAUAGCCAAAGCGCGCUCACACAAAACCAGUAGAGGAAGGUGAAACGCGGGACCCACCUGACCAUCCAGUCAGAGGAAGAAGGAGCACCAGCGCCAUGAGCAAAGACAAUUACAGGUGAUGAAUUGUCUUUCUUACCCUUCACAGAUGCGCUGGUAUUGACUGUCAUCUCUUCCCGCCAUUCUUCUGCAUUUUGUUCCUUAGGAUCGUUUUCGAGGCUCUGGCUGCUCGUGCGCCGACGUUUUGAAGCCCGCAUAGCUGACACUAUUCUCAGAUAGAGAGAAGCGAAGAUGAGAAGAUUUAAGAAAUGGGUUUUCUGAAUUCAUCAAUUCAGCAGCUUCAUACUUCCUACUUUUCUCGAUUCUUGCUGUGAUUUUCGCGCCAUAAGAUUUGGGGGGGGGGGGGAAUAUUGGGCAAGUUUGGGCAUCAGACUCACAGCCACAGGCCCAUAUUUUUAAAAGUUUUGGGCGCUAAGCCCAUUUAGUGGCCUUUCAGAUCUCAGCAAUAUAUAUAUACCUUGGGUCAAUUUCAUACCAACCCAUUUACACUAGAGGUCUCCAAUUUAUGUAUGCCUUGGUAUUCAAAUGGUAUUUAUGGUACGAAUUUUAUCUUAAAAUUUUAUUUUGAUUGAAUAUUUGCCAACCCCCCCCCCCCAAAAGUAAAUUUUGAGAUGAUUAAAUAUUUGUUCCCCAAAUUUUGAGAAUACUAGUAAACAUUACUGUCAUACAUUCUAUCUUUGGCUCCGUUUGAUAACACUGAAUCUGAAUUUUGAAUACUGAAAUAAUUAAUUUGCUGAAUUUUAAACACUGAAAAGAGAUAUAUGAAUGUCUGAAUCUUAAUGUUGAAUCUAUUUAUACUGUUUGAUAAAUAUUCAUAACUUAAUGCUUAAUAAGCUAAAUUGUACAAUUUUGCCCUUAUAUCUUUUAAUCCAAAAAGGAAAUAGAACCUAUGAUUUAAUUAGCUUGAAAUUGUUAGGUAUAAAAAAGACAAUAUUUAUUUUUAAAUCAAAUUAAUAUAAAAGAAGAAAUAUAUUAUGCAAAACAUUAAAAGAAACAUUACAAUCCAAUAAUUCAUAUAACAUAUAAAUUCGACCUAAAAAAUUUAGAAAUGAUUGUUUGAAUAGAGAAUAUCAGAUUGUUUUGUUUAAUUAGAUAAGGAUUUUGAAUAGAGAAUAUUAGGUUGUUUAAUUAGAUAAGGAUUUUGAAUGUAAUUAACAAACAGGGAUAGAUUUGGUAGAUAAGAUAAAGUAGUUGAAGUAAAUCUCUUGAUUCUUAUCGAAUUAAGCAUUCAGUUAUGAUUCUUGUGCUGAAAAAACUACAUACAAAUUCAGCACCACUUAAUAAGUUCAGCAGGUGAAUUUUUAUUUAUCAAACACCCAAAACCUCUUAAUGUCUGAAUGGAUUCAGUUUCAGCACUUUUUUAUGUUAUCAAACAGGCACUUUGUCUCCACAAAUUUCAGAAAUCCUAAUUUUAGAUAUUUAAGCCUUUGUAACUCAAUAAACUAAUCUAAUAUUGUUCCCCUUGGAGAAGGGGCCAGUACAACCAAAAUUUUCGUACAAUUAUGUGGUUAUUGUUCAUUUUAUAUGUUUUUGCGUAUGUUUACAUUUCUGUGUUGUACACGUAAUUUUUGUUCUUAUACGCUAAAUCAAUAAUUUAAUACAACCACGAUUGUAAACGUAUAGCACAUUCUAAAAAAAGUGCAAUACCUGUAUCAAUUGUACAAAAUUUCAAUUUGCAAUAACUUUCCCCUAGUCCCACAUCGAUUCUAAGGGGUUCGGGGGUUGCGUAGUUAAGUCUCCAAGUUUGCCUCAAAUUUAGAUGUAAGGUUUGAACUCUUGACCUUCCGCCUCACAAGAUAUGCGAUAGCCAACUACUGCGGGGGUAGUUGGUUAAUUCGCUGAACAUAUUGGACAUGAAGAUUCCGACAAAUGUCAAAUAAUAUGUUUUAGCCAGCAAAAGCGAAUGUCAAUCAAAUACAGAGGAAUCGCAUCUGUGUUAUCUUUCAAGCCUUGCUGGAUAUGGUUUUGAGAUGCCUUAAGUUUGCCCUUUGUUUAUUAAUCUAAUAGUUGAUUGCCCAGUCGUGGUUCUUAGGGGCCAACUUCUGUUUAACCUUUAGCGCUGUUUCUGUGGUGGGUUUGGAAACUUUCAAUUUCUCAAGGUAGGUGUCUGAGUGAUCUCCGUACUCCAUUAUUUGCAAAAGUCAAAAUUCUCUUUGGUCUUUGUUUAAUGAAAAGCCUUUAAGCGCAUCUAUAUCUAUCCAUUGAAUUAUUUGAUUCUUUACUAUAGUAACGUAUUACUUUCAGUCACUAUAUUGCCAGUUCGCAUUAGAGUCAUAAUGCCUAAAGAGUUACAAAUUGAGAAUAUAAGUUGUAUUUGCUUCAUGAAUAAGUCGAACUCGGAUGUGUAUUAAUCUUAAUACCAUCUGUUUGUGACAGUCCCUCCAUCUUCUUUAGUGCAAAUAGAUGGCUGAAAAAUUAGUUUUCACGUGGAGAAUACCAUUUGAGCCAUAGUGGAUUUAAAGUUUAAAAGCCAGUUGAUCAUAGGCAAAUAAUUUAGCCUAUACCUUUAUCCUUUUUGCCAGCUCUUUUUGGAAGCAGUGGGAUUUGACGAUGCCGAUAAAGAUAACAAGGCAAGAUAUGGAGACCCUACCAUCAUACCCUGUCGAUCGGUUCACGUUUUCUCCAUUCUUGAACUCGCAGGUCAACUUUAGUAACGAAAAAGUCUGAGUUUCUCAGUCAUCGGAAAAAGACAGAAACCUCGGGGAGGUGAUCUCUCCAUUUCAGUGGGUGUCUGGGGGGUCUUUACUUCUUAGCAGCGGGGCACCCCUGUGGGGUUUCUAUCCCACAUCGGUUCGGGGGGGUUUGGGGUUUGGAUUUAUUAAGGUCUGCGGGAGCCUUCAAAAGUUGCCGGCUUUUGAAGGUUUCUCGCAGGUCAACUUUAGUAACGAAAAAGUCUGAGUUUCUCAGUCAUCGGAAAAAGAAUUAGAGAUGUCCUCUUUACUAAGGUCUAUAUAAAGGGCUGCUUGUCGAAUCCUGGUCCAUGGAGCAAGGUGUAGAGUCUCAUAGACCAAAAAGGAUACACAAGAAUCUUCAUUCUUCAAGGCAUUGGUUGUUCACUCUCCCUCAAGGGCUUCCCCGACCUGGGCCACGCACGAAUGGCCCCAAUAAUUUAACAGGGGUUAACGUGCCUCAAGGCUAGAGAAGCUCUUGGGGGAGUAUUGAACAGGUCAUGUCUUGCGUGCUUGUGCCAAAAAAUGAUGAUCAUGCCGACAACCAUCGUUUCAGAAGUUUGAGAAUCGUUUCGCAUUACCAAUGGCUUUCAUUGCUCACUCUCCCUCAAGGGCUUCCGAUCGACUUGACUCUUCAAGAGCGCCCGAGCUGAGGCGCUUGGGGAGAGUGGAUAAUGCUAGCCAAUGUUACCGCAUAUAGUUUAGUUAUCAGUUAUCACUGCAGCUGGAAGCCUAGAAUCAAGUGGCUCCUGAGCAACUAUUCCUCCGACCCUGCCAAAAUUAAGUUCUCUGAUCAGGUUGGAAAUAUUUGUGCUAGUUUUUUCUUCCUGCUACCCAUUUGGAUACGAUAAAUACAUGGUAAGAAACAAUCUCCAAGGGUUAACACAUGCAUUACCUAUCCAUGAUUGAUGUUAAGUUGUUAGCCCUAAUUCAAUAAUUGGUAAGAUAUUCUUGGAGGGAGAGUCCGUAUUAAUUUGAAUGCUUGAGAAAUUUUAUUCUGGUCUGGAGCAGCUACAUUCCUUGGUAUCAUCUCAAAACAUUACGCAUACUCGCGUUAGAGAACAAGGAUUCGACAGGCUACCAUACCGAAGGCUCACGAUCGGUGAUAGGCGUACUAAUUGUGUAAAAGUGUGACAAUUAUCAAAUUACUCCAUCAACACAAAAAGUUGGACUUAAAAUUCCAACAUACUUGUAAUAGUAGUACUAGUAAAAUAGCGAGUGGAGAGGGGUUGUGGAGGUGGUACCACAGAACUUUGACAAAACAGUGCCGUUGGGGAUGCAUGUGAUGAGUAAGUAGUGGCUUGACCCCCCACCCACCACCAGGCACCAGGGCCAUCACCAUGCAUGUCAGCUUUUUUGGUUCUCUUUCAAACAUCUUUGUUGAAAAUGGAAACGCAUAAUAUAGCAAGAAGUAGAAACUCUGUCGUCCUCUUCUGCAACUCGUAGGAUCCGUAAGGACAAGAUAGUGAAAAAGUGGGGAUGGAAGGACGGGGCCUAUGCAUGAAUGUAUCACAUCUAACUUAAUCAGAAGGAAUCUAUCUAUCUGCAUUUCUUCGUUUAUCGAACCUCAUUGUUUCUGUCCGCAUGUUUUGUGUGGAAGAAGAAAGCGAGAAAUUGGCAGCUGGACUUGUGUAUCAGGAUUCUCAGGGGAACCCUGAUUGAACUUCAAAUCAUACUUCUCCCAGUACACUAGCUAGGAACUGUCAACCUCUUUGUAGCAUUUUUAAUUUUAAGCUGUCAGAAGACUCAAAACCACUCUGAUCUUGGUGCUGCUGCUUCACAUUUCACACAUAUACACCUACACUCGCUCUGUGUGAUCGUGUUCCAUUUCAUCAGUAUCCCUUCUUUAGGUUUGAUUUGCCUUGCUCGGUUUAAAAUAACAUUGAACACACACACGCACACGCACACAUUUAUUUAUUUAUACUGUUUCAAUUAGCAUAUUAACUAUGAAUAGGGAACGGUGUUGAAAGCAUAAUUAUGUUUCUCUAUGGAUAAUGAAUUUAAUCCAGCUGACGGAGUCAUUGACUUAUUCUUUCGAGUUAUUGCUUGAUUCGUGAUUGGCUGAUGAGAAAUAUUUAAAACAAACACACACAUGCAUCCACACAAGACUUCGAAAGUGAAACUGGAAAUAUUAGGCAUUGGCUCAAUGCGAUGGAUCUUGGACUCUUGGUAUGUGUUACUAGUAACAUAAGAAUCAUAUUUCUGUAGACUGUUACCUAAGGGAGUAUAUCUGAUGAGCAAUGACUGCUAUUUUUUAACAUUUUUUGUGGGGUAGUAGAGAAUGAUGUUAUUGUCUAUUUUUGCCUUGUGAGUGUGGUAGAAAAUAGCAAAUCCUUUCCUUGUGUUUAGGCACAAUAAAGAUAACUUGAUCAAUCCUAAACCAAGUCACACACACUUUCUUUAAGUAAUUACUGCAUCAAAUGGUAACCAUUCAACUACUCGACUCAUUAACACAACAAUAUUCCUAACACAGGUUACUCUUGACUUUAUGACCAAUGCUAGUCGUAAUAAUAAAUAAAUAAAGUUGCAGUUUUAUUGAGUCUCUUUCUUAUUUUCAUUCUAAUUUCUGUGGAACAGAUCCGGCUUCAUAGAAAUAGGUGCUUCCCAAUGAAAGUGUAAGCUGACAAGAAAGCAAAAUGUAUGGUUCAUGUAAUUAGGACCUUAAAAAAUGCAGGAAUGUAUGUGCAAUCUUUUGGCUAGAAGAACUGUUAGAUAUGAGCUCCAGAUCCCAGAUUGUAGACGAUAACUAUCAUGUUAUGAUUUCUAAUAAUUACACCAAGAGCACCCAAAAAAAAAAAAAAAUUAAAGGAACAGACUUCACCGUAGGAGAAGGCCGAAGGACAGGCAGUAAAAUUAUCUCCAAAGAGAAAUAUCCUAGUCCUUAGUGCCUGCUCAUCACUUACAAUGCUCAACACUUCCACCCAAUCUUGCAUCAUAAAACCCUAGUAUCUUAUACUACGCCUUCUCGUACUUGUUUUCCCAUAACUUCUACCUGCAAUGAUGAAAGAGCACUAAAGUGUGCUACCUACGAAGAGCAGCAUGAAAUAGUAGUGUUUUCCACAUGUUUAGCAUCAAGCAAGCUCUUGAUUUUUCUCCACAAGCCUGACAUCUUUAGCAGAUCUAAGCACAUUUGCUUGAUCAUCAGUGAUUUCUACCGCGAACCCGUCAACGAUGACCAAUGACAGAGUCUUCUUGUAGCUGCCAGGUUCGAGGGUAUUCGCCAACAAAUCAUCGUGCUUCUUGCUUAAGUACAAAUGAAGUUCAUGCGCUCCCCUCUUCGUUCUACGGAAAAGAAUGUUGAUGCAUAUGAUCCACAUGUUUAGGAAAUCACAUAUUAAUGACGAAACCGUUGUUAAUACACUUAUUUUUGUUGAAAUGGUUUCUUCAUAAUGGAGAAAAAUAAACAGCAAGUUAGGUGAAAAACAAAAGACAAACCUGCUGGAUCGAAGGCGCUCAUAUUCAGGAUCAUAAUUCAUGAAAACGAAGUGCAACUCGUUGUUUGUGCUUUCCAUCACUGCUUCUGGCUAAGUAGUUAGCACAUGUGCAGAGGAUACAAAUGCCACUGCCUGGCUAUUUAUACAGGAAUGUGAUGCCAGGUGCCAACUGUUCACGACUAGGGUAAAGAAAAAUUACCCUCUUAGACAUUUAAAAGCCGACCUAGAAAGCAAAAUUAAAAUGAAAAAGAAAACUUUUGCCAAGACAAUCAUGGAAUCUUGAUUGCAUAAGCAUUUCUAACCCAAAGAAAUUAUUAGUUACUCUAGCCACCUUUAAAAAAAAAAAAUGGUACUAAGAACUGCAAUCAUGUAUAUGGAGAUUAUACUGAUCAGGAUUGAUUGCAUAAUGCAUCAAAAGUUUUAUUUUUCUAUGUUGUUAUACUCGAAUAGAUUCCUAUUCAUGCCAGCCACACAACUCGAGCAAAAUAUGCCACCGCCAGAAUGCUAUAUAUUGACUAUAUAUGUUCAUCAUGCAAGACUUCAACAGCUGAUUCUUCGGUUAAUUAAAGACUUUAGUCCUAUGGCAUUUGGGCUGAUUGGAAAGAUGCAGAUCUUGUUCAUUUUCCCUACAAGAUGCAUCACAAAGAAGAAGACAUUCAAGUAGCAACAUUUUUUUUUUGGUGGGGGGCCAAGUCAUUCAAGUGACAACUUUGACAACAUUAUAUAUAUUCCAGUGGGACACUUUUGCGAUAAUAUAAUUAAUCAAAUGCUUUAACGUCUUUUUUUGUCCCUUCUUAGGGUAGGGUUUAAUUAGACGAUACUGGAGACAAUGCUUUAGUUAACAAUAUCUUAAACUGGAGCUUUGUUGCCUAGGGUUUUGCUUUAGUUCGAGUUAAUUGUGAUUAUGGUAGAAAAGUCAACUACUAACAUUCGAGGAAAGCGCGAGGCUCUUUUGGUACCUGUAUCUGCAGAUAAGAUGUAUGUAUAUAUACUACGCAAAGUAAUUACAACCCUGUUCUUUAAACAAACAUGGUGGACCUGUUCAAACUUGGCUGCCUCAGUGAUUAAUCCAAUGGAUCGCUGAGGCGGUAUUCAUCCGUCUCCGUGAACAGGCUGCAAAGGACAAAAUGCAAUGAGCGGUUCUUAGAGAAAUCCUGCAGAAGAUGUACAGGCCCAUCUGGUCUGGUUAAUCAAAACCUCGACUUUAAGAAAGACAAUGACAAAUAUCUCUUCAGAAGAUAAAAAUACUGUUAAAUCACAGCUUCCGAAUGAUCUGAGCAUUAACAUGAUGUAGCCAAAACUUAGCGGCCUUUAAAUUCAAUCAACGUAUAUGCUCCCAGAUUGAAUUUGGUAGCAAAAACUCAGAGAUCGCGUAAUGAUCUGCUUUUGAAAGCAUGGACAGGCUUUUGAAUGAGGUUAUGGAUGCAGGCAACAAAUGAAAAGAGCUUCAAAGUUUCUUCAAAUGUACUUUUCUUACAAUCAGAUUAGUAUGUUAAGCGAGUUUGAGCUUGAAAUUUAUAUAGUUUUAUGAACACAGGAUUCUUGUUUCCCGAGGAUUUAUAAGUAGAGAAAUUCUACUUAACCUUCAAAUGCAGGUGAGAUUUGGGGCCAAACUAAAAGAGAUAUAUACCAAAUUAAAUCUUAUAAACACGCACGCACGCACACACACAGACACGCACUGAACUAAAGAGGUAGCCUUACAUUUAUAGCAGCAUUUAUAGGAAAAUAAAAAGAAAUCAGGCAAAUUGUGUAAUUUCAUCUAAAUGGACUUCUUUUUUUUUUUUUUUAGGGUAUCUAGAUCGACUUUACUUUCAUUGUUAUUCAUUAGUAUAAAUUUUUGUUAAAGUCCCAUUGCUAUUGCUAAUGUACCAAUCAAAGAGACACGAGAAAUUAAAAACUACAAGCUGAAAAUUGCUCAGAUUCUUGAUUGCGGGAUCUAGAGGUCAGAAACGAAGGCAGUUAGCGGAGGGAGGGGGGGGGCCGGCCGGGAGGGGUUGGCCGACUGGCCGUACUGUCUGAGCGGUGAUAACAAGGUCAUUAAAGCACACGUGUAUCCACUGACAGCUUCCUCAGUCACAUGGUGCCGUGGUCCUCCCAUGUGUCGAUUGACGAUUGAUUAAUUUCUCUCCUUUUCUUUUUCCCACAAAAUGAAAAAUGUUCAGUCAGCCAAGUCCAUCAUCAGAGUUCUGACCCACACGUAGGUGAGGUACUCAACAUUCACCAAUGGACACAUAUGCUGCAUCUGUUAAAAAUUGACCUUUUUUUUUUUUUUUUUGGUCAGCAAUGACGUGGAGUAUACAGACCCAACUAAAUCAAGAAAGUGCUAUAGCAUAAUUCUUAGAUUUUUUUCGUUGCAGGUGAGGACUUAAACCCCUCCCUGGUGGCCACUAAGCCAUUGGCCUAGUGGUUUGUUAAAAAUUGACCACGUCGUGCACUUUUCAUGUUUUCCUUGAGCUUGGUGGCUCAGUGGCUGCCAAGUGGGACUUAAGUCCUUUCUUGAGCUGUAGGUAAGAGUUCAAUUUUCACCUGCAGUGAAAAAAAUUCAAUGGUGGUACAAGAGCACCUCUUUGAUUUAGUAAGGUUUGUAUAUAUAUCUGGUAGUCCCCAAUAUAAGCCUCUUUAGGCUCUUCCUCUCCUCUAAUGUAGGAUAGAAUAAAUUAUACAAUAGUUAUGGUCUCGAUAAAAAAAACAUUUAGGAAACGAUAGGACAAACGAGAUUAACCCAAAAAUAUGAUUCAUCGAAGUCUUCACUUGAUAUAAUCAUUGAAUUUGGUCCGAUGGUUAAGAAGAGCCUUUUAGAGCUCUCAUCUAUACUUGUCUAAUUUAGCGAUUCAUCCUCCAUACAGGUUCAAUUUAACUUCCUCUCUGCAUAGGAUAGUGUAAAUUAUUUUUGUUAGACAAAAAAAUUGUCUUAUCUAGUCUGGCGACUCACCCAUUAUAUAGGUCCAAUUGAGUUUGCUCUCCCUAUAAGAUAAGAAUAACGUAGGAACUGAUAUAAGGAUAAGAAAAAGGAUAAGGUAAGAACUCAUAUAAUAUAUAAAUAGAAGCAGUCUAGUGACUAAAACAGAAACUUCCGGAUCUAAAGGUUCAUUGACUCCUGCACCCAUUCUUUCUUUUAGUGUAGAAUAUGAAUUAUCGUAUUGAUAUAAGAGAGAGAGGCAAAAGUCAGACGUCUAUGGCCUAGGACCAGGAAUUCUGUUUAAUUAGGCCCAAUGGGCAUAAGAGUGUUAAACAGCAAGCCCUAUACAGUCGCUUCCUCCUAUUCUUUCCUUAUGGCUAUUGUAAUAAACAAAGAAGAUGAAAGAGUGGAUUGGCUUAUUUUUCCUAGGUUAAUAUCCCUGCAAGCUGCAAGAGUCGGGAGUAAUAUAAAAGCCUUCGGGCCAUUCAGCAGGACUUCGGCUAUUCCAUUUGGGCUUUGGCCCACACUGAAGCGCAAUAUUCACCAUUGCAUCCCAGCGAAAAAGUACUAAAAACUUGGAAACAUCUUCCACAUUUCCUUUCCUUCCUUCCCUUCAUUUCCUUUCGCUUCGCUGCGCUAGACAUGAAGUCAUCAACCUUCUUCUUUUGCGCAAAAAAGAAAGAAAAAAAAUACAGCGGGUGCAACUGGAUACAGUUUUUUUUUUAUAAAUAAAUAAUAUUUAUUUAUAUUAUAAAUGCAUUUUUUAAUUAUCCUUUUUAUAUUUUUUAUUACUUUGUUUUAUCUCACAUACAAUUUACCACAAAAAAAGUUACAAUAAUUAAUUUAGAUAAUAUUUUAAAUACACUCACCAACUUCCUAGUUAAAGACCCAUUUAUAUUCAACUAUUGCUCAGCUGGUCCAUCCUACACAGUCUCGCGUUUUGUCUUCCCCCGUAACUGGCAAUUAAAGAUGACAAUUGAAACGAGGUUAAUGAGCGUGGAUUGGAGCGAAAUAGCACGGGACGGGUGGGGGGGGGGGAGAAAUUUUUCCCCCACGCCCCCUGCACCUACUAAUAUAUAUAUAUAUAUAAAUAUAAUAUUUAAUUUAAUUAAUUACAACCUUAGAAUAAGGGGCGGGGCAAGUAGUAGGCAAUGGGGCCCUAAACCCGUCAUGUUGCCAUUCCUACGUGCCACCCACCAAUCAAAGCUUACAAGUUACACACCAGCAGUCUGCGUCCAAAACCUACAUCAGUCCAAGCCUUCACCAUUAGAUACUUUUGCUUGUGCCGUACGUAGCCAGGUGUUUUUCUUCAUAAAGUAUUAUGCAGGUAAAAUUAUGGAUCUGAUUAUUUGACUUGUGUACGUAUUGGUCUUUCUCAGACAAUUGGCUGAGUGAAAGGGGGAGCCAAUCGAAAUGUUUGUUUUGUUGUAUUCAAAGUCAAUAAUCUCAACUAAGAUAACCAGACACUUGUGCAAUCUAAGGAGGCAUGUAAUUGAUAAAAUUGUUGAAGUAGUGGACAAAAAGUCAAAAAAUUGUAUGAGCGAUUUUUCAAAAAAAAAAAAAAAAAGAAAAAAAAGAAUUGAGCUCACAUCGUAAUGGAAAACCAGACACAUAGCCGAAGUCAACUAUCACGAUUAUAACACGUGUACGGUAAACCCCGUUGCCCGUUGCCCAGUUUCCACUCUCCAAACUCCAAAAUCACUCCAAACCGUCAAACAUCCACUAAUUGCCCAAACUGCCCAGUAUCCCCCCUAGCCCCUAAGCAUCCUAUAUCUACCUUUCAUGCUCGAUUUUCCGACGAGCCUUACCGUUCAAACUAUGGCCCGAUACUCCGCCACCGUCGCCUUUACUUUCACACUUGUUCUCCUCUUUCUAGUCACAGUUUCCCAUGCCCGAGUACCAUCAGAUAUCCCAGAGGGUGAUGUCAUCGACCUUGCACUUACACGCUCCCACGCUGGCUCGGACGCCAGCUCCGUCCUUCAUCUCCCCAGCGACAGAGUCAACGAUGAUGUAUCUCGCUCUAAUCAGCCCGCCGUUGACAUCCCUGAAUCUGUAUCCAUCUCCGUCGGAUCUAUUCCGUUAAGGGUCUCUACUUUCCGUCCGAUCAACCGUCACUUCCCCAUCAGUUCAAGUUUUCGGUUCCGCAACUGCCGACAUCACCACCAGCACCACCAUGACCGCCCCUUUUUCAAGCCCAUCGGACAACAACAACAACAGCACGUGAAAGUCCCAUAUGGAAAUGAUAUGAUAUUGUCCACUGGCGAAAGUAACGAGUUGGAUCCGUUUAUAUUCCAUCACGGCCGCAUGCGGCGGAUCCCGGCAAAAUUGGUCAAGUUCCAUCACCACCACCAUGAUGACCAUCACGAGGAGGAUGAUGAUGGGUUUUCCAAGUUUGUUUCAAAGCAUAGCCAUAGGUUUGGUGAGGAGAAGUUUAAGAAGCACUUGCGCCAUCACGAGGAGGAAGAGGACGAGGAUAAUCGUGAAGAAAUGAAGGAGCGGGUGGGAAAGAGAGAGGAAGAGGGUAGUUUUAUGAAACGUAUUCGCAAGUUCCUGGAUCGCUUCUAAGAUAUAGUGUUAAAAGUUUUUUGUAGAUGUCUGUCUGAUGAGUUUACAUGCUUGCAUGCAUGUAUGGCGCUGCUGAUCUUAGUGAUUUUGUUGUCUGUUUCGUCAUAUUUGUAAAUAAGUUGCAUCCGUCUGAGAUGUAAGGAAGGCACGAAGCAUAUGUAUUACUGCAACAUAUGUUGUAAUCACACUUUAUCAAUCUGAUAGGAUGGAUUCGAUUUGCUCAGAUUUUCAGUCAUUAGUUCCUUCAAAUCGUGAUCUUGUUGAAGAUAUCUGUCCAGUUCAUGCCAUCAGCCCGCGUUUGUAUUGUAAUAUGAGUUAUGGCCUGCCCCUGCUUUCAUGUCAAAAGUUGCAAUUUUUGUUUGGUCUCCGCUCACGACCUGUUCUCCUCAUGUUAAACAAAAUUUUUUUUUCCGAAGGAUCAUGUUAAACAAAUUUACUACUUCAUUUCAUAUUUGCUGCUUGACUUGUAAUAAUAAGUCCCAUCUAUAAUAUGAUAAGUGAGUUUCCGAUAAGAGGCGGACUAUCUAGAGAGAAGAAUGGAUAAGAUAAUUGAUUUUGUUCACCCAAAUAUUACAAGUGUUGCAUCAAGAAAAGGUAUCAAGGAAAGGAUGCAACAGAAAUGGUUUAAUGUUCAUUAGAAAGUUUUAGGCAGUCGAUGAUGUUUAACCUUUAUAUGCAGGUGUACAACAAAUCAUAAGAAUACUAUAUUUAGUUGAAAAAUGAAAAACGUUACAUUGUUCUUAGAACGAAUUAGAGCAAGAACCAGCCUGAUAGGUGCUGGUCAGCUCCGAACAUGGCCAGGGGCUAACUCGAACAGCAGCCCCACUUACAUCAGAGCAUUUCCAUGGAGGAUUUCUUGGCCCUACGUUCCCCUGAAGGUUGAUGUUGGAGAGGCAGAUCCCCGUGAAUGGGGAGUUCUUCAGACCUUGUAUUUGCCCAGACUGCAGAACCCCCUCACCCCAGACGUCCUUUAUCGUGACAUCCUUAACAACUGGUAGAGCAUUUGGGUUGUAAUUGGUGUCAGGAUGGUCUCCUACAUCCCCUGCAAUUUUUAUCCCUUUCCUGGCAUUUUGCAUAUAGACAUUUGAGACUGUGAUGUUCCUUAUGACGCCACCCCGGCCAACGUUUGUCUUCAAAUGGAUGCCAACUCCCAUGUUGUACAGGUUUAUGUGCUCAGCUAACACAUCCUCUAUGCCUCCAGAGGUUUCACUUCCAAUUGCAAUUCCAGCAAAUGGGGAUGAUCCAGUUACCCGCCUAAUUGUGAUGCCAUGGCUGGGGCGACCAUAAGCAAUACCAUAUUCGUCCCAACCACUCUUCACAGCCACAAGGUCAUCUCCAGUGGAAAUGUACGAGUCCUCAAUGCAAACAUGGGUGCUUGAAUCUGUUUUAAGUACAUCAAGAUUAUGAAACAUGUUAAAAUUAUUGUAGAUGCAAUUCAAAUGUAAGAAUUAGAAGUUUUAGCAUGCUUUGUCAUAUUAAAAAUUUUCAAGGAUGGAAUUCACAGUUAUAUGUGAGGCAAGUCGACAUUUUGCACUCUCACUAUUGUAAUUGAGAUCCUAUUAAGGUAUUGCGUCAGCAAAAGAUCUUUGCUACUGUUUGUUUCUUUAGGUUUUCACACUACAAUAACAGUUGUGAAUGUAAGAUCACGCAUAUUGGGAAUAGUCUCCUAGAUACAUACUUCAGAAAUCAAAGGCUGGAACUUAUGCUGUUAAAAAGAUGCCAUCUAACAGCAGGAUAGAUAAGAAUUUCAGCAAUCAUCCUGAUGUUCAAUAUUUUGGUGCAGACUAGCACAUAAUGAAAACAAUGUAAUCUUAUAAGUGUAUUAGUGGAACUUUUAAUCAACAUCAUCACCAAUAAAGGGAGCAUUAUAUAACAACUGUUGCUGAAAUGGAUUCUGUACCUGGAUCAAUUCCAUCAGUGUUUGGAGAAUCAGCUGGAGCCAAUAUCGUGACAUAGUUAAUAACAACAUUGCUGCAAACAGAUGAAACAGAAUCCUAUCAGAUGCACAUUUUGUUAUUACUGUCCAGGACAUCAUUUAAUAACAUUUGCACUAUUUUCAUGUUGCAAACUCUUUGCUGAAAUGAUCAUUAGGCUUAUUUCUCCUUAUGCUUCUUAUGCCUCAAAGAGUUGAAUAAUGGAGUUGAUCGCGAAAGAGAAAUAAUCUCAUUUAAUUGUCAAAGUGAGACCUUCUACUUAUUUAAUUAUCAAAGCAAGACCUUCUACUGCAAGCAAACCACCAAAUUUGGAAAGCUUAAGAGUUGCACAGUUAAGUAUCAGAUUCCAUUUUCAGCAUAUUUAAGGUGCUUAUGGACAGAAACAACCCAUAAAUAGCAAACAAAGAGAAAGAAUUUACCUUUAGGCAGUUAUUCUAGAGACCUUUAUUCAAAAGAUCUAAACACUUUUGACUUGUAAAAGAAACUUAUUUUGUGCGCGAGGUCAAGCUUAAAAAUAUGAUUGAAACUCCUCUUAGUUUGAUUUGAUGCCAUAAAGAUGAUAAGAAGUGGCUACUCUAAUGGAUGCAUGGUUAAGCAAAGAUAUAUUACCUGCAAUACACGGGAUGGAUGUUCCAAAAUGGUGAGUUCUUGAAGAUGACGUUCGAUACAAUUAUGCCUCUGGAGUUCAUAAACUCAAUAAGAUUUGGCCUAGUAAAUUGGAGGGUCCUACGCCUCCACAUGUUCCACCAUAUUUCACCUUGCCCAUCAAUGGUCCCAUUCUCACCUAAAAGGGAAGCAGUUCAUUGUACCAACACCACUGAGAAAUAAAGGUAGGAAAAAUACAAUUUUGUUAUACCAACGCCAAUAAAAUGACACUGUAAUCUUUGUCAUCAAACAUUAAUAUGUGCAUAUUAAUAGACACAUGUCCACCUAGGAGUAAUUACAAAUAAUAUAUCUUCACCAAGAGAGACGGUUUACAAAGUAACAAACCAGUGAUUAUCACGUCAUGGAGUCCAUUCCCAUGGAUAAAGCUCAUGUACCUUCCUCCAGGUAGUUCUCUUCCUCUUCCAUAAGAAGGUAAGGGAGCAAUUAAAGGCCAAUAUCUUGUAUCCUGAAGUAUCAAUUAAAGCAAAUGUGCAUAUUAAUGUAAACGGAUUACUGUUUAAAAUAGGAACAAUCUAUCCCUAGAUUCUUUCUACUAGCAAUCGGAUCUGAACUAUUAAUAAUAGCUUAGCAUUUCCCUACAACCUUCACUGUAUAUCAUGAUAUGGACGACAUAGGCAUUAGCGAAAAUGUUAGCAAACUUGAGGGAGAAUGGGAACCACCAAUUAUUAUUAAAAUUAUAAUACUGAAGAUGAUAUCCCUCUCCCCUGAAGUGCCAACACUAUUUAACUUCAACUUUCAGUUAAACAAAAAACAAACCGCUGUGGAAACUAAUAUAUCUUGUCAAUGAAAGCCUCUAUUCGAAUCACCCGAGUAACUGAAUGGGUAUGAUGAUACAACACUAAGUAAAACUGGUGGAUUUUAUUGGAACCAGCCAUCAGUAAGGAAAUAGCAGAAUCACUAAAUAAAGGGCCUGGGUCUACGGCUGGUUGCUUUACAGUCUCACCAGCAACAAUGUUAUGUACUGUAUAUAGUCAUCAUCUUCCAUGUUAACGAACAUUGAAGUGGCAUCAUGCCAUAUCUCCAACAGCAAGGACAUAUCAAUAUAGUAUAUAUAUCCCAUCUUGAAGAAUUAAAAAAAAAAAAAAAAACUUCGGCUUAGGUGUCAGAUUGGCUAGGUUGUCCACACCUUAAUAACCAUGCACAUGGGAACAAUUGUCCACAUCUAUAUCAUCCUAGGCCCACAAGUAAUCCUUAACGUGUAUCCUUAGUCUUUUAAUAGUACCAUUUUGAUAACAAAAUAAAGGUUCCUUCUUUUCGUGCAUGUCCUACUAAUUUAAGCUAAUGACCCACAUAAUGCGACUCAUGUUUGGCCCCUCUAAUUUUCCGACUUAAAAUAAUAAUCCGCUCCGUGCUCCUUACCCUUUUCCCUCCCUACAUAAAAUAAAGGUUCAGGGCUCCAAAUUGGAUCAUGGUCAAACCUAAUUUAAUCUGAACUCUAAAAGCAGACCAUCAUUCCUUCCUUAAUCGCAUGAAAUCGAAAUUGAUCCGUCCGCAUUAUACCUACCAGAGUAAUGAGCCCAUAAGCACAUGCAUGUCGUCACAUUUCACAAAUUCUUUUUCAUGACAAAAGAAGUACCACACUACUAUGGUAGUGAAGCUUAAUCAUUGCAUUAAAAGUUCACCAUCAUAUUCAAAACUGUAUCUAACUAUAGCAACCAAAAAACAUUAAAAAAAAAAAAAAAAAAAAAAACAGUUGGAUUACCGUGGUAGCUUUGAUAACAGCACCUCGAGCCAAGUAAAGAGUCAUGUGGCUAGUAAGAUUAAAGCUCUCAGUUAAGUACACCCCAGGAGGUAUGUAAAGAAGCGUGCCACCCCUCCUCCUCAAAUGCUCAAUUCGAUAAAUUGCCUCCCUAAAUGCCUUGGUGUUCAAUGUCCUUCCAUCUCCAACUCCUCCAAAAUCCGUGAUCGAUAUCUUAUCAUUCCGGUACCUCAUCGGGACAAUGCCGGAGCACGUCACCCACUCAGCAGCUGCCUUGCAGUGGUUUAGCAGCAGGGCAGCCGCCAAGAAGGCGAAAACUAUAGAUGAAAUUGGACGCAUACUAGAACCCAGACGGGUUUUUCUCCUUUUUCGAACUAAAAAUGACGGAAAUAUGUGAAAUUGGGGAGUUUCUUUCGAGAUUUUCAGCCAGUGUUUGUGGUUGAAUGGAGGAAAACCAGGAGGAAAAGUACAAAAGAGUCUUUAUUGACUAGGAAGGAACGAGAAAUAGAAUAAUUUCUGCGGUUGACAAGCCGGCGAAUUUCUGCUGUGAAGUCCAAGCAAGUAAGUCCAAGAAAGGCUAAAACUUGAUAAGGGCUUCAAAUUUAUCUGCAUAAACAUAGGCAAGAUCCAUAAGCAUUCCAAACAGAAAGCUCCAAAAGAACAUAUCACGACCGAGAAAGCUGAAAAUGGAUGCUGGGAAAUUUGUCAAUAAAGAAUCUUACCCAGGAAAGAUUAAGCUGAACCUUACGGAAAUGAACAAAAAUGAACCUUUAAAAGGGGAAAAAAACAGCACCUGAAGAAAUCAUCCGAAGCCGAUGAAGGCAGAGUGGCUCUGAAGAAGCAAAACCGAAGCUUCUACUUGUCUAGAAGUAAUUCGACUUUUGAGGGGAGCGCAAAUUUCGACUGAUAAUAUAUGGUGCUAAUGCGAAUCGCCAGCUAAGGAGGGACACGGAUGUAUGGGCAUUUUUAUUAGUGUUUUGUAUUUUGCUAUAUAUUCUUUUCAUUUUUCAAGGCUGCCGACCGUCACGGAUAGUUGACGGUCGGAUUUGAGGAGAUCCAUCAAGUUAUGAUGGCUUAAAACUGAUUAAUUAGUGAGGGUGUUUGGAUUGUUGAAUUAUUUCACAUAAAAUUUCGAUUGCAUUAUAAACACGUUUCUCAAUAUAUUUUUUUAUAUUCUGAACUAUCUUUUUAUUUUACAUACAUCACAUCAUAAAAAAUAUUACAAUAAAUAAUUAUUUAAAACACACACUCAGUAUUAUACUCCCUCCAUCCUAUUUUGAUAGUCCUGUUUCUUUUUUCACACAGUUUAAGAAAAAGUAGUUAACUUUGUUAGAAAAGUAAAUUUAGAUUGUUAUUUCCUAAAAUACCCUCACAUUAAAUAUGGUACAAUUUUAUGGGAACUUGAAUUGAUGGUAAAAAAAGAAUCAACUCUCAUUAAAUAGAAUAAGUUUAUAGUAAUAAUUACUUACAUUAAAUAAGGGUAUUUUAGAAAAAUUAAAAUACAACUACAUUCUUCAAUUUGAAAGUGGACUACAAUUUGGAACGGAUGAAAAAGGAAUACAGGACUAUCAAAGUGGGACGGAGGGAGUAAUUGCCUUUUGAUAUUGAUUGUAACUCCCUCUUCCGAGUGACCUUUCAAUUUCAAUACCCCUUUAUUCCGCUCCAUUGGCCAAAUUCUACGACAUUAAAGCAUAAAACUUGUCAAAAGUUGCAAUUGAUAUAGAGGUCAAAAGUUGCAUUUCAAAGACGAGAAUUGAUGUGUAUAAUGGCUUUACUGUCCCAUUCAAAGGGUAAUGUUUGUUUAAGACAGUUCUAGGCUGAGAUGUUCUGUUAUUGUUGAGAUGACGCAGUAUUAAGUAACCCAAGAUCUCGUUAAUUUCAAUUUGUGGUUCAAUCGGACCAUGUAGCAAAUAAACAUCAAACUUGGUUGUUGUAUUAGCAAUUUAGCAUAUUUAAAACUGUUGGAAGAGGAAUUCAAGGCGGAAUCUGGAUUGGACUUUGCGAUAGCAUUCGUCUUUACAGACCAUUAUCAUUUGUUUAUAAUACCAUUAGGAGUAGACAGUCCCUUGCUUUUAGGUACAUCAACAGAUUUCCCGGUCACGGGGUCACGGUGGUUUUGUUUUUCUUGUUCUUAAACAGCAUAACUCCUCGUUAAAAAAAAAAAAAAAAACAGCAUAACUCGUAACUCACAACUAAGCUCGCAACACAAAACAGGAAGUUAAUGGCUCCAUGCUGGAUCGGGUACUGACGUGGCAGCAGUAAAUUGAGAAGCAUGUUUUAGUUUGGCCAAGGGGCUGAUCUGUUGAUGAGCAGAAAUGUCAUGUAGGCAAGCACGCAUUUCAGGAAUUAGGCCACCAUUACUUGAUAGAUCAUUCUCGGGGAUACCCUGAUACUGCCAGUUGCAAGAGCUUUCCGUUUACACCCCAAACCCAAUGCCACCUCCUCCGUCCGUCUGUCUCUUUUGGGCCUUUGGUUGGUCGUUGGCACUGUGCUAAUUGCUAGAUUUGUUAUCUGAGUUAAGUCGGGAUGCGUUUGAUAAAAUUGAAAUUUAAAAAUUAAAAUUAAAAAUUUAUCAAAUUAUUAAGUACUAAAUUUAUUAUAUUUAAAUAUUUAUAUCACAUUAAGUGAUAAAUAAAAAAAGUCAUCAUUUAUUUUUUGAGCGUAAAUUUUAUUUAAAAAAUUCACUGUCACUUAAUUAAUUUAGAUGUUCAAAAUUAUCUUGAUUAUCAAAUGCAUUUGAACAUGUUAAAUUUUGAAUUCAUUAAAUUUAAGUACUGAAUUGACUUAUCAAACAGAACCUUACUAAUUUUCACAAAUAAGUCACACAUUUUUCAUGAUUUUUCAUGAAAAAAUUACUGUAGCGAUUGAAUAUAUGUGAGGAAGAAAGAUAAUAGGAAAAUGUGAUCACGAAAAACGACGUAAUUUUUUGACGGAAAACGGUAAUCCAAACAAGGCCUUAAUUAUGGGGAAAUUUUUUUUUUUAUAAUUAAUUAUGGGGAAAGUUAAAACACUACUCCUAGUUUUGUACGUUACAGGGACCCGGCACUAGUCAGAAUCAUGGAAUCAGACAUGCAUACACCACAGCUAGACCCCGCGGCCACUAAAUCAUCAAUGACUCUACAGGAAAGGAAACUCUAGCCUUGUUUUGAAAGGAAUUUUUUAUCAAAAAAAAAAAAAAAUUCUACUCAUUUUUUUUUUGUGAUCAUAUUUUCGAAUCAUCUUUUUACCUUAUUCACAUGUAUCAAAUCGCAAUAAUACAUUUAAAAAAAAACCAAAAAAUUACAAUCUAAACGCAACCUUAGAAAAGCUGACUGACAAUGGUGGAGCCUAGAAUAUUACUCGCAAGUUGCAUACCUCAAGGACCACCAUUAACAAGUCCUCUUAAUUGCUCUGGCUGCAAGGCCAAUUUCCGGCUGAAAUUUUGUGAGAAAAUGGUCCUCUUGGCUCAAGGCACCCCCUUCCGUCUGUUCAUUUGGUCCAUCAUUUCUUCUCUGUGGAUGAGAGAGGUGGGCGAGGAGCUAGCAACACAUAAAUAUUUUGUCGGCCCUCAAGGCCCCUGAUCUAAAUGCAGACCCCAUUGCCCUGUCGAGGUAUUGGGUAGGGAUUAACUACCCACUCAUCAAGUCACCACUCACCACUAGCCACUAGGCCAUGGCCAGCUCACCCAAAUGCUCAACCAUGCGCUGAUUCUCCACCCAGACAUUUUCCAGAUUCAGCAUGCAACGUUUUUGUCCUUCUUGCGCUCUCUUUACCAAUAACCGACCACAUUUUUACUUUUUUUUUUUUUUCUAAUCGUUUGCCCGCUUGAACAGGCUUCACAGCUUUACAUAAAGCUACAGAUAAGUAAUGGGAACAUGAAGAAUAAAGCUAAUAGCACAACACUUCUCAUAGGUGGUCACGAAUCAGAGAAAGUUCAUUGAAUCUCUGCUUUCAGUUUCCCAUAUUCUCCAUAAGAAUCUGCCCAUGCUCUUAUCUUCUCCAUGGCACCACUUCUAUUGCAAAGAUACCUUUAAUAUUUUAUACUGGUUCAUUACCAAUAGAACAGCAAGGUCCAGUCCACAACAAAGAACAGUAUCUAUAUACUUUGCCUUCCUAAAUUCCACUAUUGAUGGCAAUUCAUUGGAUAUUCAUGCCGUAUAAUCUAAAGCUCAUUGAAGCUAGGUCACAGCUAUACACUGACCGAUUUAAACUAAUUCAUUCCCUUCAUCAUCCGUACCUUAUAACGCUGCAAACUGCUCCAACAUGACCACUUAAAAAUUUUGAUGACACGACAAUUUGGUUUAUGCGCCCAGAAGCUCAAACUGGACACAAGAAAGAAAUUAGGCGCUCGAGCUUUGCAACUGCUUCACCAUAGAAAAAUACAGUUAAAAUUGCACAUUCAUCAAACUGGCUCAUCCAUAAAACUAGGAAAGCUACACAAGCAGUUCAGGUGUGAAUCGCUGCAAGAAUAGUAUAGAGCUCGCUGACAACCCUCUAGUGAAAAGCAGGCAGGAUUUAGCAUUUAAAAGUCAAGCUUAAAUCAAUAUAGUUUCCAGAAAACAAAAAAGAGUAUCCUAUAUUUUUUUUUUUCUUUAAAAGGAAAUGGUACAACGGGAUAUAUUCUAGGAAUGCAACUAUUAAUCUAUCAUGGCAUAUCACCUAUCCGGUACAAACAUCUUCACAUUAUAAUAUGACAAAUAUGAAGGAAAACCCAGAGAAUAUGUCCUUAGCCAAGCAUUACAUACACCUGGAAUUACACAACACUUAAAAAGGCAAAUAUAUUUACAAGCCAAACUCGAGAAUAACAUGCUAGACUUAUGGUUUAAAAGUCUGAUGGGAUGUGAGACACUAAAGAGCAAGCAUACGCCAUCAAAUGAUUAGGUUAUGCAGUGGCAUGUCCUUCAAAGAUUGAGGAUUGGCAAGAUACCGCUCUUUCUAGUCAUUGAAAUGAAAAAUCUUGUACUUCGAUGACGAUAACUGGAUGCCUGAAGCUGCAAAUCAAGUGUACCUCUUUCAAGCCUCAAUCUCUGUCAAGUGGCUCAACUCUAUCCUGCACAGCUAGGCGCUCUGAGACAUCAGCAAGUGACUUGAGGUUACACUUUAUUAGAGCCUCAACAAAAAAACAUGUUUCAUCCUUGGUAUUUCCCUCUGGCACGUCCACCACAAAUGAUUCAAUAACCAAUGUCCCUGGCCUCCCAUCAAUAACCUCUGGAUGAACAGUGACGGUUGACAUGUAGUUCUGCAGAAUUUUUCACUACCCUUGAUAUCCAUAUAGUAAAGAAAAAAGCACAAACAAGACAAGUUUGGCCAAAGAAGCCAUGAAAAAUCAAUAGAAUCUAAAUCCUGUCCGUGUAAUUUGCAGCUGAUGCAGCUAAUUGCGUAGAAACUAGUUACCAUAAACGUGCUUGCUCAAAUGCACAAAAACUGUAAUCAUGGCACAGAGUUGCAUGUGAAUUGGAGCAUCUAUAACUCUUUUUUUUUAUUAUUUUAAGUGCAAGUGGGAGAGCUUGAACCUGGAAACUCUAACUUACACUCAAUCCUCCCCAGAUCUGCACAUGCCAGAGCAUUUCAAGUUAUGAUUCUCACAAUGUUCUAAAGCACCGAAGGUGACAAGUAACUCAGUGCGUUCUCUCGAGAAUGAAUUGUAUACAGUAGGUGAAACAAGAAAAAAAAAAAAAAAAGAAGAAGCUAGUACAACUAAAAAGAUUUAAAAAAAAUGCAUUCAUGGGCUAUUCAUACUGAAGAAAAAUAGUUGUUCACAGGAAUAAAUAUUACACCUCAAGUUGUGACUGAAAAUCAACAGUCAUCUAACAAACGUACGAAAUACAGCCGACUGAAUACUGAAUCUCCUAAAUUCCCAGGUCACAAAAUUUCCCCCCGGUUCACAGGUAAUUGUACUGGAAAACAUGAAGAGGUUUCAAGAUAGAAUGAGGAGGACAGUUUUUCAGCAUGAGACCACCUUAUUACCUAGUAAACUCCUCAAGGCAAUACAAAACUCAACCAACAAGUGUUUUACUGGCUCAAGAGAAAACAUAGAAAGAAAGAUACUUACAUUAAUAUAGUCGAUUUAGACUGCCAUGGUAAAUCCCGAUGAAAUUGCGUAUCAUCAGUAGUCAACUUGUAUUCUCCUAGUCACAUUUUGAAUUUGCCAAACAGAGAAGAAUCUAGAAAGUAUAGUACCUUUAGCCUGUGAUCUCCACCUACAAUCCGCAUGCUAAAGAUGUGCUCCUCAUCAUCCAGAAACUCUAAUCUUUCAGUGCUAGUGGUAGCUGGAAGUCCAGACUUGACAUUAACUUCUCUUACACUCCCGAUCUCAAGAUCACCCUGCACCACGCACCUGCUCACAAAGGGCUUGUACCUUUGCGGUUGAUCAAACCUCCUUACUAGAGACCACACCUGAAAUGCCCAAUAGCUAGCUCAUUUAUCCACUCCCCACAGGAAAAAAGAAUCAGAAAAUGCCAAGUUUACCCUGUUAAUGCUAACAGUAUCGAUGUGUAAAACUUGCAAGAAACUAGCUAAUCGUUGAAGUUCCUGCUACAUACUGCAGGAGCUCACAAGCUCAACUACUUAGUCAUGACCUCUCCCCCUUCCCCAAGUAUCAUAAAAAAAAAAAAAAGAAGAAAAAAAGGAAAGAUGAGUAAUUUUUCGCAGGGGAAAAGCCUCAAGAUUAUCGUUGCCUGCAAUAUCUCUCACGCUUUCGGUAUCAGUGAACAGAAAAAGCACUGCUAAGUGCCAGUAAGCAUUAACAUGCCAAAGCGUCGGACAAACUAAAAAUCCAAGGAGACGAUGAUGAAAAUAAAGUAAUCCCAGAUCAAAUUCGCUCAAAAAAAUUCCAAAUAAAAAUUACAAAAAGAUUAACUGCCUGUAAAUCAGGAAACACAGAUCCAAAGCCCAACUGAACAGUUUUGUAUGAGCAUAGACCAAAAAAGGAAGAAUCAAGGGCCCCUUCGACUUACAAGGUGAACUGGGGCUUUAAUAUGUUUAACAAGAGACGACGAGCAUUGGUUGGCUCUGACCUCAUGCAUGUGAUGCCGUCUGAUGUGCUCAUCAUCUUCCAUUCCAGUUCUUUUUUCGCCACUCAUUAUGCUGAACAUAAUCACUGCUAAUCAAACAAUAAGCAAUUCCGUGAGAGCCUAUUUCCACCGACAGAAGCAGGAACUUGAGUGGAUUUUGCGUGUUAUCGGACGGGAUGGAGAGAAAGGGAAGAGGGAGUGGAUGUUUGCGGUAAAGUCAGCCCUGGAAGGGUCCAAAAGACACCGCCAUUGAAACCUCCCCUGGCUUCAAAUAAAUAAUGGGCCUAAAAAGUGUGAACAGAAGUACACUCUCUCUCUCUCAUCCACAUCUCAUUUCCAUUUUGUGUAAUUAAAAAAAAAAAACAAAAACUUAAUUGCCUACUGCAUUAAUGGCUGCAAUGUCUCCCGUUUCUUGUCAUUGGUCAGAUGGAUUAAACCAAACUAAACUUCUCGUUGCCUGCCAUUCUCCUCUUUCAUAUAAAAAUAAAAAAAAAUUAUUUGUAUUGAAUAAUGGCUAUCGAGUGGCUCGAUUCGUUUGCAGCCCUAACAGUGAUGUGAUAUAGGUGGCAAGAAAUAAAUAAUUAAAAAAUUUUCCUCUAAUAUUCCGGGGGGGGAGGGGGGUUUGGUAAGAGCUUAUUCAUAAUUAUUUUGUUGCGGACAAAUCAAAUGAAAUCGGCCUGUGAGUUAGUGCUCGUCAAAUAUUAAACUUGACUAAAACGUGUUGUUCGGUUAGUAUUUGCCAAACAGCAUUAAACACGAUCUGAGGAAAAUUUACAUGUAAACUUGACUAAAACGUUGUUCGGUUUGUGAAAAGGUUAAAAAUUUACAUGUAAAUAAUGAGGCUGCUCAAGGCCAAAUUGCCUUCCCUACGCACGCGAACAACCCUUUGGGUUUGUUUGGAUUACUUCAUAUUUCCCCAAUUUUAUUUGCUUAAAUCAUCUUUACAAUUUCCAAUACACUUUUUUAUCUUUCCAAUAUCUUUUUAUCUCACAUACAUCACAUCACAAAAAGUGCUACAGUAAAAAUAUCCCAAAUAAUCCCAAAUAACUUACAAUCCAAACAGACCCAAAAUUUGACGACAAUUUCAAGUUAAUCAAAGCAUGAAAUAAAAAAAAGGUUUGGCUAAUACUUAUACCGUUGAAUUAAAAAAAAGAGGCAUGGAGAUGGAGGGUAAUCCCUUUCAACCAUCCAUCAUUUGCGUUGGCUAAUUGAUUGUUACCCAUCAUCUUUCGACCUUACCUACAUAAGCCCUCCCUUAAUAUUUUUAUUUAUUUUUUUACCAAUAAGCCCUCCCUUAACUAGAACUUGAAAUGAUGUGAGGACUGAAAGCGCGUACGUAGUACCAGUUACCAAAUGAUCCACGUGACCAAGGUGAAAGGUCUGCCCAAAUAUCUUACAGUUACAGAUCGAAUAAUUUAUUCUCUUUCAUGCGACGCUUCUUCUCUCUUUUUUUUUUUGGGUAAAAAAAAUGAGAUCCCAGCCCUUAUUUGAGUUAUUGGAUUAUUCACCAUUUUUGUUAUAAAGGUUGAACUCUGGUUGGUAGAUGCCUUGAUUAGGGACUACACCACCAGAUCAGCUACUGCUACCUUGGGGGGACACGACGCUUCUUCUCUUUCGAAAGCCAAAAUUAGGAGUUGUAUGUAUCAUGUCAAUAAUGGCAUUCCACUAGUAGUAAACAUCAAAAUUAGCUUGAUCAAGUGUUUAAAAAAAAAAAAAAGCUUGAUCAAGAGUCUUUCCCCAAGCUGUGGUCAAGUAGAAUGAUGUCGCUUAGCCUCCGAGAGCCAACUUAAGUUGCAAGGACAUUGAUCGUAAGGUCUCUGAUUCAAACCCUUCAUUUUGAGUUUUACUGAUAGUCUUUCUUAAGGUUUGAUAGUCUCCCAUUAGAAGAAAAAUGUUGGUAACAUCAUUUUAUUCAGAGAUUAACUUUUGAUAAAAUCAUAUUGAGUUCCCAAAAAAAAAAAAAAAUGACCAAGCCUAGUAGUUGACUUUAGAACUCACGUUUUGUCUUUUGUUUGCAUUAACUGGUGCAAAAUUGUAGCCCUCUCGGAGAUCAUGCAAGUGCCUCAUAAAUCCGGUACUCCACAAGAUACAACUUUUUCCUUCUUCUAGGAUUUAACAAAGAGUAAAUUUUUUAUACACUAUUAAUAUAUAUACUAUCACAAUUAAAUGAAUGAUACAUACGUAAAUUUUGAAUUUUACACAUAUAUUAUAUACAGUAUUUAAUAAUGACGGUGUAUAUUAGAUUAACUCUUUGACAAAAUCCCGGACUUGUAAAUUGCAACUGCGCACGCAAAGAAAAUUUGCUGGAAAUUUCAUUGGGCCGACCCCAAUGAAAAGCCCCUCAGUUUGCAAACUGGCCCAGAAGACGAUCUUCCCGGACAAUAAUUUCCCGCCAGUACUGCUCCUCGCCUUCAUCGGCCUCCCUUUUUCCCGCCAUUCCGCAAAUCUUCUCAAUCGAUUCGCUCCUCACAGUUCAAAGCUCCUUCUCCAUUCCUCAGCUCGCCAACCCCACCCGGAUCGUAUGUUUUCUUCUUCGUUUCUGCAAUAUCUCAAAGUUUUAAUUACAAAAAUCAGUAUAUAUUAAGCAGUAGUAAUAUUUUAAUUUUCCUUAGGGCCAGGUUUUCUUUUUCUUUACAGUAGCCCUUUUUGCAUAUCAUCUGUGAAAAUAGUGUGACGAGUUUCCUACUCAUGGCUGGAGAGGGAGCUGAAAAUGGAAGAGAUGAUAUGAUUAUUGAUGGAUCAGGAGCUGAUCAGCAGAGGCAGAAUAAUUUAAUCUUUGAUGGAGUCAACGUGAAUUACCUCAAACUUUAUUACGGUAAGUUUUCUUCGUCUUAGAAUAUGAAUGUUCAUUUCUUAACCUUGAACAAGUCUACUGCUUUUAAUCUAUCAUCGAUUAUCCAUAAAUUCGAGAAUUGUAUAAAUCCCAGUGCCUUUUUGUUCCUCGUCUUAGGGCAAAGAUUCUGGAUUUAAUUUUUAGUGCCUCCAUUCCCUUACCUUCCCCAUCCUACUUCAUCCUUCCCACCUCUCCCCCGUUGAAAGAUUUCUUUUUUCGGAAAAAGAAAAACCUAUUGUCUACCGGAUGCUUCCUUAUAUAGUUUCUGUCUGUGGCAGGGAAGCUUUUUCCUCAUGCUGAUGUGUUUAAAUGGAUGUCGUAUGGGAACGGUAUGCUGGAUAUCUUAACCUACAGGUUCCCCUUUUUGUGGGGGGACAAAAGAGAGACUGUAUUUUUUCUUUUGAAGAACUCAUAGAGUUAUGUUUUGGCUGGUUAGAUGGGAAGCAUCCCGGGUGCGACCAUUCAUACUUCGGGCGCAGAGAAUUCUCCUUCACCUUGGAUAAUGACAUAUAUUUGCGGUUUCAGUCUUUCAGUGGCUUGUCUGAAAUGGAAAAUUCUAUAAGGGAAAAAUGUCCCUUUAAAAUUGAUAUUGGCCCUGUUUACAGUGUGGAUGUAAGAUUUCUUUGCUUUGGUCCUGUUUUAUUGGUAAAAAUGUCCAUUUGUUUACAUUCUGGGUACGUAUGAGUUAUGACAUAUGUUGCAAGCGCAAUAUGAGAAUGCAAUGAAUGAAUAGCGGAAGACUGGAAAUCGAUGUUGUUUUUAUCAAAACAUGCUUGAGGCUUCUUUUAUAUGAAUGCUCAGUACCAGCCUGUACGCAUGAAUGAGUCAUCGGCUUUUCAUUUAGCAUUUUAUGUGCUUUCUCGUUUCCUGCAGCCUGCAAGGAGGCAUGCCUAUGCACAAGGGAGUGAUAAUGUCUUCACUCCAGUCGAGAGGGAGCUCAUUUUUGAUAUAGUGAGUUGCUUAAUUUUACAAUUUAAGACUGCAUAGUUGGAAUCCCCAGCCAUUUGACAUUUCUAUGAUACAGGAUAUGUCAGACUAUGAUGACGUAAGAUAUUGCUGCUCAGGGGCCGAUGUCUGUUUGGAUUGCUGGCCAUUGAUGACAGUUGCUAUUAAAGUUCUUGAUUCUGCCCUUAGAGGUAUUCAUACUGUUUUCAUCUAUGAUCUGAGUAUGUUCUCUGCUCAUCCUUAAAGCUGUCAUUUCUGGCAUUUAUAUGUUAAGAGAAAUUUCUUUUCCAUUAUCACUAUUGUAUUGCGGCUCAUUGAUAUGCUAAUUGACAGCGUUUUUUUGUUUUUUGGUACUCUUUGUUCACUUUCUGAUGUAGUAUAUGAUCUUGCGUACUGUCAAUUUUUAACUGUUCGAAUAAUAUUUGAUCCUUUUUGUCCUGUCAAACAGUAUUUUCUUCCUCUUCAGAGCAGUUUUUAUUUUUAUUUUUAUGUGAGUCCUUACUUUCAUUUCAUUGGAACUUGUUUUCAAUUUCUGUUGAGGUUCGAAUUUUUUCUUAUAAUCUCUUAGAUACUGAAAUUAUUUGUGGAUUUAUCUUCAAAAGAAUAUAAUCUGUUGACCAAAUAUCAUAUACUACAAUAUCCUAAUUUCGCUCAACUUUGUCCUGCAGAUGACUUUGGAUUUAAUCACAUCCUCUGGGUGUACAGUGGUCGACGUGGUGUGCAUUGUUGGGUGUGCGAUGGAAAAGCUAGGAGGUAAUGCUAACAUUUGAGAAAAGUAAAGGAAAUUUAGACUUGUAAAUUUGCUAUUCACCAAUUGAGGUGUGCCUUAUAUUGCUACUACACCAGGUUGAACAAUGAACAGAGGGCAGCUAUUGCAGAUUACUUUCGUGUGUAUAAGGUAAUCCAUACCUAUCUCAGAUCUCCAGCGAUUCUGGAUUAUUUUUUCUUAGCCCAAGAUCUAACGAGCACAUUUUUCUGUUCAGGGUAAUGAGAAUAGUCAAAAAAUGGUUUCUCUAUUAGGUCAAGCACUUCAUCCCUUCCUUGUGUAAGUGCAUUUGUCAUUUUCUUAUGAUAGGUAAUCAAGUGAUUCUCUAUAUCUAUUUGCAUCUUUGUGAAUAAGUCCUCAUUAUAUCUCUGCAGGAGAGCACACAAUGAAGUUCUGAAAAUUUUCUUCGAGGAAAAAUUGCUUUCCACUCAAAAUCUAUUAUUAGAUGAGGACCGAUACGAGAAGAUUCUAGGAAUGAUUCCUGAUGAAUGUAUGUGUAUUUAAAUAUCAUUGGAAUUCAUCUCCUGGUCCUCGUUCUGUUGUGUUAUGGGUAACCUUUCCUCAAGCACUGGGAAGUUGUGAAACAGAAUGUUUAUUUUGCAGCCAUUACUUCAGAGCUUCGUGGAAAGUGGGCUGAUAAUAGGCGCUCCAAAGAAGAUAUUAAUGUUGUCCGCUGGCAGCAACUGAAGCACAUGCUGCAAUCAGCGAAACAAAAGGUCAGUAGGUCAGAGUAAAGGAGCUGCAAUUAGCUAAAGCUAAUUCAUGUAUCCUGCUCCUUCUAUGUACUCCCAGUCUGGAGUUACCGAUAAACAAUCAAAUCUUGAUUGAGUAAAUCAAAAUGUACUUUCCUUUUCCCGUUUCAGUUGCAACUUCGUCGGUGUGUGGAAGAGAUAGUUUUUUCUUUUACAUAUCCAAGGCUUGACAUGGAGGUCUGUAAAUUCCCCCUACCUCUUCUACUGCCUCUCGUCAGACAUCAUAUUUCCUUGCUAAUCACCUUAACUUCUUCUGUUCCCAACCUGAAUGAAUCACUGAAAUGUAUCAGGUUUCAAGACACAUGAACCAUUUGCUAAAGGCACCCUUCUGUGUACACCCAAAAACAGGUUUGCAUUAACCUUCAAGAUAUAUAGAAGUUCAGGAUUUUAUAAAUUCUGAUGGGUGGUCACUUUCAUUUGAUUUUGGUAUUAGAAACCGUGUGCAUUGAUUGGAAAACCUAUCUUUGGACUUUGGGUUCAAACUUUAGCUGUGAAGAUAUGAUAGCUGUUGAGCAUAUGUACUGUGAUUCAUCUGAAAUGCAUUUUUCUUGUUUGCAGCUCCUUGACAUACAAUUCUUGCAUCUUGCUUCCUUUUUUUUCUGCAGGCCGUGUGUGCAUUCCUAUUGAUCCAAACUGCUGUGAAGAUUUUGACCCUACUGCAGUACCGACACUUUCCAAGGUAAGCGUCAAUGUGCAAGAAAUUAUUCAUCAUUUCUACAAGAAUUUAUUAUGGGAAUGCUGAUAGCCUUCUGUAUGCCUCCUUAUUUUGGGAGUGGUCAAAUGGUUUUAAAUAGUUAAUUCGUUCUCAAAAUAAAAAUCUUUGUUGUUUUUUAUCACAAAUAUGUUUCUUAUCUAUUCAUUAUCUCCUUACCCAAAUAUGCAGAUCCUUGAAGAACUUAAUACGGAAGGUUCAAGAAAGGAAGGUGACAAUGGUAUGCUUACAGAACCAGAGAUUCUAUGAGUGCUCUUUGAUUUGGUUGAUGAAAGUUAAUCUAGCAAGCAUCCCAGAAUGAAUAAUUAUUUCUGGCUCUUCUUAAUUGCCUAAUUAUUUAGAAUAUAUGUUAUGUUCAUUGUGAAUUAGAUGGCACACAAUUGCUUCAGGUUGGUGUUUCUUCCUUUUGUCAUUAGGUGAAUUUAUCUGGAAUGACCAUGAUAAAACUUGAAAACUGUCAUGCCUUUUAAACAUCUUCACAUUUAGUAGUAUAUUCCAUUCAAGAUAGUUGUCUAAUGACUCCAAGUCUUUCCAAACUGGAAGGUCAGAUAUUAGUUAUACAUUAUGGUAAUUCUUGGUGGCAGAAUGGGAUAGAACAUCACUGGGAGAUCCUGUCAGAUAUUUUCGAUCAUCUUUCUUGCAGCCUCUGCUAAAAUCAUGCAAGGUAUUUCUCAAUUAUUAUGAUAACUUGUUCUCAUACUAAAAGACUAUGCUCUUUUCCAUUUUCUUCCUUUAUUAUUUUUUUUGAAUUUUGGGGUUGUGUUCAUUGUUUUCUGAGACGCAUUAUAUUUUCUCUAUGAACACUAGUGGUAUAUAGGCUAGCUCUUAUGUCAUCUAAGGUCAAAAGUUUUUUAACACCAUCUAAAUUUUGUUAGCCCUAGGCCUUGAACUCCAUUUUUUUUUUAAUCUUGCCUUUUUCCUGUAUUAGUUAUCUCUUAGCUAUUCCCCUGGACUAGCAAUGAAAUCUGCAUCUAUUUCGAAUUUGAAUGAACAGAGUUGAGAAACAUUAGGAUUGACCCAAGGCAUUUUGUGAACUGCGCAGGAGGAGAUAGAGAGUUCCUAUAGUGCCAAACUUCAGGAGUCAAAGAACUCACUGAACUGGUAGAGUAUAUUAUUCAUCAUCAUGUGUAAUUUUACCUCUCUAAGUUGAUAGCUUGGCAUAAAAGUGUCAAGUCCAUUUGUUUUUCUGAGGCAUGCUGGUAGUUUGGCUCCACUUUUUUCAGUUAGCAGUUGGGAGUCAUUAACGGUUGUCAUGUACGUAACAUAUUAUAAUUGUCAUGGCAAAAAGUUGUAGAGAUCAGUAAUUUAUUAACAGUUGUCAUGUGUGUAAGAUAUCUCAUACGGCUUAGGCAAGUAAUCUGAAGAAUUUUAAGUGCAAUUUAUUCCAUGCAAUGAAUAUCACUAAAAAUUUAGACGGGCUUCCAUUUGGCACCUGUAGGUGGAAUCUUGAGUGGCACUUUGAUCAGUAGGAUGUACUGUUGUUCAGAAUAUAAUCUUUGUGCUAACUACAGAACAUAAUCCAUUAGAUGUUGUGCAAAUGUUUCAGACAACUUUGCAUUCCCUAGUCCUAGUAAGGAAUGUUGUGUACCAACAGGUCUUGUAUUUUUUUUUUUUUUUCUUCUUCUUCUUUUUCUUUUAUUUUAACCAAGAAGUGGAAGCUGGAAUGGAACGUGUAUCCGUGCCAAAAUAACAUGGGUAUUAAAUCCUCCAUCGUACAACACGAAUUAUCUUCUGGUCCUCACCCUUCUGAAGUGCUAAAACUAAAAGAGCACUGCUGCGUGUUCUUGGAAAGUAAAACUGCGAAUAAAUAACCUCCUUGUCGUUCAUGUCUUCAAUCUUUGCUUUUAGAAAAUCGCAUCAGUUCCAAACGUUUUGAGAAUCGGAAGAGAGAAUUUUUGCACUCUCGGUCUAAAAACACGUACACUGAUAACUGAUUACCAAACCCAAAAUCAGUCACCACGGGGGACUUUACCAGAACGAACUCUUCAUUGUCAAAAGCAGCCAACCGUCCGUGGUACUCUCCCUCUGUGGUUUUCCUUCGCGACAAUGAAAGGACUAAAUUAUUUUCUCCAGGUGAUUGAAUUCGCAAGUUUCUAACAAAAACAAUAAUAUGAAUGUUGCAAAUGAUUCUGCGCGUGGAUUUCUGCCUUGGUGAAAGCUUGUAUUUGUAGCUCACUACUAUGGUUACAUCUUCCAAAAUGAUCAACCACAGAUAGAUAUUAUAGACAGAUCCAGAGGAUAGCAGAAAUCGAGUACUAACCAGACGUUCUUUGCAUCUUCUUGCAUAUCGAAGUAAAAUUAACAAAUCCUUCACGACGAAUCAUUAUGAACCUUUUUUAGUAAUCAUCACGAGUUGCAAAGAACGAGAUAACUUGCUACUUCUCAUGCCCUAGAUGCAUAUGAAAACUUCGUCAGGGUGAAGUGAUCUGCAAAAAUUGAUGAUUCAACACCCAACUCCACUCACUAAAUAUUCGAACUCCUCACCAUCCAAACAAAGGUUAAAUACCAACACGCAACUGAGCGUAGCAAACCUGACAGUAGUACUACUACUACUAGAUAGGGUACCACCAAAAUUAAGCAUUUACACUGACUACUAGUAUUAUUACAUAAGACGUAAGAACUAAAGACUGGAUUCCCUAAAUUUCUAGACGUACUAAUAGUGACUGGAAGAAAAGAAAAAAAAAAAAAAAAAAAAAAAAAAUCUCUCCUCAGAAUCUAAUUUCUAAUUAGCCAGCACUUCCCAUAUCAAAUCAGGAUCAAAGGAGGGAAAUCUAGCAAGGGAGCAAUCCUCAAACUCUGAACCCAUCGGUCCAACUGGAAAUUCACCUGAGAUCGAGGUAGAUGAAUUCUCACCCUUCCAAAUUCCAUCUUCCGAAACACUCGGAGUCGGUGAAACCAAUUCACUACUCCAACUGUUGUCGUUACCAAGCGGAGGCAGUGAGGAUGAGGAUGAGGAUGUAUCAAGAAUCUUCAUUUCCUUCUUGCUCUCUUUAACCUUUGUAGCAUCACCACUCCCGCCACUACUUUUCUUGGCAUUCUUGUUGGCUCUCUCUCUUUUAACCUUCUGGCAAAUUGCUUGAAUUUUAGCAUCCACAGCAUUCUUCAGAGCGUUCAACCUGGCACCAUCUCCAAAUCCCAACUUGCUAGGAUCGCGAAGAUUGGGAAAAUUCAACCUGGCAUACUCCCCACGAAGCUUGUAAGCUGCUCUGUCGUAUGCAUACGCUGCUGCUUCAGCUGUGUCAUAGGUUCCAAGCCAAACUCUCAUUCUGUUCUGAGGAAGUCUUAUCUCAGCUACCCACUUGCCCCAGUGCCUCUGCCGCACCCCUCUGUAUAGCUUUUUCUUGCACGGAUGCAUAAAACUCUGUGCAUAUACAGAGUUCUGAAGAGGGUUCGUUAGCCUAAUUCUUGAAACUGCAGAGGAGUUUCCUUUAUUUUCUUCAUAGAAUUUGUGGAGCAGAUCUCUUUGUUUGAGGUAGACUGAAGAUCCUAGUGGCUCAAAAACAGAGUCCGCCACAGGAUUUGGCUGUUGGCCGUAAGAGAGGAUUGAGUCUAAGGUGUUAGCACCACCAGUUAAAAUGAGAUGCGAGAGUGAAGAUCGAAUGCUAGCACCAUCUUCAAAUGCUAACGGCACGGUGUUUUCUUGGACUCCUGCCAUUUUACUUGGGAUUUGAUUUUCAAAGCGAGACAAAACAGGGGAGAAACAGAGGAGGAAACAGGGGACUCCAAAAAAAAAUUUGUCCCUUCUUCCUGGAUCAGGAGAGUGAGAUUGAUGAGAAAAAAAGGAAAUCUAUAAGAAGAAGAAUUGGCAACGAAAGGAAAGAUAAUAACUCUAUUCAGUACUUAAUGGCAGCUGAUGAUCCACACAAAAUAUCUCGGGAUCAACUGGGAACCGGGGUUUUCGGGGAUUUUGAGUUUUCAAAAAUUUGAUGCAGAAAUGGUUAGUGAUACAAGAUGAAGACAAGGAUUGAAGGACCUGAAUGAAGAGAAGGGAUGAAGUUGGAGAAUGAGAAGCAACAGAGAGUAUUUACUCUUUUGAAUAGAGAUAGAAAUGUGAAAGCUGUUAGUAAAAAGUAGUAGUCCUAGCGCAGAGAUUCUAGCCUACACCCUGCAAUAUGAGAAUUAUUUCAGGGUUGGGUCUCCGCUCGCUGUAUUUAUAGCUGCAGGCGAUUUUUUGCGCGUCAAUAGUUCACAUUUGUGAUUCAACUUUACACUCUCGUCUACUGAACAGAACGCUAAAGUUUUUAACUUAUCCCGUGUGGACCAAAGUGGUCCGUACAAGUGAUUUAAAAAGCUUACUUUAUGAAUUUAUUACAUGUGGAGCCAGCCCAGUUGCGGUUAAAGUCCAAAAUGUACGCAUUAACUCAGUGCCACGCGCCCCAUUCUGGUUGAGAUUUGCCUUUGAUUGCCAUUUUCUGCUCAUGUAUGGCAGGGGAAAUUUGCUUCCACUUUUUUUUUUUUUUUUUUAAUGAAUGAACGAAUGAAUCCUUGCGUCCGCUUCUUUACCAUUGCUCAGGAGGAGAGCGACGGCCGAUCGCAGCUCAGCUUGGUUAACUUGUUCAGAUGAAAAUCUUCUCAUUUCACAAUGCAAACUCAAGACCAGGAUAUUUUCAACGUUCCGUAACUUUCACAGUACAGGUAAUUAUUGGGAUUCAGCCCAUUUAGAUUUUCCAUUUGCAUAAAUCAAAGAAAGGCACGGGUGUAUUUGGAUCGUAAAUUAUUUGAGAUAAUUUUAUGAAAAAAUUAUUAUAGCACUUUUUUGAUACGAUGUAUGUGAGAUAAAAAAGUGAUAAAAAAUAUAUUGAUGAUGCAAGCAAAUCAACGUAUGUAAAUAAGAUGUAAUAAUUUACGAUCCAAACACACUCUCGUGUGUGUGUGUGUGUGUAGAUGAGAAAAAUCCGAAAGUAAACCUUUUUAACGUUUGAAUUUGCUUCAAACCCCUUUUUAAUAUUCGGAUCGGGAGAAAUCGUACACCUCCUCAAUAAUUUCUCCCUCCUUGUUACUGUUAAUAAAGAGGAAUGAUUUGCUAUGUACUGGUAUCCUUUGUACUGACUACUUUCAGCUAUGGUACUUGCCUAAAAUUUCAAUGGAAGUGUCUUGACGACUGUUACCCCAAUCAAUUGUGUAUAUUGCUUCGGAUUUGUCUUGACAACUGGAACAUUAAACAGGAUCGUACGUCCUUGACAUUCGACUCAAAGAUUAUAAUUACUGUUGUGGCUGUGGCUGACAGACAAGCAAUUUCAGGAAUAAUCAACGAAAGCUAUCCUAAACUCUGCAUCGCCAGCAUUUCAAGAAUGAUAAGACACGCUUCUGUCCUGCUACCUUAAAUUGUGCCCAAAAAAAUUCGCAUCCAAACACAACCUUAAUCUACAAGAGUAAUGCUCCUCCUGCAACACAGACUGCCAUGCACAAAAUCAUCUACAAAGUCCUGAUGAUUAAUUCACCAUUUAAAGUCUCUAAACUCACAUCAUGCCAUGUGUAAUUUAAUUAAAGUUCACGUUUACAGAGACCAAAUUGGAUACAAGUUGUAUGAUUAUGCAUAAUCAUCGGUCAUGGUCUUAAAAAGAUUUCGCGGCGCAUAAACCAAAAGCUCCUACUCGCAUAAUUCAGAGUGGAACUAACUAAUGAUGUGGUAGUAGAAAAAGAUCAAUCGGGUAGGUGACACUACUGCAUGGGUAAAAAAAAAAAACACUCAAAAGGAGGAGCCAAGCGGAGUCCAAAAGCCACUACGAAACGACACUUGCAAAAAUAUCACAGGGUGGGAGGACCAAGCGGCUCAACAAUCAACCAGUGGCUGGAAUCCAAAUGGAGGCUGAUGACCGAUUCUUUCAUCGAUCCUCAUCUUCUUUUAGAUGGGGAAGAGGGAGUGAAAUCAGAUCAGUCAUGAGAGAGUCGUUAUCGCAUCUUUUUGCAUGGGACCCGAUAUUCACUGCACGGCAUUAAAGACGGAAAGGUGGCUUUGAAGGAUGAUGCUGAUGAUGGCGUUUUGAAGACAAGGCUCGUGAUGGACCCAAUUUCAAAGGCCUAGAAACCCUUUUUUCCUGUCUGCAUGUGAUGCAAACCUAACCCUCUUCUUCUUCUUCCUCCCUCGCAAAAGUCAAUCCAUAUCCUUUUUUCCCCCAUCCCCCGUGCCUCUCAUGCCCUCCUCCUUCCCUUUAUGCAAAAUGCCCACUCUUCUGAAUUUUUUUUUUUCUUCGCUUCCCUCUUUCGCCAAACUAUCCAAGACUAAUAUGAGGAGGAUUAGGCAACGAUAAAGAAAUUCACAGAGCCAAAAAUGAUGAUGACAUCAACCUAAUUUCACUCUUUUUUUCAUGGUUGUUCAGUUUCCAAAUUUGAGCCGAAAUGAGCAUCAUCUUUCUCUCCUUCCCUUGAUUGGAACCCAUACCGGGCAUCUCUGAAUUCGUCUUCAAAUUAAACAUGCGCAAAAAAAGCGCAUUCUUUGCUAUGCAUCUUUGUUACUUAUCAGGAACUGCACGACAUUAACAACUCGUUAAAUUUGAGACCUAGAACGGGCGCCUUUCGCUUAAUUAAGAAACCAGACCUUUCAUUAGAAUUUCAUUCCGCGGUUCUACAACACCUGGCCAACUGAAAAACAUUCGAGUGAGAGCUCUCGUUCAAAUUGAACUUGACUUAAUCUCCGAUUAUCCUUUUGAUGAACACCAUUGUUCCAAAGUUUCCUUUUUUUUUUUUGGCUUUCACUUCACAUUUUCGGGUGUGAAUGUGAAAUCAUACUUGCUCGAGAAAAUGGAAAUUUCUCUUCUGGCGGUGGCGGUUUACUUGCACAAACGAAACAACAUCUUGGCCAAUUCUUUGAGGCCGCAUCCGCAUCAUCAUGGCCCAAAAUUGUUGAAAUUCCAUAUGAUCAUCCCACUCACUGCUAGUCACUCAUUCGAGUGUUUACGUGUAGGGUUGACCUACAAAAAAGUUGUAUUUUGGCUGUAUUCGGCUGGGGAUGGCCUACAAAUGCACUGGCUGACGCCGACAACAAAUGUGGUCCCACCUCCGAAUGCCGACGCGUCCCCACUUGGCUUAUCGGAUCAGCAACGUGUCACCUCGUCCAUUAAAUACUAUCCAGACAAGGUCACCAACUCGAUACAGCUGAACCUUACUCAUUACCCUCCUCUCGUGAUUUCUUUUUCUUCUGAAGCUUGCAAAACGAAGUGACGUCGUUUUGGGUCAACUGCUUGUGUAAAAUCUCUCCCCUCUUCUCUCCUCCGCACCCCCACCAAAACCUCCUUCUCCCCCACAAAAAAUCUUUUUUUUUUUCCUUUUUUGUUUUUGGAAAGUUUGGGGGUGCCCUGUAUUGAAGCUUUAUCAUCUUUGUACAUGUCUUUCAUGUUUUGGGACAAGGCUACCUCACGUCAACUGCCAUGUCAUAAUGACAUCAUCACCAUCAGUUUUGUGACGUGUCCCAGAGGCAACUGUCGAACUCACUAGUUAGAGCUGCUUUAGAAAUCAGAAGGUUUCCGCCCAAAAAUAAAUAAAUAAGUAAAACAACAAUUGAGAGAGAAGGGGAGGAUCUGAAAGGAAAAAUGAAAAUUGGGGCUCCUUUCUACGUACAACCAUGAAAUUAGAUUUUAAAGAAUCAAAUUAGAUUUUUUUUUCGAAAGAAAAAAAAAUCAAAUUUGACUAAAAUCAGGUGCAAGUGAUGAGUUUUUUCUUUAUAUAUAUGUAUAUAUAUAUAUAUAUAUAUAUAUAUCAAGCAUGCAUUAAAUUAACAUUUAUGCUUGAUGCCUUCCUGCGUUAAUUGGAUCAAAUCAAUGCAUAACAAUUUUUAAAUUUUAAUUGUUUAAAACCUUAAUUAGGUGUAAAAUUGGUGACAGCUUCAAAGUUCAAAGGCUAGAAAUCUUUACAUUUCAAGAGAAGACUUCCUUGUGGAAAAGGAGAACAUGAAGAGUUUGAGAGUUUCAAAUAGAAGACCUCAAAUUUACGGUAGAGUUUGAUUUUAAAUGCUACUAUAAAAGUUUCUAAUGUUGUGUUUGGAUUGUAUUUUCCGUCAUUUUUCAUGGAAAAAAUACUGUAGCGAUUUGAUAUAUGUGAGGAAAAAAGGUGAUAGCAAAAUGUGAUCACGGAAAAUAAUAAGGUUGCGUUUGGAUUGCAUUUUCCAUAGAUUUUUCGUUGGAAAAUUACUAUAGCGAAUUUGAUGUAUGUGAGGUAAAAAUGUGAUUGGCAAAGUCCUAAGUUUGCCAUGUACUUAGUCAAGUCUUGAUUUCUUUUGCUUUCCUGUUUCCUGUUUCCUGUUUCCUGUUUAGGUCUAGCCAUAAAAAAGCAUUAAUUGCCAAAUGCUUUAAUUUCUUUGAUUAUUUUUCUUAUUUGUAGAAUUUGAUUGAUCCGAUCUACUACAGACAGAACACUAAACAGUGAACAACACUAGAAUUUUAGGCUGUUCAAGUCACACAAAAACUUGAUUCGACUAUUUAAGCUCUUUAAACAAUAGAAAUCAAUUUCGCUAAAUUUUUUUACUUUAACAACCAAUCAUGUUACAUUCAACCUCUAAAUAUACUACUUCCUCCAUCCCACUUUGAUAGUCUCAUUUCUUUUUUCACACAGUUUAAGAAAAAGUAGUUAACUUUGUUAGAAAAGUAAAUUUAGAUUACUAUUUUCCUAAAAUACCCUCACAUUAAAAAUGGUACAACUUUAUGGGAACUUGAAUUGAUGGUAAAAAAAGAAUCAACUCUCAUUAAAUGGGGUAGGUUUAUAGUAAUAACAACUUACAUUGAAUAAGGGUAUUUUAGGAAAAUUAAAAUACAACUACAUUCUUCAAUUGGAAGGUGGAUUAUAAUUUGGGACAGACGAAAAAGGAAAACGAGACUAUCCAAGUGGGACAGAGGGAGUACUUUUUUAGUUGUUCAAAUUUCUUCUGAUACUACCCAUUAUCUUAGAAUCGAUGCUGGUAGUUGUAGUAUUUGCAAUUUUGCAUAAUUGCAUUGUCGUUUUAAGUUUUAAAGAACUGCGUUUUCAUUCUCGAACAUUUAAGGCUACUCAGUUGCCUCUUUCAACGAUUGUGAUUCUUCACAUUCUAUUUUCAGAAAUCCCAUUUCACGAAGUUUCAGAAAAAGAGAAAAGUGGCUCGUACUACACUGAAGGUUUUCCCAUGUGCGCGCUGCUGCUUCUCAAACUAUUAUAUGCUUCAGUACCCCAUGCAUCCUGCCGAUGAUAUCCAUGAGAGGAUGACUAUUCGAGAAGGCAAUCAAGGCAUAUGAACAGGAAAAGAUUUUACGUAAAGAAAAAGUUUUAUUAUGGAUGGAUCUGUCUGGUCCACCACUCGCUCUUGUAAUAUUCAAUGGUGUUUGAUAUCGAAGUUACUUAUGUGUGGACCUAGCCACUCUCGUGGCCUUGCCUCUCGAGUCUCGAGUCUCGAGUCUCGACCCUCCUUCCCUUUUGUAUUCGUUGGUGGUUGCGGCUCAUACUCAAUGACAGAGGAAAAUACAUCCAUGACUGUUCAUUCCGGAUACAUAUAGCUUACUGUUCCCAUUGCCUGCAUAUGAGAGACGUGUAAGAUUUAUCUAAAAAAUUAAGGGGAUGCGGAUAAAUAAAUGAAGAAUCGAGAAGAGGUAAUCAGGUAAAUAAAGUAGUACGUGUAAACAAUUAGAAUGAAAUAGCAGACUAAUUUUUGUAAAAAGGUAAUGUAAAACUGCAUUGGAGAAUCUAAUUAUACAUCUUGAGUUAGAAAAUUACAAAAAGCAUUGAUAGUAUCAUGAUUUGGGUUAAUUAAAUAGGUCUUUUUCUUAAUUAUUAUUCACGAUAACAAGAAUGACCAGAUAGAGUGUCGAAGUUCAUUCACUGAAGUAGUCCAAGACUCGAAGUAGUAAAGGGGGUUGAAAAUUAAUAUGGUAGAUGUUGUAGUUUGAAUCGGCAAAGAUUCUUAGCCGAGUUCUACACGAUUCCUGACAAACAUUUCCGGAUAAGGGAUAACUGGAUCUUUGAAACAAAACGAAAAAAAUCGAGCUAACGAAAAUUAUUUGGUGAGCCAAAUUAAUAUGUUAUGGCAUGAUAAUCAACCAUUUAGGCAUUAACAUACCAACGGUUCGGCAAUUGAAUUGGGCGUAAUUAAUGACAAAAUAAUAGGUAAUUUCAGAGUUGAACUCGGAUGGAAGAGAAAACGAUAAGGCAAAUCGUUAUAGACAAAGGCCAAAAGGAAAAAUUUAACUCCUGAAACUGAAAGGGGAUAAAUUGACCAACGUUUGUGGCUCAUAAAUGCAGAUUAUAUAUAAAUGAUAGAUAAAUGGGUUCCUACCAUUGAUAGAAAAAUCGUUGGCUCAUUUGCUAAAUUCGAUUGUCAUUCAAACGUUUUAGACAAAGCAACAUCUCAAACGGUUAUAUGCGACUGAAAAGGAAAAUUAUUGGUUACUAAGGGAUAUUCCGGUAAUUACACUAACACACAAGCAUAUACGAGUUGUAGAAAAUGCAAAAACAGUUGCACACUAAUUACACAUUCCAUCAAUACCCAGAUGGUUCAUCAAUGACAACUUAAAUGUAUUAAAAUAGGGUCAUUUCAGUAAACAUACCUAAAUGCAUGCUUUCUUAACUUAUACCUAAAGCUUUUAAACUAAUACAUAAUAUUUCACAUUCCCAAAAAACCCCCACCUAUGCAGUUGAAAUUCAACCUAUUCUUUGACCAAAACUCAACUUACAUACUCCCUCCGUUCCACUUUAAUAGUCCUGUUUCUUUUUUCACACAGUUUAAGAAAAAAUAGUUAACUUUGUUGGAAAAGUAAAUUUAGAUUGCUAUUUUCCUAAAAUACGCUCACAUUAAAUAUGAUACAAUUUUUUGGGAACUUGAAUUGAUGGUAAAAAAAGAAUCAACUCUCAUUAAAUGAGGUAGGUUUAUAGUAAUAACUACUUAUAUUGAAUAAGGGUAUUUUAGAAAAAUUAAAAUACAACCACAUUCUUCAAUUGGAAAGUGGACUAUAAUUUGGGACAAAUGAAAAAGGAACACAGGACUAUCAAAGUGGGACGGAGGGAGUAAUAUAAGGAAGUUACAUAAACUUUUUUUUCGAAGGAUAAUUAAUGCUGUAGUGCAAUCAAUACUUCUGUUAUGCAAGUAAAUAGGUUUUGUUAAGUACGUACACAUUUUUUUUCUUAAUUAUUAUUCACGGUAACAAGAAUGACCAGAUAGAAUGUCGAAGUUCAUUGAAGUAAUCCAAGACUCGAAGUAAAGGGGUUGGAAAUAUAGUAGAUCUUGUAGUUUGAAUCGGCAAAGAUUCUUAGCCGAGUUCUAUACGAUUCCUGACAAACAUUUCCGGAUAACUGGAUCUUUGAAACAGAAUGAAAAAAAAUCGAGCUAACGAAAAUUAUUUGGUGAGCCAAAUUAAUAUGUUAUGGCAUGAUAACCGGUUUUGCUAGCUUUAGACCAAACAAUUCGAAACAGAACCUAAGGGCUAGAGUGUUAAGAGAGAAAAGAAAAGCAAGAGAAAGUUUUAUGUUAUGAAAGAACAGAAAAGAACUGAAGAGGUCUCAAGUUGUUGGAGAGUUGAAGAAAAAGUCUGCAAUGAAGCUUUACUUUCAUUUGCCCUCCGUUCCUCUCAAUAUUUGGAGAGAAAAACCUUUUAACCAUUAGCCCUUCUAUUUCUCUGCCUCUACUUCCCUUUCCCUCCACUUAAAAAGACCCAUUCUUUCUCAUCCUUUUCUCUUGUGCCGUCCAAACCCUUCCAUCCAAACUAAAUGUAAGUGGCAAAAAAAGUGAGUAAAAUGAUGACACAAAAAAAACCAAUUCUAGGUUCGAACCUCUAGAAACCUUAAACUCAAUUUCUAUCAUCAUCCGUAAAGCUGAAGGUAGGGAAAACACAGUUAUGUAUGUUGGCUCCUUUUAUCGUGGUCUCUACGUGCCACCUUUUCGUAGCUGCUUAAUUUGCAAGUAUGACUUCAUAACAUUUUUGUUCCGAAAUUUGAGAGGUAAUUGAUUGUGUCGUAAAUGUGUUGAAAAGCAAAACUUGUUCUACAAAAACACGAGCACCUUUCGAAGCCAAUUUGGAAUGAGUUAAAAGCAAGCGUUAGACAAAAUAAGCUAGAGAGCGUUGAAAUAGACAAGUAUACUUUUUUUACUUAGAAUUGAUUGGUCAUGAACAAAUUAGGAGAGACCCCGCUGACGCUCACUUUUCCAGUUAGGGAAAUAAGUGUUGCUCCUGCAAAAUUAUCGCAAUAUCAUCAACUAAUUGGAUAAUGGCCAAUGGGUUUUUUUUUUUUUUGGUUACGUACUAAUGCAUACACAGUCUUAUUUAUUGCAAGCGUCAAUGUAUUAGAAUUUAUAACAUUAAAGUUAUACUCUAAAAUUUGUGACAGAAGAUUCAUUGCCUCGAAACGAGACUGAAAAAGGAGAAAAAUGCAACCAUUGCCUUCUCGAGCAACCUUUUUCAACGUUUUAUCAUCGAGAUGUCCUAAUCCUUGAGGAAUAUUUUAAAAAAGGUAUCAAUUGGAACAAGGUCGGUUUGACUAAUUUUGUUAACUCUGAUGACUUCAUACCAGUCUUCAAAUUUUGAGCUCUUUUUCUACGCUAAUCUGAAUUAUUUGAGAUGUUCAAUGAUUGAAAAACCGUUGCCACCUCCAGAGAUGUCGGGUUUAUAAUAGCGCAAAAUAUUUAAGAGCCAUCUCCACUCGGUUGCCAGUCUUAAUCCAAGGUCGAAUUUGUAAACCCCUGUGCUAAGGGAAUUGACUUGUUCUAAGCCCGUGGCCGCCGGCCAUGCCUCACCACCGACUUGGAUGUUGAAGUGUCUGACGAACGAGUCUACUUCUCAGUCCAUGCAUAAUCCAUUACCAGCCGUAUAAUAUAUUUCCUCUCUAAGCUCCGGAAAGCAGAAAAGCAAGACGCACAAAUGGGAAAGCCCCCGCUGUAGAGUGGUUAGGGAAUUUUUAUUUCUUUAUUUUAAUUGAUUUCUUGUUUUUGGUGGAGGGCCAAACAUGUCUUUGUUUGACCAUGGGUUUGUUUAAUACUAGUAGACACUAAGUGUAAAUUUUUUGAGGUUUGAUUGCAAUUUUUGCUACGUUUUCCGUGGACAUAUUUUCCAAUCAUCUUUUAAUCUCAUAUAUAUCAAAUCGUUACAAUGACUUUUCUACAAAAAGUCCAGAAAGAUGCAAUCCAAACAAAGGCUAAAUUUAGGUGCAAGAGAGACAAUAAUGAUGAUGUUAGUACACACAACAUUAUAGAUUGAAAGUGUGUUCAACCAGUGUCUUUGUCUCUAGCACAAAAUCAGAGCAUCCAUGAAAUAUUAACGUGAAUAUAUAAGUGCGAUGGUAGAUUGAGUCAGAAGAAGGAAAUUUGUUCAAAUACAAAUUCAUGGCACUAAUUUGGUUUGGACAGUCAAGGCAAAAUUACCCAACUUGUUAUAUGUUAUCAUUCUCAUGACUAUAUAUACAUCUCUCUAUAUAUACAUAUACAUAUACAUAUAUAUAUACUAGGGAGGGAUAGCCCGCGCGACGCGCGGCAAUUUGGUGUUUGUGAUUCAAGAUAAUUAAUAAUUAUUGUUUAAUAUUUUGUAGUAUAGGAAUUGAAGUAUGAUGAUUUUAUCAUGUGAUUUUAAUAGAAAAAUCAUAAGUUACAUAGUGAGUCAAUAAAAAUAAUGUGCAAUGAGAUAUCCUUAUUGUUAUACUAUAUAAGAAUCCGUUGUGAUUAAAUGUUAUGUUUGACUUUCAAUUGCAAAGAUAAGGGUAGUUGGAAAAUGUAAAAAUGUUUGAAGUACAAUUAAAAAGUAUCCAAAGGUCUUUUCUAAAAUUUAUCCAAAAUGAUAAAACAUUUUAAAGUAUCAAUUGGACCUUUCAUCUCUCGAAUCUAUAUAUGUUCGUGAAAGAUCCCUAAAGCAAUGCUUUUGAUUUCUCCCUCGAUUUAAGUUCAACCUGAAUUAUCAAGUCUAGUUUAUCCAUCAAUCACUUUGCGUCCAAUCUAAUCUAAAAUAAUUUUAUUUUUGACUAACUAUUUAUAUAAUUUGGUGGGCAUAAUACGACUGAAUCACAUGUUUCUUACAGAGAUAAUAAUGCCCAAAAAUGAUAGAUAGAUAAGAAACUUAAUGGUCAUUUUCAAAGUUUUGUAGAAACUAUUCAGAUUUGGUGUUUUUUGUUAAGGACAUUUCUUUAUAAUCUCAUAAAUAAGUUCAAAUAUGCAUAAUUGUUAAAGAUCUGAAUUGAAACUAUCUUGAUUAUAAAAAAUUGGUGCAAAUAAUAUUUUCUAAAUUUGAAAUUGUAGAAAAUGGUAACAAAAAUCAGAAGAAAUUCCUCAUAUGAAUUCGAAUUGCAAACUAUAGGUAGAAACUGCUUAAUGAUAUUUUUCAAUGUUUACUUGUAUAAGUAUCCAAUAUAGCAUCUCUAUUUAAUUGACUCGUUUGAACUAUGGAUAAUAGUUGCUUCAAUCAAAUCAAGAAACAUUAUUUAUCAUUGUACAACAUACAAUUAUAAGUAAAUGAAUUAAUACAAUGCAAUCAAAAUAGUGCUGUAGCUAAAGCAUUUAAACUCAUCAAGUUCCACUACAAAUUCUUUUAGAUAGCAUAAAAAGCAAAUUUUUUGUAUUUGAAACUAUAUAAACAGGAGAAUACAAGAAUGAGAUCAUAACAUGGAAAGCAAAUAAAAUGCAAAUGACAUCUUAGUACUAUGUAGCAUGAUUAAUUUUCUUUUUUAGUUUCAAUGAAGUACAGAAUUCUAAGUUAAUAAAUUUUACAAUCAUAAAAUUCCCAAUUAAAAUAAACACAAGCUGAAUUCCAAAUCAAAUUACAUGAAAAAAUAACUACUUGAACCAUAACUACUGAAAUGUAGUCAACAGAUCUCUGGAGUCAAGAACAAUAGAAGAAAGUUCAUGAGAAAUAAGGUUAUUUGACUUCAAUAAAGAGAUAAUACCUUGGCCGAGAAGGAGAAGAUGAUAAACUUACUUUUCUGAUUAUUUUAGAAAGUGACAACAUUAUCUCAAAUUGUACUUUGACCAGAGACAGAAUCUCUGGGAUCUACUAAGGAAAAUAAUACAAUUAGUCAGUCUUUGGAAUUAGAAGUAUCAAAAAACAAACUAUAUGGAGUUCUUGAAUAAACCAAUUAUAAAAAAAAAAAACUACAAUGGAAGAAGACAAGUCCAAAGAACUCACCUCAAUUUAAAGGAAAAGUUACGCAUUCCAUCAAAUAUUUAAUAGCCAUAACAAAACCAAAGGGGUGAAACCGAAAAAGAAGAAAGGGUAUCGGCUAAAUAUGGGGCAUAUAUAUGAUAAUGAUUGUUCAGAUAAUAAUUAAGUUAAUUAAUUGUAAUUAAAAUCCAAUUAUGUAAACAUCCAAUUAAUUCCUUAACGGAUGAGAAAGGUUUCAGAAAAUUGGAAGGUUUGGAUGUUAGUAUAAUAAAUGAUUAAAUGGGCUUUUAUGUAAUUCUAUCAAAACACAAGUUUAAUUUAGUUGUACUUGAUACUCAAUUUGGCACCAAACAUUGUAACAUACCAAACAUGCCCCUAACCUUAAAUGUCUGAAAGGUUAUAUAAGUAAUUAUAGUAAAAUUAAAGUUAUAAUGACUCGUACUCAAUGUUCCAAUUACACUUUAAACACUUUCACAUUCCCAAAAUAGCCCCACCCUUGCGGUUGAAAUCUAAAAACCUUCAUUGUUCUAAACUCGUUCUUAUAUAGUAUAAGAUAUAUAUUCGCAACAUGUCAUGACUAGUUAGUACAAUGCAAUUCACUGGAGACUACGUUACUCAAUCAAUUGUUUGAAUAUGAGUUUAUUUGGAUAAUUUAUUUGAGAUAAUUACUGUAGUACUUUUUGUAAUGUGAUGUAUGUGAGAUAAAAAGGUGAUUGGAAAGAUAAAAAGUGAUUGAGAUUUGUGAAGUCAUUUCAAUCCAAAUGUUUUCCAUGAUCCACUAGAGUAGAUAAAAGGUGGUAUUUUCCUGUAUCACUUCACAAAUUAAUCUUUCGUUCGAUCAUUUAUCCUACUUUCUUGAACUUGAGUGGCUUGUUCUGUACUCUCUAACCAAGUUGGUUAAACAAAAAAAUGACCCCCAAAAAAGAAGUGGACAGCCAUCAGUGGAUUCGGCCCCCAAAUGCUUUCUGCUAAAAUCCACUAAUAAGCUAUGCAAUUUAGCCCAUUCUUCGAGCGAUACUACCGGGCUCUUCAGUUUAGAAAGAAGAUGUUAACCCAAGAUGAUAGGGACCAAGUAACUUGCUAGGCUUUCUUCCAGAUAAUAAGCCCAAACCCAACAAAACUCUUCUUCAUGACCUUCGAGGGUUGCUUUUGUCAUUUCACUUACCAGAAAAACAGUAAAGCAACUGUUGACCGCAGCGCUCCAAAUUGAUAUUCCUUUGCUCUCCUGAUAGUCCACCACCCGAUGACCUUCUUUCGCCAGCUCCCACUUCCCUCGCCGGCGGCCGCCCUCUGCCCCCAGUCCCUCCUGGAAUAUUGACUUCUUCCACCCUAGCGGAUGCAAAAUUUAAGUUCUUAGAUACAAUAGUAUUUGUGCUACUUUAUAAGCUUUGGAUGUUGACUGCUGAAGACUUGGUGACUACUGGGACGUGAGGGACGAGGGAGGCACCGGAGAACGACUUCUGAGGUUGCUAUUCCUUUAAACUUUAAUUUCGAACUUUUUUGAUCCGAUUUUCGUUCUUUGGUUUAUUCGGACCCUGCAAAGAUUUCAUCAAUCUUUAGGAAAUUGACAAAGAGAAAAAAGGAAGAAAAAAGGGCGAAAAAAAUCCCAUAUUUCUAUCAUAAUUAUGUAAAAAAGGAUUUUUUUUUUUGUUUUUUUAGUUUAGAUUAAAGCAAGUGCUUGAGAACUAAAAGAUGGGAUUAAGUUGUAGGCUUCUGGGGACAGUAUUUCUGGCCUUACUCAUUAUCAACUCUUCUGAGGCUUCUGAUUUAGAGGUAAAUAAAGAUUCAAUUUUUAUGUUAACUUUUUAAUGUUUUACGCGCAUUGUUAUCGAUUUGGGAUUUUGUUUUUAGGUCCUGGGAGAUUUAAAAACUGGUAAAAAUGUGAAAGGUUCGGAUAUAUCAAACAAGAAUGAUGGUGGGAAGGAGAAAGUGGUGAACCCAGAAAAGAAAGGACAAGAUCAAGUUGGUACUGGGUUGAAAGAGGGUGCUGAUAACAAAACCACUGACGAUGUAAAAGGUAAACAAGUUGGGUCGAAAGGAGGUGGCAUUGAACAGAAGAAAACGGAUGCUUCUGGUUCUGAGCCGAAGAAAACGGAUGGUUCAGGUUCGGAGCAGAAGAAAACGGAUGGUACUAGUUCUGAGCAGAAGAAAACAGAUGUUGCGGGUUCUGAGCAGAAGAAAACGGUUGAUACAAGUUCUAAGCAGGAGAAGCCAAAUGAUAAUGUCACUAAGGACGUUGACAAGAAAGACAAGGCACGAGGGGAUUCGGGUUCCCAGUCUAAAGAUAUCUCCGCGACACAAGGGAGGAAGGAAGGGGGUGAAGCCUGUGAUUCAUCAUCAAAUAGCUGCACGAUUGAGGAGAAGUCAGUCAUUGCUUGUCUGAGAGUUCCAGGAAGUGGUAAGUGUUUUUGCAUGUUUAAGGCAAUGGUCUAAUGUGAAUUUUUUUCAGGGUACCUUGCUAGUUAGGCUUCAAUUGAUGCCUAUAUGGUUUAAUCUGCUUGCUUAAUGCGUUCACGACAUGAGGCUCUUAUCUUCUGUACAAGUAUGAUGGAGAUGUUAAUCUGAAGGAAAGUUUCAAAGUCCUAGUGUUUUAAAAAAUGACCUCAACUUGGGCCUGCACAUUGAAAAGAGUUUGUUAUAUUGGGUGUGACAUUUGCAGUGCUUUGGCGCUUUUGGCUACCGUUUUAGUAACUUUGUCAUGUUUUUAUUGACGACAUAUAGAACAUUGUACUUCUUAACAAUUUCGAGAUGGACGGUGUCAAAGAUGGCAGAUAAGUUGAACAUCUUAAAUAGGAAUCUCGAGUAUCAUAAUGGAUGAUAAUCAAAAUUUGCACUGCAUUUGGUUCUUAAAUACUACUGGUGGCUCAUUUGUAAUGCUUGUCGUGACUUGAGUGCUUCUUCUUUUUGCUAGAUUGCACAUGUGGAUAGGUUAUUAUUUUUCAAUUUGGACGUUUUACAAGUUAAUUGAUUUGUGUCAAAAAUUGGUGUAUGUAUAUCAUCUUUGCUAUGAUCACCACAAAAGCAGCCCAAAAAGGACAGGUUCUUUGCUAAUGCUUUUGAGUUUGACUUGAUUAUAUGUUGAUAAUUUAUCAAUGUACUAAGACAAUUCAAUCUUUGUUUUGUACCUCCUAGAGUCUGAAAAACUUUCACUUCUGAUUCAAAACAAGGGGAAUGUACCGGUCAGUGUAACACUUUUUGCACCUGAUUUUGUCAAGCUGGAGAAAAAGCAAGUACAAGUUCAAGCUAACAACAAUGAGAAGGUAUGUAGAAGUAAUCAUCACUUUUCAAAAGCUCUGUACAUUAAGAAUAAACUGUGACAAAUUUCCUUUGACUUAGUCCCAUAUUCUUUUUAUCCCUUCAGAUAAGAAAAUGAAAAAACAAUAAUAAGAAUUGCAGGCUAUUUGCAGAUUAUAGAUUGACACGUGUAAUCAGGUGCUUGAUCAGCUGCGUUAGUUAUUUCUUAUAUUAGAAGUACUUAGGGAUGCAACCUACUUGUAUAUGAGAUGCAUAAUACCUUUCACUUUUCAUUCAUAACUUUAGCAAUCUCAUUGGAAGGAAUCUUUUAGAUAGAAAGGAAAGAUUCAAGACCUUAAAUGUCCCCUAAUUUAGUCACAGAAAAGACUUGGCAAAUUAAUCUAUGCUGCACCAGAAAUUUAAAAGUAAAAUAGAGACUUAUGUGCUUUUCUAAACUAUAAUAGCUUUGGUCUAGUCAUGGCAUAUUCCUUUAAUUGGCUGUGAACUUGUUUGGGAGGAAGAACUAGUGAAGGAUGGUAUUUUUCAAUGUGUAGCUGGAAUCACAGCUGAAACUUAGGACAUUUGUCAUUUACAAAUUUGACUGGCUUAUAAAAGACUUGAUGUAGCACAGUGAAAUGUUAAAGAAAAUAAUUAUGGUGGUUUGUUUCAGGUCUAGUCAUUGGCUAUUCAUGUCUACUCCUUACGUAAGAAGUCUGCAUGUUAUUAAUUUUGUCGGAUUCUCUGAAAGAAGUUGCAUUUUACAUGCUUUUAUCAAUUUUUGUGGAGUUCCAUUGUAUUUUAAGAGUACUGCCGUUAAACUGUCUACUGAGGUCAGUCUUAAUUGUACGUAUCAGCAUCUUACAUGUUAUCCAGCUGAAAAUACUUUAAUUUGAUGGUCAUGGAGAAGCAAAUCAACGCCUGCUGUAUGCACUUUUAUCCUCGUGAACAUCUGAUUGUAUAUUGCUUAUUUGCUAAGCACUUUGUAAAUUCGAUUUUACAUUUUUUUUUUCUCUCUUCCAAUAGCUAGACUAAAUUUGUAUGCUUGCUGCUUACUGUCAAAAGAAAUGAGGACUCCUAGUCGUUUAUUGAUAGAUGUCAUUGUUAUGACUGUCUUAAUAUAGUUAACUUGGUAUUUCAGCUUAACUCAUUGUUACAUAUUUUGCAUCGAUUGGAUAAUGUCUUGCCUUCUCCAGUUGUUCUGAAUAGAAGUGCCUUAUAUCUCUGAAUCUGAUGAUUUUGGGUGACUCAGGUCAAGGUUUCAAUAGGAAAUGGAGAAAGUACAACUGGUAUCAUCCUAAACGCAGGCAAUGGCAAUUGCAAUAUUGAUAUCAAGGAGAUGAGUGUACAGAGAUCCAAGGAAGAGACUGCUGUCUCUGCCCAGUUGACAUAUAUUAACCUGCUUAAAAGCACACCCUCGGCAUGGUUCAUAUCUUUUGCUGCAAUCCUAGUGAUAGCAUCAGUUUGCAUUGGUAUUGGGUUCCGGCGGAAAUAUGGUGCAAGAAAUAGCCCUAGUUAUGAAAAACUCGAGAUGGAGCUUCCGGUUUCAGGUGCCAGCAAAGUAAUACCAGAUUCAAAUGAUGGAUGGGAUGACAGUUGGGGUGACAGUUGGGAUGACGAGGAGGCACCGAAAACACCGUCUGUGCCAGUUACUCCGAGCAUCUCUUCCAAUGGCAUUGCCUCAAGACGUAUUAACAAGGAAGCUUGGAAGGAUUAGUAGCUGUUAAAGUGAAUAUACUGUUUUUUUUCCCCAUCUUUCUUUUUCACAACGGGGAGUAUGGUUUUCAUUUGCCAAAAUGUUCUGCCAAAACAUGUUCCCUGACAAAACAGAAAAACAAUCUUGUCUUUGAAUUUUGGGAGGGGAGUUACUCUUUACUCUUACAAAGAUGGACAGAUUGCAGGAUGCCACACGUAAAGUAUAGCUUUUUCAGUUUUUUGUAUAAUGACAAAACUCUAGCUUCAACUAUAUACUAUUGUGAAGGUCAAUGGCAUGAACAACGUAUUAGCAAUUUGUAUCAUUUGAUAUCCCUCUUGUUUGUUCCAUAUAACUAAUUGUCCAGUUUGGAUUGCUAUUUUUUCGAGUUUUUAUAGAAAAGUGUACUAUAGUAAUUUGAUAUAUGUGAAUUAAAAAAAAUAAUCAAAAAAAUGUGUUCAUAGAAAAUAUAAAAAUAUUUUGAAGAAAAAUGGCAAUACAAACAAGGUUUGCUUUGUGCACCACUUAGACGCAUCACUUAGUAAGUAGUAGGGUUACAUGUUCAAAUUAUUAAGGAGUAAGUUUGGAAUCAUUAUUGAUUUUUUUCCGCAGGAAAAAAAAAACCAUGGAUUGCCCAAGAGGAUUUUUUUGCAACAACAACAACAACAACAAAAGAUUGCCGUACCGUCCGUUCUUUCAGGACCCAUUAGAUGACAAACUUCACUGGACAAGUUUGAUUCGAGCGUUAACAAAUGGCCCAAGUCUGAUGUCAAGGUGAACUUUUAAGCAAUGGGCCAUUUCAUCUGUGAAUGAAAGCCAUCAAAUAGCUCAUAAAAAUCGUGUGUGGGUUGGGGCAGUAUCAGAAGAAAAUUUUGGUCGGUCCAUUUGUUGCACAUCAAAUUGUACAUCGGUGCAACUGUAAGUUGAUUGGCAUCUUUUUUGUUGCUUACAUACAAAUGAAGGGUGCCAAAAGAUCCAGCAGCAUACUAUUAUGCCUGUUGGGUAUGUUCAACCGUCAAGUCUUCUUCUUUCUCCCUUUCUUUAUAAAGUUUGAAUCUUUUAUUGACCAAAAAAAAAAAAAAAAAGAGUAUAGUUCCCGCCUCUCAAUGUUGGUUGGAUCAUGGAUCGUAGUCAGGGUCUAUAUAUGUUCAGCACUUGGAUUGAGGUCGAUGCAUCUGUUUCUUUUGUGGGCUCUCUUGUUGUAUUGGGCCAUGUUUGUUAGGCCGCAAAUAAUCUAAAUAAUAAAAGGAAUGGCCGUGUGACACCAGAGCUCGAAACAAGCACACUACUUAAAGCAACAGUUUGGAAAAGAUAAAGGCCAAGUCAGACCUGAUAACAAGGACGGCAUGCAUGCUUAGAUAAGCCCGGCAAGCAUUUGAUUGAUCACGUGAUCACAAGACGCAGUUCUUAAGACAACCAACUCGUAGACGUUAGAUUUUGACUGAGUAACAGAGGAAAUAUUCACACAAGAGCGUACCGCUGGAACACCGCCCAUUCGCAACAAGGGAAGAAAGGUUAUCUCCCACAUCCCAAGUGACGGGCACCACCACAUGGAUAGUUUAGGGAAUUGUUAGCACACGGGCACGGGCAUGGUGAUUGGUGAGUUGCAACCUCCAUUUGAGGGCACAGAAAAAGGAAAAAUGCAUUUACAUCUCAGCACUCUCUUAUGAACAUUCACAUACAUAUAUGGAUGGAUUCAUACAUAUUAUUGUAGCAUGUUCGUCCAUUUGUUUUCUAGCUAUUUGUGUUGUAAUACUCCCUCCGUCCCACUUUGAUAGUCCUGUAUUCCUUUUUCAUCUGUCCCAAAUUGUAGUCCACUUUUCAAUUGAAGAAUGCAGUUGUAUUUUAAUUUUUCUAAAAUACUCUUAUUCAAUGUAAGUAGUUGUUACUAUAAACCUACCCCAUUUAACGAGAGUUGAUUCUUUUUUUACCAUCAAUUCAAGUUCCCAUAAAAUUGUACCAUAUUUAAUGUGAGGGUAUUUAAGAAAAUAGCAAUCUAAAUUUACUUUUCCAACAAAGUUAACUAUUUUUUCUUAAACUAUGUGAAAAAAGAAACAGGACUAUUAAAGUGAGACGGAGGGAGUAAUAUUUUGUGCUACCACAGGUGUCAACAAACUGGUGUGCAUUAAGAUUGAAAGAACGAAGCUCUCUGAAAUCCAAAGUGAAGAGGUGAUUUCUGUCUCGCUGGAGGGAGUCACCCGAGCUGAAAUAGUGCCUUUAUCUUGGGUGGACCACGGAGACGAAGUAACCUGCUUAAGUCAAACAAGGGAAGGGCUGGAUCCCCCGGAGUAUCUCCGAAGCCUAAGUUAGUUCGGAAGUAAGGGGGAAUAAAGGAAUAAGUGUAGUGAGUAUUGUUUACCAGAAAUUGGUCAUCCCCCUUCUUAGUAGAGAUGUUCAGUAUUUAUAGGGGCCGGAUGGGAGAGAAGAACUGCCAUCACAGGUCCCUAGAGAUCUGAUACGGUCAGUGCAUCCGGCGGACUUGACUGGUCUCUAUGACAAGAUAUGAUGGGACGUUUGUCAUGUUCAGGCGGCGUGUCAGGGCAGCUUUCUGUCAGGAGUCAGAGGUGCCAGGGGUCACACCCAACCCUUACGCUGACGUCGGAUGUCUAGGAGCCACCUCAGCUAGGAUGCUAAUCGAGGUGAUGGGAUGUCGACCCCACGGGUGACAGCCGAGGUGGCAGCCCGGGGUAGGCCUUUGGGCUACCCGGGCUGAAAUGGCCAACCUCACUAAGCCCCCCAAGCUUCGAGAAGGACAAGGUCAUUAUAAUCCGAGGUCGUACCUUCCCGAAGUUGACGAGCGUGUGGAACACGAAACAUUGCAGGGACACGUCGAUAUUGUGUGGAUGGGACUGAGAAAGGGGUGAGAAGAUGGUUGUCAGCUUUAACGUCGGAUCCGAAAAUCAAGUGUCAGGUGAACAGUAUCGUCAUUAAUGAGGGGAGAGAAAAAGAGCCGCAGGGAAUCCCAAGGAUCGCGCCUCUCCAGCUUCCCCCUGUCGCCUAUAAAUAGGGGGUUCUUUUUACCGUUCCACGCUUCACCUAAAAUCAGAAAUCACUCCAGAGCUUCAUCACUUCGUCUUUUCACUUCGGCAAUCAUUUCUAAAUCUUCUUCAGCAAUCUCUUCACUUCACAGUCCCUAAGUAAGUUCACUUCUUUUCCUUUUAUUACAAUGGCUAGAACAGCUCGUACACACAAAGAGACAGUAAGGCCAGAUUUCACCGAAGCAGAGAGACCUGACCCCUCCGAGGAAAGGACUGGGUCUGAUGGCAGAGGUGCAGAAGCUGGGAGGCCCGGCCCGUCCGAGAUAAGAACUGCAGCCGACACCGGGGAAGGAGGAGCUGAGGCGUCCCACCGAGCUGAGGCUAUGGAAGAGGAGGCCGAGGAGAUAGAAGUGGACCCUGAGGUCCUGUACAAUGAUAACCUCGGGAAUGAGGUCCCCAAGGACGAAGGUGUGCAGGAGCCUUCCACCCCCCCAAACGUGGCUACGAUGAACUACGGCCAAAUGCCAGCCUUCAGCAGUACUAUGUCGCAAGCCUCCGUAUCCGGGGUCAUCCGUAAAUAUCCCUGGAGGAAGGACUACGGCAUUUACAUACCCCAACCGGACCAAUCCGCCGCGCUGCCACCGAAGGGAAGGGUAGCUAUAUACGUGGAACAGUUGGAGGCCGGGCUCAGAGUGCCCACUACAAGGUUCCUUAGGGACUGCUUGAGGUACUAGGGGGUGAGGAUCACUCAACUCACCCCGAACGCUAUCCGCGUUCUAGUCGGCUUCCAACUGCUCUGCCGACAUCAGAAGAUCGAGCCCACCGUCAACCUCUUCCGCCGUUGCUAUUCACUUAAGAAUAGCGGAAGUGAAAAGGGUUGGUUUUACUUCGGGAACAAGGUUCCGAAGUUGGUGUACGAUACUCCGAGCUCGAUAAAGGAGUGGAAGAAGAACUUCAUAUUCGUCCCGGCUGAGGACUUCCCUAGGGGAUUCUGGUGGAGGCCUCCAACUUCGGUCAAAGAGAUUUCCCCAGGCAAACUGGAAGAACGCAACUUCCAAAAACUGACGGGGUCGGGCCUCAAGAUUAACUGUUGGAACUUCCCUGAGAAUGUGCUUGUGGAAGGAGGGUUCAGUCGAGCCUUGAUCAGCCCGGAUCACCCCAUUCUAUUAUUUUCUAGGCUCAAGAUACCUUGUACUUUUCCCUUGCCCUCCUUUAUUUAUUCUUUUUGAAUUCUAACUGACUCUGUUUCCCUCUUUGCAGUGACAAAACUUUCCGACCUGAUUACUUCGGGGGAGGUUGAGGUGGCGAAGAGGCCAUCAAAGAAGCGCAAGGACGCUGCCGAGACCUCUUCCAGGGCGGCCAAGAAGACUACUGCAGCGGCAGGCACUCGCGAACCCGCCGUGGUGAUCAUAGGCGAGGGCUCGCACACCUCGGGCACGCCUGGCAGAUCCAAGACUUCAUCCAUCCCGGUGGGGAUUCCUUCCCAGGGAGUCACGGUGGUCUCUCCACCUCGGGGGCGAGGUCGAGGUACGACCAUACUCCAGGGUAACCCCAUCUCGGGGUCAUCAUUAUUCAACCUUCACAACGUGCCCUCCAUCGCAGCCGGGGAAAACAAAAGGCACUCCGGGGUAUAAUUUUGCCCCGAGUGGGAGGUUAACGUUAAUGAUCGCUGCAAGAAUCUCCAGGUCGCGCACGAGCUCCUGGUGAACUCAGUCUUACCCCGGGACAAUACUUACACAAGGAAGCUCAACCCAGCCGAGCUGAUGCAGGGCGCCGCGGUUUCCUGGGCCUCUGCCACGGCGUUCUUUGCUGAGAUGUAUCAGCGCUUCGGGGACUUCGUAGAAACUUAUGAGUCACCCGCCGAGCUCCAGAAGAAGAUCGCCGACCUGGAGAAGGAACUGCAGGCCACCAAGGUAGAACGAGACAAGGCCGAAGCGGCAAAGAAGAAGGCCGAGGUCGCCAACAACUCCCUCAUAACUGCCCUUGACGAGGAGAGAGAGAGGAGAGCCCAAGAAGCACAAUCGUCCAAGGAGGCCAUCGACACAGCCGGGGCUACGGCCGUGGAGGCGUUCCGCAAGUCAGAGUCCUUCACCCGUGACCUCGGCGAGCUCACCCGGCCGAGCUUCAUGCUUGGCUAUACAUCGGCCAUCACCGAGGCAGCACCCUUCCUCUCCUCUGAACAGUUGGAGUCCCUUCAGAGCACCUCGCACUACAAUGAGGAUGGUAAGGAACUGUGUGACCGCAUAGCUGAGGGUAUUCAGGCUGGGAAGGACCUAGCCGAAGUCCGGGUUGAAUUCAACAAAUGGCUCCUAGAGUUUGAGCUGGAUGAGAAUAGUGCUGAAGGGAGUCAAACCGGUAAAGAAGCUGAAGGAGGUCAGGCCGGCGAAUGAGCUACAGCACAGCAAGACGCCGAGGUGGGGGGUGAAACUGUAGGACAGAGUGCCGGGAUGGGGAGUGCUUAAAGGCAUUCAAUUUUGUAAUAGGUGGGCCGAAGUCACGAAUGACUUCGUCCAUCCACUUUUGUAACCAUGAGCCGGGGUCGUAUAUGACCCCAGCUUAUUGCUUUUUCAUACCUCAAUGGAAUUGGCUUUUCUUUCAUACUUUUGCUUUUUUGCUAAUUGAGUUCGGUUUCUUUUCUUCUUUUGGCUACUGUUUUGUCCCCUUAUUUUUCACUUAAGAUAGAAUAAGAAUAAGUGAGAAAUAACUUCAAGAAAUGGGAUAUAAAUACACGUACCCCUCAAGGGUAAUACAACUUAAGGUUCUUAUCAUGCCAAGUUCGGGGCACCCGCGAACCAUCUCGGUAAGCUAACUUACAAUAUCCAUUUUGGCUGGACUCAACAACACGGUAGGGUCCCUCCCACUUGGGAUUAAGUUUUCCCUGGGGUUCGGCUCGGCUGACCGAGUUCUUCUGGAGUACCAAGUCUCCUGGACUGAACCUGAGGUGUUUGACCCGAGCAUUGUAGUAGCCAGUUAGGAUAUUUUUAUAGAUAGCAACCUUGGCUGCGGCCAUAUCACGCUUCUUUUCGACAAGGUCGAGAUCAACUCUCCGUUCCUCCUCGUUGACUUCGGCAGCGUACGUGGCCAUUCGCGGGUUGGGAGUGAUGAACUCGGCUGGAACGACUGCCUCGGAGUCAUAGGUUAGUGAAAACGGGGUUUCUUGGAUCGCUGACCUCGGCGUGGUUCGGUAGGAUCACAGCACACUGGGAAGCUCUUCCAUCCAUGACGAUCCAGCCCGGUGGAGCCUGGUUUUGAGGCCAUGGAGGAGAGUUCGGUUGAAGUUUUCGACUUGUCCAUUUGCCUGAGGGUGUCCCACCGAGGUGAAGUGUUGUUUAAUUCCUAGAUUUUCACACCAGGCCUUGAAAGGAUUGUCGGUAAAUUGCCGACCGUUAUCCGAGAUGACCACCCGGGGUAGGCCGAAGCGACAAACCACGUUCUUCCAGAAGAAUUUUUGAAUCGCCGAACCAGUGAUAUUCUUCAAGGGCUCGGUUUCGACCCAUUUGGUGAAGUAGUCCACUGCUACCACUACAUAGCCAUAAUUGCCCGGAGCUCUGGAGAAUGGGCCGAUUAUGUCAGUCCCCCAUUGCUCGAAUGGCCAUGACGAGGUGAUAGGGAUCAUUAGAUUAGUCGGUUGUCGGUGCUCAGGGGCAUGGUGCUGACAAGAAGGGCAACAAAGAACCAUGACCUGGGCAUCCACCCUCAUAGUGGGCCAGAAGUACCCGAGUAGUAAAGCUUUUUUCACCAGCAUCCUGAAACCGACGUGGGCACCACAGAGUCCCUCAUGAAUGUCUUGGAGAAUUUUAUCGCCUUCCUCGGGGGUGAUGCACCGCAGCCAAGGGCCGAGAUAGGACCUCUUGUACAAGAGGCCUUGUCGAAGAGUGUACCGAGCUGCUUUACGUUGAAUCUUGCGUGACUCGGCUCGGUCUUCGAGGAGCUCACCCCGGCUAAGGAAUCGGACUAACGGUCCCAUCCAGGUGUCCCAGGGUAAAUGGGGUACACCUCUUCUCCUUCAUACCCCGACUCGGCUAAGACUUCUACAAGGACCGUCUUGUUCAGAUUAGAAAAAGAGGAGGAAGCGAGCCGGGAGAGAGCAUCAGCUCUCCUGUUCUGUGACCGCGGUAUCCUUUGAAUCUCAAAAGAUUCGAAGUGUGUCACUAGCUGGAGGACCUUGGAGAGGUAUCGAUGCAUCACCUCUUCCCUGGCCUCGUAUUCGCCCAGUAUCUGGCACACGACGAGUUGAGAGUGGCUAUAGACUCUGAUGUACGCGGCUCCGAGCUUACGAGCCAGCUGCAGGCCGGCGAUGACCGCCUCGUAUUUAGCUUCAUUGUUGGAGGCAGUGAAGUCAAACCUCAAGGCAUACGAACAGAUCUCUCCUUGGGGAUCUUCGAGGAGCAGGCCGGCUCCACUUCCCUCACUAUUGGACGAGCCAUCCACAUGUAAGAUCCAGCGCUGAGGCUCGACGGUGGAUGGAGUGACAGCCUAGGUAGGUUCGGCGGAGGAUGGGGUGGGCAUACUCAUCUCGUCAAAAGUGAGCUCGGCGAGGAAGUCCGCGAGGGCCUGAGCUUUGAUCGCCUUGCGCGGCUCAUAAGAUAAGUCGUAUUCUCCUAGCUCAAUUGCCCACUUGGUAAGGCGCCCCGAGAACUCUGGUCGUGACAAGACUUGCCGGAGUGAUUGGUCUGUCCUUAAGCAGACGUGGUGAGCCAAGAAGUAGGGUUUGAAUCUUCGAGUUGCAUGAAUCAAGGCCAGCACGAGCUUCUCCGCUUGAGUGUAUCUGGUCUCCGGACCUCAGAGAACUCGGCUGACAUAAUAGACAGGCGUUUGGACACCUUCCUCCCUAAUUAGCACGGCACUUACUGUUUCAGCUGCGGCGGACAGGUACUAGAAUAACUUGUCCCCGGAACGAGGUGAAGUGAGUGUUGGGAGGUGGUUGAGGUAUUCCUUUAGUUGCUCGAACGCCUGCUGACACUCUUCAGUCCAGGAGAAGUUGUUGGCCUUUUUGAGAACUUUGAAAAAUGGCAGUGCCUUAGAGGCUGAUUGCGAUAGGAACCGGUUCAGGGCGGCCAAUCGCCCUGUAAGCCUUUGGACAUCGCGGACGCAACGAGGUGGAGACAUUUCCUGAAUUGCUUUCACCUUGUCUGGAUUUGCUUCAAUACCUCGCCUAGAGACGAGGUAGCCCAAAAACUUCUCCGAGGUGACCCCCAGGACACACUUCUUGGGGUUUAACAUCAUUCGCGUCUUUCGAAAGACCUCCAGGACCUCUUUCAGGUCGGCAAGAAAUGUGGAGGUGGUUCGACUUUUGAGAAGGAUAUCAUCCACGUAGGCCUCGACAGUUCGGCCGAUCUGAGAUUUGAAAGCUUGGUUGACCAAGCCUUGAUACGUGGCUCCGGCGUUCUUCAGUCCGAAAGGCAUGGUGGUGUAACAGUAUGUGCCUUGAUCGGUAUAAAAGGCGGUUUUCUCUUGAUCCUCCGGACUCAUUCCGAUCUGGUGAUACCCCUUAAAGGCAUCAAAAAAGUAGAGGACCUCAUAGCCCAUUGCUGAGUCCACCAAGGUGUCAACCUUGGGCAAUGGGUAGCAGUCCUUGGGACAAGCUUUGUUGAGGUCGGUGAAAUCGACGCACAUUCUCCAAGCCCCGUGUCCUUCUUUACCAUAACCGGGUUGGACAACCAGGUCGGGUACUGGACCUCCCGAAUGAUUUUUGCCGGGAGGAGCUUGUCCACCUCUUCGCCAACAGCUCGGCUACGUUCAGCGCCGAGGUGCCUUCUUUUCUGCUUAACCUGGCGAACUUGGGGGUCGACAUUCAGCUCGUGUAUCAUGAGAUGAUGUGGAACCCCUUGAACCUCCACUGAGGCCCAAGCAAAGACAUUCCGGUAUUCUCUGAGGAGGUCCAUCAUACCUCUCUUGACAAGGCUGGGUAAUCGGGUACCCACACGAACUGUCUGAUCAGGCUUCGUGGGGUCCAGAGGGAAUUCUUCCACCUCAUCCCCCGUCUCCAGCCUCGGUACCUUCUCAGUUCGUUGAGCAUCAAUGCUAUCUAUUGAGAGGAUAUUUGACCUCUUCUCAGUCCUCACUCCGGAGGUUGAUGGGGAGGCUGCUUGUAGGGUGGCGAGGUAGCAUUCUCGGGCAGUGCAGACGUCGCUGCUGACCUCGGCCACCCCCGCAGGGGUAGGGAACUUGAAGCUCAAGUGGUAGGUGGAAUAAACUGCCCGUAGGGCAUUGAGCGUGGGUCGACCCAGAAGUAAGUUGUACGGGGAGUCAGCCUUCACUACCACGAAGUUGACUGGGAUGGUUCGACAACGAGGGUGAUGUCCCACAGUCACCGUCAAGGUCACCAUCCCCUCGGGAUGCACAACAUGUCCCCCGAAUCCCACAAGAGGAGUCCGCACUGGGGUCAUUUGUUCCCGAGUCAACUUAAGAUUUUCAAAUGUGCGGAGGUACAUGACGUCCACCGAGCUUCCUGGGUCAAUGUAAACUUUUUUUACAAUGUAAUUGUUGGUGAGGACCUCAAUCACCAAAGCCUCAUGACUACUUGAGGCAGCAGGAACUAGAUCAGUAGGGCCAUAUGAAAUGACCUCGGAUAGGCGAGAGCUUGAAUCAGCUUGAUCCGGGUUGGCUUGCCUGUAGGUUCUCUUUCGAGAGUUUUGACUAUCUCCUCCCGUCGGACCUCCAGCGAUCGUGUUGAUGACUCCGGCGAUGUUUGGACCAUACCCUAACCCUGGGCCUGAAGAUCCGUCUGGGGGAGGCCUUUUUGACUCCCUAGGACCUUCAGGGGGUCGGCAGCUACUUCUCGACGUCCGCCGCUCGUCUCGGCGAUGGUCACCUCGUCCGUUGCGACGGUUGUCUCGGCGUUGGUCACUUCGGCGGAUGAACUGCUUUAAAUGCCCUUGCCGGAUGAGGUUCUCGAUCUUCCUUUUUAGAUCGUUACAAUCCUCAGUCUCAUGGCCAAUGUCCCGGUGAUACAAGUAAUAGAGGUUCGAGUUCCUCUUAUCCCGGCUACCGUACAUCUUGGGAGGUGCCUUCCCGAGGUUGUUUUGUUCCAUCACGGAUAGCACUUGAGAUCGGGAGGUGUUCAAAGGGAUUAAGUCGGACUCAGGGAUUGGGGCUUUCCCCUUGGAAAUCCUAUCGAACACGCUGCGGCGGUCCCGGCCAGGACUUUGAAAGCCACAUCCUGUUUUUACUUCAGUUCGGCCUUGCUUCUUCCCUUUUCUGGCGUCAGCCCUCGGGCGAGCAGCUUGAACCUCUUUUUUCAUGCAGUUGAGGUCUUCGGCUUGUAUGCCCUUCUCAACUUUUGACCACAGCUCGUAGAGGGUGCGGGGAAAUUUUUUAUGGAUUCCCGUGUUGAAUACCCCCGACACGAGCCCAUGGGUGAAAGCAGCGAUAGUAACCUGCUCAUUGGGGUCAGGUAUUUGUACACUUUCCUCGUUAAACCUCUGGACGUACGAUCGAAGUGACUCUCCCGGAUUCUGUUGCAUACUCAACAGGUAAGCCGAGGUCCUAGUUGUAGGUUGAGAUGAGAUAAAACGGUGAAGAAAUCUCUCCACUAAUUCCCCCAGGGUCGAAAUACUCCUAGGUUCCAAACUUGUGAACCAUUUUCGAGCUGUGCCCUGGAGGAAUACGGGGAAAGCCCGGCAGAUGACGGGGUCAGGGAUGCAGUAUAGAUGGAAGGCUGAGAUGAAGGCGUGGAUGUGGUCAUCGGGAUCACCUCGGCCAUCAUAAGACGGUAUCGACGGAAGUUUGAAAUUUGGAGGAAGUCUUUCCUCGUUGAUAUCGUCAGUGAAGGGUGGGACUCUCAUAUAAUCCACCCCAGGCCUUCCCAUGGGCCGAGGCUCUUCCUCGGAUCGUUGCCCCAAGAGCCCUCGAGAAAAGGCCUUGGUAAUAGAAGCCACCCUAGAGGUGGCCUUAGAGAAUGUCCGUUUCGAGGCACUUCGGCUCAGGCGCCUUCCAUCUGACUCCUCUUCGGAUGAGUCCACAGGAGAUCCAUCUGACUUCCUUUUAGAGGAUUCGGCCUUUUGCUUGCCUUGCCUCUUGAGGUAUCUCCCCAGCUUUUCAAAGAUGGUGGGGUUCUCAUUUACAAACUCAUCCAUACGGGUUAUGGCUUCUUCGUUUGCGGGCUGAGUCCUUGGGGACUCCUGCCCUUCAGAAAUAUCGUCCUGCUGGGCUGCGUUGCUCUGCUCAGCCCCAAUAGCAAGAGCUUUUCUGCUCCUAGAACGCGUAGGCUUCAUAUCCUAAUGUCUUCGUAUUCCCAAAGACGGCGCCAAUUGAAGAGGUGAUUUCUGUCUCGCUGGAGGGAGUCACCCGAGCUGAAAUAGUGCCUUUAUCUUGGGUGGACCACGGAGACGAAGUAACCUGCUUAAGUCAAACAAGGGGAGGGCUGGAUCCCCCGGAGUAUCUCCGAAGCCUAAGUUAGUUCGGAAGUAAGGGAGAAUAAAGGAAUAAGUGUAGUGAGUAUUGUUUACCAGAAAUUGGUCAUCCCCCUUCUUAGUAGAGAUGUUCAGUAUUUAUAGGGGCCGGAUGGGAGAGAAGAACUGCCAUCACAGGUCCCUAGAUAUCUGAUACGGUCAGUGCAUCCGGCGGACUUGACUGGUCUCUAUGACAAGACAUGAUGGGACGUUUGUCAUGUUCAGGCGGCGUGUCAGGGCAGCUUUCUGUCAGGAGUCAGAGAUGCCAGGGGUCACAUCCAACCCUUACGCUGACGUCGGAUGUCCAGGAGCCGCCUCAGCUAGGAUGCUAAUCGAGGUGAUGAGGUGAUGGGAUGUCGACCCCAUGGGUGACAGCCGAGGUGGCAGCCCGGGGUAGGCCUUUGGGCUACCCGGGCUGAAAUGGCCAACCUCACAAAGAUUCCCCUUUAAUUUAAAGACAUAAUGCAGAAUUUGGAGGCUUGCUAGAAUCAAAUUUGUCAUCCAAAGUUUCCUCCUCGAUCUUUUGAUAAGCAGCAAUUGCAAUCAAUUACAAUUUGAUUUUGGACAACUUCACGUGCAUGGUAGCUGCAAAAUGGAGAGAAAGUAGUAGGAGAGUUCAUCAUUCUUUUCUUUUUGGCAGAACUGAAUUCGCGAUCAAUGAUGAAUUUCAGCUCAAUUUGGAUGGAGUUGCUUUUGUUAAAAUUUCUGUUUCUGGUACAGAAAACUUCUACCAUGCGCUUCAACCAUUUUUUCAUUUCGCAUGUAUGUUUACCCCAAAAAAGAGCUAGAACAAUAUAUUUUUCUUUAUAUAUAUAUAUAUAUAUUAAAAAAAACACAAUUUUAAAAGAACCAUCCAAACCGAUUGAUUUACUAUGAUCAACCUCCAUCUUCCCACCUACCAGAAAUUGACAUACUCGAACGCAGAGUUCCUUCUUCUACACAUACUAUAAGAUUGAGAAAAUAUAAACACUCGAAGUUUGUGCAAAUUAAGCAUAAUGGAAAUAAAAAGGAAAGAGAGAAGCAAUAUUCUCUUCUUUUUUUUUAAUCAUUUGGCAUGCAUAGGAAACCCGCUGUAGUCGUGUUGCUUCUCUGAUAACUCCAGCAAAACUCAGACAAAACCAAAGACGAAGGAAAUGCUUCCCUCUCAAAGACUCAAAACUAAAUAAGUUUAUCAUUUGGCAACCAUGGGUUAUCUAGUGAUGAAGAGUCAUUAAUGAGCGUUUAUACAAGUUUGAGACUCAGAAUUUGGAUAUUCUUUUUUGAUAAACAAAAUAAUUUCAUUGCCUUAAAUCCCAUACUAAGGGCACAUUCAACCCCAAACAUAUUUAAUAAACCAUUGAAUACAAACGAUCUUUAUUAAAAAAUAGAUAUGUAGUGCCAUAAAACUUCGUAUAUCUUUCAACAUCAGAUGAAUCACUCUAACCGCAAUCUAUGCACAUAUUUGUGUCUUAGUGAAGAAUUGCAGCCAUUCUCGAGAUGGCACUAAUUUUCGUUCUAGUACUACUAGGAAAAUAAGCCUUUCCUUCCUUGACCUAAAAUAGGUCACUUAACAUAAAUCAUUUCUUCUUGUGAAGUAGCAUUAAGUGUAUAACCCUCACAUUCCCCUGUUUUAUAUGAAAAAAAAAGUAAAUUUUAUAUACAUUGGUGCAUAUACAAUGUUACGAUUGGAUAUACGACACAAAUUCAAAAUUUAAAUUCAAAUUAUGUGUCAUAUAUCUAAUAGUAAAAGUAUAUAUACUAUCAGUGUAUGUAAAAUUAAUCCAUAAAAAAAACCAAUUAAUAACUGAUAUGUUAAUAUUGUGUGAGAAUGAAUUUUCUGGAUUGAGGAUUAAGGAACGCUAAUAUAGAGUCAACAUUCACUGAAACAAGAGUACUUGUGACUAAUGACACACGUCCCACACUUGAGCCAGUAAAUGAGGAUUGAGGACGUCUUUUUCUUUUUUUCUUUUGGGGGGGGGGGAGUGGUGGGAGAGGGGAAAGAGGGAUUGAUGAGGUCGUUUUGGUUGUGUAUCCAAGAUGGCAAAGAGAUUAUUGUGUUGUUAAUUAAGAAUUUAAGAUCAAAUAUCAGGUGAUCACUUCUAAAUCUUCCAUCCCUUGUCCCAUACUGCGAAGCGAACUCCUUCCUUGGUCCUAUUCAACGUGGUAGUUAUAAGCAAGUGACUUUACAAUCGUCCUCCUGUCAACGUGUCUCGUUCUCACUGGUUGGUCCUUGCACAUGGCAUGUGCUCCUUCUUGCCCUUUUUCUCGUGUAAUAAAAUGUGGGGCUGGCACGUGGUGGGGUCCCCUUCCUAUUGUGUCAGACUCAGAUCUUGCAUGGGCUUCCUCACAUGACGGAGAUUAUCCUCCGUUCUUAAUCGUCGUCUGCCCCUCAGUCUCACACGCGUCAUCGCCGGACUUAACGGCCGUGACGCCACCCACCCGUGAUUGCGAUUUGACAAUGAAGUCGGACCCACCAACGUCGUUGCGCUGCUUGCUCAAAGUCGCUGUCCGAUAAUGAAGGCUGUUACACAAACAAUUCUAACAAAACAAAUGAAUUACCACUUACUAAUUUGCUAAGCCCCAAUCAUAUUUUAUAUCUUUUUUUCCCAUAUCGAUAAUCACUAAUAAUACUUCAUACAAUUUUUCCAUAUCAUAAUCACUAGUGACGAAACCAAUAGUUGGCCACCAAGGAGAGUUCUAAAACUCUCAAUAGCUGCAACAUUCUUGUUCAUAAUUUUCUAAAAAUUUACUAUUUUUCUUAAUGUAGAGUAGGAAUCAGUAUAAAAUAAAAUAUAUAUAUAUAUAUAUAUAUAAUCACUAGCUGACAAGGAAAAAAAAAAACGUCAUGAUUCUUGGUCGCAACUUAUAAUAACGAUAGCAAACUAACGAAGUGAGUGUAGAAUAAACUAUUGCUGAUCGUAAAAAAAAAAAAAAAAAAAGCAGGGAACGAGGCACUAAUUGGUAACUUGAGAAUUCACAGCAUUCAAAGUUAUUUCAGCACCUGAGGUUUACUGACAUUUGUUGAUUUUCUUGGCCUUAACAAGGCGCAUAAAAUUUUGCUUCUAAAUCUCGACCGCAGAAUAAAUCAAAGCAAAGAAAGAGAUGGGACAGUUUUUCGUUGGGAUUAAAUGCUCAGUGCAAGUCAAGGAAACUGGGACAAAGCCAUGAGUGGUCGUAUCGUUAAAAACUGCAGAGUGCAACGUCGGGCGGCUCAGAGAAUCCAAUUGUUGCAUCACAUAACACACUAUUGCGUCUCAUGCAACGAUAUGCAAGUACAAAAACAACUGCCCCCUAGUAUCUUUUGCAGUUAGAGCCGACCUUAUGCUUGGGAUUCUGUUGUCGGCCUUUUUCCCUUCCCCUUUUCUUUUUUUUUUUUAAAAAAAAUUUUAAUGAUAGUACUUCACGAUUAGGAUUGCAAAAAAUUUACUGCCUUAUUUCAAAGUAAAAUUUUUACAUUUUUUAUCAUAUUUUUAAAUUAAUUUUUUAUCUUACAUAUAUUAAAUCACUAUAAUAUGUUUUUUCUAUAAAAAUUGCAGAAAUUAGCAAUCCAUGCUUUUGGCAUUUCAGCACUUUAUAUAUUUAUUUUUUUUCUCAUGUAUAUCAUUAACAAAGCUAUGGGCACUCUUUGAUGGAUAUCACUUGAUUUUUUUUUUUUUCCGAUCUAAAGGGAUAUCCUAGAAUCACCAAGACUGAUCCCCUAAAUUGGGCAGAGCUCGCCCCUAGUUGGGAUAUUCUGUUGUCGCCACUAAUUAUAUUUGACUCGAUGAGAAUUUUGUUGUAACAACAAUUAUGGUAUUAACUGUCAAGAUUUAUCCUUUUUAACCUUCGUGAGACUUAGUGCCUGUUUGAUAACAUAAAAAAAUGCUGAAACUGAAUUCAUUCAGACAUUCAGAUGUUGUGGGUGUUUGAUAAAUAAAAAUUCACCUGCUGAACUUAUUAAGUGGUGUUGAAUUUUUAUGUAUUUAUUUCAGCACAAGAAUCAUAGCUGAAUGCUUAAUUUGAUAAGAAUCAAGAGAUUUACUUCAACUACUUUAUCUUAUCUACCAAAUAUAUCCCUGUUUGUUAAUUACAUUCAAAAUCCUUAUCUAAUUAAACAACCUAAUAUUCUCUAUUCAAAAUCCUUAUCUAAUUAAACAAAACAACCUGAUAUUCUCUAUUCAAAAUUUUUUUUUUAACAAUAGUAUUUUUUUGCAGUAAUUUUCAUCCACAAACAUUUAUAUUUUGAUAUAUAUAUUUUUUGUGCAGAUAAAUAUUAUUUAUGUGAUGCAGCUUAUCCACACACACGUGACUUUAUAACACCAUAUCGAAAUAUUAGAUAUUGGUUGUCUGAUUUUCGAAAUGCUUCUCGUCCAAAAUCAAAAGAAGAACGCUUUAACUAAGCACAUGCAAAAUUGAGAAAUGUAAUUGAACGUGCUUUUGCAGUAUUAAAAGCUCGUUUUCCCAUUCUCAAAACGAUGAAACCAUACCAUUUUCCCAUACAAAGAAACAUUGUCAUUGAAUGCAUUGCUCUUCACAAUUAUUGUCAUUUUCAUACCUAGCAAUUUUAAGUUAAUUAAAUUAUAGGUUCUAUUUCCUUUUUGGAUUAAAAGAUAGAAAGGCAAAAUUGUACAAUUUAGCUUAUUAAGCAUUAAGUUAUGAAUAUUUAUCAAACAGUAUAAAUAGAUUCAGCAUUAAGAUUCAUACAUUCAUAUAUCUCUUUUCAGUGCUUAAAUUCAGCAAAUUAAUUAUUUAAGUAUUCAGAAUUCAGAUUCAGUGUUAUCAAACGGAGCCUUAGUGAAAUGUGGAAAUAUUAUUUGUGUUCCAACUUCCAAAUGCUCGUCUACAAAAAAAAAAAAAAACUAUAACAUAUUAAAAAUUUCGCAAAAAUAGAUAUUUGGGCAUUCCGGUGUCUUGGUGUGGUAAUCCCUUGCCUUCUCACGGGCGAAUCUCAUCUAACAUUCAUUCUCUCUGGAAGAGGAAGUUGUGUGCAAUCCCCACAAUUUGUAGGAAAAGCAACAUCGGAAUGCUUGAGAUGUCAAUCCCGUCGACAUGGUGGAAGAAUAUUUAUUUAUUUUAUCUGGUGAAGCGGUUGGAAUUCUGGCCCAACAACAAGGUAGGAAAAAUUCCUCUUACUUGUCAAUCCCGUUGACACAGUGGCAGAAUUUUUAAGAAGUUGAUGAGGCCUUGCGAACCAUUUACAAUUAGCCGCCAAAAACCUCCAAAAUGCGGAACUCUGGUCAAAAAAUAGUCAACCAACUCUCAACCAUAUAUAUAUAAAUUAAUUUUUUAUAUAUUAAUAACAUAUAUAUAUUAUUAAAGUUGAAUGCUUAACACAUAUAUAAAAUUUAGAAUUUAAAUUUAAAUUCAAAUUAUAUAUCAUGUAUUUAGUGGUGCAAAAUAUAUAUACUAUCAGUAUAUAUAAAAAAAUUAAUUCAUAUAUAUAUAUAUAUAUAUUAAUAUUCUAUACACUAACAGUGUAUAUACUUUCAUCAUUACAUGUAUGACACAUAAUACAAAUUUAAAUUUAAAAUUCAAAUUUUACAUAUGUGUCAUAUAUUCAAUCGUGAUAGUAUAUACACCAUCAAUACAUACAAAGUUUACUAUAUAUAUAUUAAUGGUAUCACGGGGUAACUUACUGCUUAAAAUUUAGGGUCCGCUCAAAAGGGAUCUUGCCUUGUCUGCCAAUGCAAUCUUCUCGUACGUCUCUUUUGCUUCUGCUUUGCUUGUACUCCAUAUUUUACUAAGUACCAUCGAUUGGGUGGAACCUUUGGGGGCUGAAAGAUCUCCAUGCGCAUUCGUAGCUGGGGAUAAAGUUAAACGUUGUACGAGCACAUGAAAUCAUCUCAUAUUUAGCAUAUCUAUUAUCUUUAUGCAUAGUGGGGUACGAGAUAUUAUACUCCCUCCGUCCCACUUUGAUAGUCUUAUUUUUCUUUUUAGCCUGUCCCAAAUUGUAGUCCACUCUUCCAUUAAGAAAUGUAGUAAUCUUUCAAAUUGUCUAAAAUACCCUUAUUAAAUAUCUUGUUAUUAAUACAUUGUUAUUACAUACUAACCCACUACAUUGAAUACAUUAAACUUUUUCAAUACUAACCCAUUAGCUGUAACUGAUAUUAAUUGGCACUCUUCGUGAUUAGCAUAAGGGUAUUUUAGAAAAUUAUUAAUCUAAAUUUAUGUUUCCAACCAAAUUAAUUACACUUUCUUAAUCUGUGUGAAAAAAAAAACCAAGACUAACAAGACGGGACGGAGGGAGUAUAUCAAAGCGAAAUGAUGCCAUCUAGUCUAGUUAUAACUUAAAAUGAAGAGCGCACUCCGACAAGAAAAUCAACCGUGGCCAUGAAAGCGAUAACCUAGGCCCUAAGUUGUGUGUCACAUUCACACAAUACCUAAAAGUUCUAUGGACGACAAAAUAAUAUUAAUAUUUGGGGAAUGCAACCAACGAAGCGGUUAGCUGACCAUUAAAUGCUUUAGGCUUUGGGCUACCGUUAUGAUGUUAAGAUUUUACUAUUAAACUCAAAAUUUCAUGUCUUUUCCUUGCUUAAAAAAAGGGGGAAUGAUGGCCCUUGAUUGUAAUUGUUUUUGUUUGUAAGGUCACAUAAAAUGAAAUCUUUGAAAUUUUAAUUCAUGGGUGUUCUUUCUGAUGGCGUGUAAAGCAACAAACGGUCAGCAGGCGGUUAGAAUAAUACCUGCUUGUAUGUAGGACCUUGGUGACAGUUUUAAAUAUUACAAUAAUUAUUGCUAUAGCUCAAAUAGCAUACAGUAACAGCGUCGGUGUUUCCCUGUUGUAUUGGAAUUCUGAUUUUUUUUUUUCUGAUAUUCACCAGCACUUCAGAGUCCCCAACAUUUGGAUCAACGGUCUACGCCAAUCUUCUGGCCAUGUCACUUAUCUUUCUCCUUUUUGAACCCCAAUUAUGUCACCAAAAAAAUAGAAAUUGAAACACUGCUAAAUGUAAAAGAUACGACAUGCUCUUUUUUUUUUUUUUUUUUUUUUUGUGGAUACAAAAAAAUUUUGGUAGCUAGGCUUGACCCUAGUCAUCACCAUAGGUCAGACAUAUAUUUGGAAUUAUAGGUCACUUGUAUGAUUCUUAUAAAUCAUACACUAAUACAACUCUCAUAUCAACAGUGAGAUCGAACACACGUGAAUACAACUCUCACAUUGGUAGUUGGAAUCAUAGGUCACUUAUAAAAACUAUCGUACAUCAACAUAAUCCUCACAUCAGCAGUGAGAUUCAAAUACACAUCAAUGCAACCAUCGCACCGACAGCGAAAUUCAAACAUGCGAUUUUUUUUAUUAGAAAGUGGUCCGUAUUUACCAAUUGAUCCAACUCGUGUUCUAAAAGUGGCCCGUUUCUUAUUUUCAUUGCAAAUAUGCUUCCGGUCUUAGUAAUUAACCAAAAUUUCACAAUUGUUCUUGAUGCUUCCGAACUAAAAACUCAAAGGAUUAAAUUCGUAUUCCGAAAGUUGGGAGUCCAAAUAUGCAAUUAGUCCUUGAAUAUACGGCACGAACCUAACUGAUUAACGGGAUAUUUGUCUGCACUUAGCACUAGAAACCAAGGAAACGUUAAUAAAGCGGAUGCCCCACAAUUAUAGGAAUUAGAAUUCCAAUAGAUUCUGCAUCAUAUAAUGGCCGCAGACUGGUCCAAGCUUGUUUGGAAAAAAAUUUUAAAAAAAAACAUACAUUACAAGAUUUCAUCCAUCUUUAAUUUUAAAAAAAAAUGCAAUAAGAUCAAACGCAAGUGCGCCGUGUAGGCCUGUACCUUCGCGAUUGGCUGAUGGCCUAAGACUGAGGCUAUUAUAAAAUCUAAAGAGCAGAGCCGAUAUAUAAUCUGAGUCCAUUAUCUUCCUUGAUUUGCGUCUAUUUGCAGGUGGUCUCAUAUGCUGUGGGAAGAACGGGAUGUUGAUUGAACAUGCAGUGCUUUGGAUUUUUCGCAUAGAAUAAAAUGUGAAAGCUACUUUGAUGUUUGUUAUAUCAUGGUAGGGGAUGUCUGGCUUAUCUGACUCCAUCCGUUGCUCUGUUAAAAAAAAAUUUUUUUUUUUUGGGCUCUAAUUGAAUUUAUUUCUCAAUCAGGGACAAAGAAUUUGGUCACACAUCGUGGAUUUCGAUUUGAAUAAUUGAACAUUCUUCUUCAUGGUAGCAGGAUGGAUACAAAACUCGUUACGAGAGAAGUAGAUUAGUUACCACAUUCCCUUUUCUUCGAGUUGAAAAGAAUAAUUACUCCUAGAGAAGGGUCAUUCUCAAGGAGUUUAAGCCGGGAACAUGCAAGAAAUCAGAUAAGAUCUAGAAGAGGGUCCUGUGCUGAAGGGUCUUUAAUCGACAGUGAACAGCACGUGUGGCAGUUGGGACCAAAAGCUGUAAUUAGGUUUAUGGGAGUUAAAAGAACGCGCAUGAGUCGAUGACGACGAUGAGCCAUGAAGCGUGUUACUGGUUUUGGUUUUUGGGGGUCAAUGUCCCUAAUGAGUAAUGAUAUCGUAAUGGUUUAAAAGGGAGAGGCACCAUUUAGUGUGGCAUGCGAAUUGAUGAGAGCUUGUAAUAAAACUUAUAAAAGUAAUAACAAGGCAACUGUGAUUGAUAGCAUGUCGGGAAGUUUUAUUAGUACUACUUAUAUUUUUCUCCUUUCAGGGCUCAGUGCUGCUACUCCAAUUACUGAGGAACUUCUGUUCCGUGUACCUCAGUCAUGUCUCUACCCCAGGUCCGGUUUUUGGGUAUCGUUAUUCUUGUUUUCUAGUUACCUAAGAAAAUGUUUGCAUUGCUUGUUUUGAGGGAAAAAUUUUAUUUGGUUUUUUUUUUUUUGAAUUAUUUUCUCUAAUGCAUUUGUCAACCACCUUUUUUUUGGGGAUAAUUUCACAAACCUCCCCUAAUAUUUAUGACAAUUUCACUCUGCUUCUCUUAGGUUUUACAAAUUACAUUGACCUCUCUUAUCAUAAUAAAAUGACUAUAAUAACUUUCACUUAAUAAAUAAUUCACAGCAUAAUGAAAUGAGAUUUUAAAAAAAAAACCUGACCUUUUCAGACUAUUUUGUUUACAAGUUAUAGCCAACGAUGAUUCUCUUUCAUUUGCUAUCAAUCCGUUCUCAUCCAUCAAUCCCUUCCUUCUAUAACUCGUUCUCAAAUUACCACCAACUAUUGCCUAUAACUACAAUCAAUCACACCACAAGUGAUCCCUCAAACUUUACUAUGUAUUCCUAUUCCUCCUUUCUUCUCUUUGGAAUUGUCAAAGCACAUGUUUAGUUGAGGGAUUAGAUUUGAUGGUUGAAAUAAAAUUCAAUUUCAUGGUCAGACUAAAAGGAGAUGAAGAGGCACACAAUAAUAAUGGAACAAAUAAUGCAAUCAUUGACCAAAAGAGGAAAAGGGAUUGAAAUUGAUAAAUUUACUAAUUUGUCUAUCAUCUAUCCAAAAAACUUUUUAAGAUGUUAAUAAGUACAUUUAUAUUUCUUUUUAUACUUGACAAUUGUUGGUUGUGGCUUCGCUAUGAAGAUAGAGUUUUUUAGACUAUGUUAUUUAGUUUUGAAAAAGUGUGGGCAUUGGGUUUGAAAUUUGGGAUGUGAUUAGUUGUAAAUAAAAUUUUGGGUUUUGGCAAAAUAAAUUUCUUGAAGAUCUCUAUAGUCAUAAUGCUGUCAUUUCUUCUCUUAAAUUUGAUUAAUCCCAUCCAUACUCAAAUCUCCUCUAAGGAUUUUCUUCUUGACCAUAAUGUGGUUCAUGUAGUAGGAGUUGAGUCACUUAUAUGGAAUCAAAUCACAGCAUUCUAUGUUGAAGAUUAUGCAAAUAUAAGUGCAGUUGAUUGUGUGUUUAACUAUUCUAUGGAACCAUAUGGUGAGAAUAUUUCUAAAGUAUGUAACUAAUCUUCAUAAUUGAAUGCAUACUUUGGGAGAAGCAAGUUUAUGACUGUGAUGAUGGAAUUGCUUGGGUUUAGAAUUUGGAAUUAGACUAUUUGUUAGGCUAGUUUAUUAGUAUAGUAGGUUGGGUUAAAAUAUGGGAAAAACCAAUUGGCAAAACAAAUUUUGUUUUAUUUUUAUACAAAAAAGGGCAUUUUAAAAUAUUUGAGAAAAAUAUAGCCUUUUGGACCUAUAUUGUUACAGUAAAAGCAAGGGAGGUAAGUGUAAUUUAAUAAACUUGAGGGGAGGUCUAUGCAACUGCCGGAAAUCUCGGGGGAGAUUUCUGAAAUUAUCCUUUUUUUUUAAAUCUAAAUGAAGUCAGUAAUUACAAUUUCGAGUCUCUGAGUAUGAAACUAAACAUUUGUUUGAAUUUGGUGAUUUUGGGCUGCACUUUUCUAAGAUUUGAUAUAUAUGUAAGACAAGAAACUAGUUAGAAAACGUAUCAAGGGAAUAUUGUAAAUUUUUUCCAAAAACUUACAAAUUAAACUAUAAGAAAAUUAUUGCUGUGUGAACCCACGAGGAAAUGGAGUAGGAAAAGAAAAUAUUUUGAGUAGAUCAAAUAAACUAUUUACUGCACAAAUUAACAAGUACAAGAUCAUCUAAGUUUAACAAAUUAAUGUUGGAGGCAAAUCCAUGAAACAAACACUUUUGGAGGUAUUUGCUUGACUUUAAGAUGUUAUAAAAUUUAACGAGAUGAUCAUGUCAUGUGGUUGUCUUCUCUAUUAUUUGAUUGGCAUCCAAAUGAUGAAACAGACAUGUUAUUGGUGGGUGUGAAUUUGAGUUGGCUUAAUUUAGUUCACAUGCCAUGGAACUUCCUAUGCAUUUCAUUUGGAUAAUGUUUAUAGAAUCAGGGCUACGUGUCAGCCGUGAGGGAGCGGUGGCUGGGGGCCAGAAAUUUUUUAAUUUUUUUUUUUUUUGCUUGUUGGGGGGAGUAAUAAUUAUAAAAUAAAACUGCUCAACUUAUUUUUAUUCCACAGUAAAAUUAUUCAUGAAAUGACAAAUUUACCUUUUCUAAGAUGAUCUCAAUCUGUAACUGGUGAAGGGCAUGGCUAUCAUUUUAUAAGAAAUAUAUAUGUUGCGGAACUAAAAUUUGUGCUUGUCAAUUAAUGCCUUUUACCUCUCUGUUUCAUGUUAUCUUGCAUAGAUCUUUUCACAAAUAGCUGAUAGCAAUAAGAUGUGCUUCUAGCAACGGAAAAAAAAAUGGUCAUUAUUGUUAGAGAGGUCAUUUUAAACAAACUAGUAGUAGUAAUAUUUGAAAAAAAAAAAAAAAAGAGUAAAAAAGCAUUAGCAUUGCUAGCUAGUUUUCUGUUUUCGUGAAUCCUGACAAAGGAAUAAUAAACAAAAAAUUCACGUACUCGUGCAAUUGACAAAUGCGUGCACGUGCAGCAAGGGAUCCGGAUUUACGCAGCUCCACAAGAUUGAAGAUUGAAGAUUGAGGGGCUAUUUCUUGAGCGCUGCUUUGGUGAUUGAAUUCCGCUUACCGUAUUAUGCAAGACACCACUAAUGUUUGGUGCCUUUAGUUGGAAUAUAUUUCAGAAGCUUCCCAGAAGACAUGCCACUUUUUAGUUUUACACAAUGUUUUUAAACUCGGACCGGUCAGUGAACUGGAGAGGUGGCCGGUUCGCGGUUCGAUCGGUCCGACCGGUUCAAAGGUUCAUUGUUUUUUUUUUUUUUUUUAGUGUUAAGUACUAAGCAGGUUUCAUUCUACACUUGAACUUUACCAACAUAACUUAAUUUAAGUUAUGAUAAUAAUAAAUUUUCUAAAAGUUAUACACAAAACAUGGAAUGAUAAAUAUAAUUAAAAUAUCAUAAUUCACCACAAGUUUUCAUAAAUUCAUUAUAAAUAUAAAUAGAUACAAUCCAAAUGUGCACCAAUUAUCACAAAUAAAAACACAAAAAAUAAAUAAAUUAAAUAUUGAAAUUCUUUUACAACCCUUAAAAAAAUCCAUAAAAGAGUUCAAGUUAAGACAAACUAUUUGAAUAGCAAACUUUUAUCAGUGACAUGAUAAGCAACCACACCACCUUCACAAUUUCAUCAACUUAAGCUGAAAAAGUUAAAAUUUUAUUAUAAAAAUAUAAAUCUAAUUGCUCAAACUAAAAAAAACUAAAAAUUUUUGAAAAACAAAUAUACAGUUAAACACAUAAAAAAUUAAUUGCUACUAAACAUUACUAAUUAACAUGUUAUAUUAAAUUCAAUGAUCCUAUACCAUUAAUUAUUUUAAAUUCAAUUAUCAAUAGCUUCGAUUAUGUGCCAACUACUAUAUUUUUGACCAACCCAAUGUUAUUAUUUGUAAUUCCUACCCAAUUCCUACACGGAUGUGCACUACUUUUGCAAAAAUUUCAUCCUUAAUUAAUCGAAUAAAAAUAAAACAAAAAUGAGGGGAAAAAGAAGAAAAUGCAAAAAAUCAACUAAAGAUAAUAAUAUAGAAAAAAACCUUGAAAAGAAAAAAAUUAAACUUACUAAAAUGUUGGAAAACAAGAAAAGUUAAAAUUUUCAACUUGUUUACAAUCUGCUAAAGUUAAUAACCUGAUAAUAAUGGUGAAGACUUGAGAAAAUCUUGUUGUGGAUAUUUGGGUUAAAAAUGGUUAAGAAGAAAAAAUUGAAAAAAAAAAUUAAGAGAAGAACUUGAUGUUUUAAUAUAUUUUUUAGUCAAGUAGAAUUCUCAACAAACUUAAGUACAGUCUAGCGGUAAGAUUGUCAUAUUUAAACUUGGAGACCCAGGUUCAAAUCUUAACUACACCAUUCUUGAUAUUUUAUUGAAGAAUUUAAAAAUCGCCAAUUCACAGUUCUUAACGGUUCGUCCGGGUUUCAACGGUUCUUCAUGAACUUCCGGCUUUAACAUUAGACCGGACCGGUGACAUGGCCGGUUCGCGGUCCAACCGGUCGAACCGGCCGGUCCGGUCCAGUUCUGAAAACAUUGGUUUUACAUGCAAGAUACUAUCCCACUCCACUUUAAAAAAAUUAAUUAUAAAUUACACAACAGUUAAAAGUACAAGAUUUGAAGGUCUGAGUUUUAAGUCAAUUCUCGACAUCGUACCUAGUAAUCUUUGGGUUAAGUGGAAAACACCACAACUUUAAUGCACACUUGACUAAUUAAAUGCAAGCAGCGAGCCAUACACCAGCAUGAAUUACUCCACUUUUGCGGCUUUCUGUCCUGAUCAAUCUAAAUCUUCUACCAAACACACACGUAAUUUGAAAUUUGAAUGGUUAGUAUCUAAUUGUCAGCUGCGGAUUUGAAUUUUUUUUUUUUUUUUUGGGUUAAGUCGUUCUUCAUUAACUAUUCAUAUUAUUUUUAAUGGUCUACUAUCGAAGUACGAAAGACUAGCAAAGAACAUUUUGUCUCCCUCCAUCUCGCUGCCCCAUGCAUUUGGGCAUUCCUACUUCCUCUACUUCUCCUUUCAAUUGCUAGAAGAUAAUCAAAAUAAUUUCACAAUUUGAAUAUGCAGUCAAUGCAUGCAACAAAUGACAAUAAUAUGAUUAAAGUCAAAUAACGUUAUUGUCUAACUCCAUUUCCCCCUCCCCUGAUUACAGCGCAAAAGAUUGCUCCGGCAAUACCGCAAGCUUCGAACUUCAGUACCAGGAAAAAGAGCCGACAAAUGACUUUGGCCAAAUUCUCUAGUCCCAACUACUAUUUGUUACGCAAAUUCGGUAGUGUGAAUACACGACAGUUGCAAUAGGACAGCAAUUGAGCAUUACCACCGAAAAGAGAAAAAGCGGAACUAUGCCCACUCGGGAGACGAUAAUGCUAAGGCUCCAAUCCAACUGCAGCAAAUGAAAAAAAGAGUUUAGAAAAACCUUUUAAUAAAACUAACACCUUUUUUUUUUUUUUUUUUUGUUUACGCAGAGGUAUCUGGAUCUAUGAACUGGUUACCGUACGACCCAACUAAUUCUCUGCAGGUCGGGAGAGACUGCCCAACAUCACAGACCGUAGUACCCAGAAUUUGAAUCUUUGCGGUGAUACUCACCUAACUAGGCUACUACUACCAUCAACUCUAGCCCUGGGGGCUUUUAAUAAAACUAACACCUUAUUCAUCGGGAUUCAAAUUUUUCCUGUUCCCAGAGUUGACAACGUGCGUAGUAGAUUAAACAUAAACAGGAAACAACUGCUAGCAGGAACUCCGAAAUUGAGUCUUGAAGGGUGAGGCUUCAGUGACAGUAGACAAAAAAAACCAAAACCAUCGAGCUUAUUACCAGCAUUUAGCACAUACAAACCAAAAACAAUUAAGUUCCCUUAUUGCGUUUACACCUAACUACUUCUUCUGCAGAGUUUACACUAAUAGAGGAGUAUUAUCUUCUUGUAGACCUUACCAGAAAUAGAGAGCAUUUAUUUUUGUAUUCAACUACUGAUGAAUUCUAGUGGGACUUUUUCCCAAUGAUGUUUACUCUACAAAAACAUUAGCUAACACAAUUUUGAAUUACUCCCAUUUUAAAAUACACUUUUACAUCUAUAAUCUCCUCAGAAAAUAAAACUUUUAAUCCUAGUCCUCCGAUGGCACUUGUUUGACAAAUUGUUUGUCAUAUGACAAGGGAUUUGCCGCAAAAGAUGACUAUUUCUAAGUAUGUACAUAAAAUCGUCUGUCCGUACAUUCUGCAAAGAGUUCAAAUUUAAAAAAAACCAACAACAAAAACUCAAAGACCUAUCGUAUAGAAUCUAAAUUUAGCUAUAGUUUUAACUCUACAUAUAUGCUUCCAAACUUGUAUAGUCUUGGUCCAAAAUCAAAUUAUCCUUGAAUGAACUUCAUAACAAACGAGUAUUACCGAAAAGAAGAUUCGUACUUUACUAGGAAAAGAAAGCCAUUUUGUAUUCGAAUUUUCAAGAACUGUAAAUGUGAUUUAUUUUUUUGGGGGGGGGGGGCAAUUAUAAACAUCCCUAAUCAAUCAAGGUUGUAAUCCCAAACAAGGAGGAUCACAAGUUUGCAAUCGGUUGGUGGCCGGGGCAUCCCAGUGAAGGUACUGCGUGGGAACGCUGGAAGCAUAGCUCGACCGCCGGUGAUUGGCAGUAGUGGGACAUCCUGCCGUGAUCGUACCAAAACCGUCGCCAGCCCCUGCCGGUAACUGCGGAAAUUGGUCUCUUUUAACUUGUGUAUGACGUGUUUAGAUUUUUCGUUUCGAUCACUUUUGUAUUUUUACAAAUUGUUUUUCUUUCGUGACACUUUUUCCCAGAGGUAAGUACCUUUUUCUGUUUCUGAAAAGGGCAAAAGGAAAAAGAGAUUUCGAAUUUCUUUUUCCUAAGGCCGUUGAUUGCGGUUGGAAUAAAGAACUUCUUAUGUGGACCCACUCUUUGACCGCAUCUUCCCUCUUUUGUCAUUUUACGCUCUUACGCUUUUUGAUUUUCUAGGUUGAGAAAACAGCCUCAGCUUUGGGAGAUAUUCGCGAGCAAGCCAUCGCCGUAGUCAGUUUUGACCGUCAGUAACAGUAAUAAAAUAUUAACCGCGUGAUGUCGGUGUUCCAUCCGACGCUAAUGCCAGAUAGAAAAUUUUGAAGGGGCUGAGCCGUGAGUGUUGUUUGUCGGGUUAUUGAAUGGUCUUCACAGCCGGUCAAUUUAUAUGAUUCUGGCCCAAAAUCCAUGCGUCCUUCAGCUGCCACGUUGUUGGGAAAUUUGCAGGUGGGAGAUCCUGGAGUCAUUUUCACCCGAUUCACUCUACUAGACAUGGGUCAAAUCAGCGGACUAGCCUAAAUAAAUCGGACCAUGUUAAUUCAGACCGGGCGGGAACGGUUGUCAGUACAAUCGUUUCAAAAGUUUGUGUAUAUUUUAUACACGGUGUAAUAUCAUUUGUAUACGAUGUAAUACUAGAGAAUAACAGCGAGUAACCCUAGUACAAUAUUUUAUGGGUCCCAUACAUAUUAAAAUCUGGAUCUUAUAAAUUUUAUUGGCCAAAUCUUGGCCAUUAACUGACAGGGACGGUAACCGUCCCUGCCCCUCAACCUGUUAAUUCUGUAUACUUGAAACUCUUCUUUAAACUUGAAUUCUGUAUCGAAACUCGUUGAACAUUUUUGUUAUGGUACAUUCUAAGAUUGAGCCUCAACUUGUUCAUUCGAUAUUAGUUUGCAAAAGCAUAACUAAAGUUCCCAAAAGUCCAAAUCGUUGUUUUUUUUUUUUUAGUUAGUUCAAGCUUGCGUUAAUGUUAACAAUCAAUUUUAAGCACAAGCGUCUCUUGAAUUGGUACACAAUUUUGUGUUAAAAGCUUGCUUCUAAAUAUAUCACUCUUUAAUUUGUUCAUCUUUCAUUCAUAGGAAAAUAGGCAAAGAGAAGUGAUUUUUUUUCCUUUUUUGUAGCAAAAAAAAAAAAGUAAAGCGAAUAAGAGAGAAAAAAAAGAAGAAGAAGAAAAAAGCAAAGUAAAAUUUGUAUGCGUGGAUCGUCGUAUAAUUGUGAAGAGGUUAAUAUAAAACAGAAUUUCGACUAUAUUAACACACGAGAUAACUGUGAAUUUCAGGACAACAAUCACAAAUAGCAUGAGGAUCAGUAUGGCUUUCUUUACAUUCAUGCAGAUCGAACGCAGGGAGGGUUGGAAACUGUAUUAGAUCUGGUUGGUCACUCGUGAUCACUUCCAUCCUUUAUUCCCUUUGCGUCUUUCAAUUUGGCUGCUCUUUCUAAAUUAUGUUUGAUCUUAUACAAUCAUGAUGAGUUAAAAAAGCAAUUUAGAUCAGAACUUGGGAUUUCGCAUUCGUGAUCUACUAUGUUUAGACCAUUAUUAUUUGGUUGCUUGGCUGUCAAAAGAUGCUUGAGUAGUUAAAGCGUUUUUACAAAUGAGAAUUAACGCAGCCAACAAGGGAGGCGCUCAAGGCAAAUAAAGUCAAUCUUCUUUCUUUAAUUUAAAUCCCUUAAUGAUGAUGAAGGAUAUGAUUGUAGUCACAUGACUACGUUCAUCUUUUUACCAGACUUCCUGGCUAAUGGACUAGCGUUUUACGUUGAUCUUCUAGGAUUGAUGAUAAUCGUUGCAUUUUUCACCCUAUCCUUUGUAACCCUUUUUAAUGAUAUUCAUUUUCUUCCGCUCUUCAUUGCUCAAGUAUGCAGUAAUUUCUUUUUACUGCACAGCAUAAGUUAAACCGCUCCGGCUGGAGACGUGCGUAAAAGUUACUCCUUGACAAACUACUCUAUAUACUCACUGAGUCUGGCUCACUGACCAUCAAGGAGGGGUAGAGGUUCAAAUUUCAUGUGCUAACGGAAAAAAAUUUAAGAGUGGUGUCAAAACACCCUUUUAAUUUAAGUAAGAUCCGUGUACUUACUAAUUCCUAACACAGAGUCUUUUUAGACUUCCAUUUUUUUCCUGUAAUUUAAGAUAGAAUAGAUUAUACAAUGAUUAUUUUCUCCUGAAAAAAAAUAAAAGACAAACUAGUCUACGUGUCCAUCCAGUUACCUAUGAGAGGCGAGACCCGUUGGUUAGUUAUUCAAUUUGUUAGUAAUUUGUUCAUAAGAUUCUGGAUGCGAUUGGGUUAAAGAUUCAAGCGAAAAAUCCCCGUUCAUUGGCCGAUGAACUCUUUCCAAAUGAUUAAUGUAGGUUAUUUACUAGUUGUAUUUAGCUUAGUCCAUCAUGCAGGUCAGCUCAAGUGUCCAUGGCCAAGUAAAAGACUAAAAGCUAGUAGUGAAAGCUGACAAAGAGUAUUGACUACUAUGGUUGAGAGGCACUUGGCAUUCAGGGGGGAAGAGGUAAUCAGGUAAAGGUCAGGAUGGACAAUUUGCAAUUGAGCAAACGGAGACGGACGCUCAAAAGACAGACAGAGUCUGAAACCUUUUUGACUCUUUCCUCUGCACCCCCAUUUUCUUAUUUCUUCUUUACUUCUUCGGGUAAAUCCUCGUUCAACUCCUGCAUCCAACCCACUUCUCAAUCAGUAUUCAUUUUAUAAAUUAGGAGGACCAGGAGGCAGGAGCCCUCUAUCCAUCCCCUGAUUUUCUGCAGUAAUUCCACCCCUGAUUGCCAUCCCAUAGGCCAUAUCACGAAGAAAAAAAUAUCCAGCGCCGACCCUUCCUAGCAAAAGCGCCGAAACAAGAGCACAUGACUCUGCCCUUUUCUGUUUCUUUCUCUCUCUCUCUUUUUCUUCCCCACUCAAAUUAUCAGCUCAUUAACCCUUGACGAAUAAAACCAAAAACAAAAAAAAAAAAAAUGCGGUAGUAACAACGUCAAUAAAAUACUACUAGUUCAGCAAAUUAAAAAUUACAAAACUAGUAAGUGCAUUAAUUUCUGAACAAUUGGCACCUUCCCUCCACCCCCACCCCCUCUUCGACCUCCAUAUAUACAAGCACUUCCCCUUCCCCUCACUCACCUCUUUCUAUUCCUCUCUAUACUUUAUUCCUGUUCUUCUCUUCUGGGGUAAGUUCCUCAGAAGUUAUGCACUAGAUUAUAAACAAAACCAACAUUGGCAUUUUCCAUACAGAAGAAGUUAUCACUUCUGUUUUCAGAACAGAUCUAUAUAGUCGCAGAAAUUGAUUUUUGGCGUCCCUUUCAGUUUUUGGAGCAAGGGUUGGCUUUAAAUUAAUGGAGAAUACUGUGAAACUCUGUUUCAUUGCUCCUCUGUUUCUGCUGCUUGGGAUUCUUCCCUUAGCAUUUGCGGGCCACGAUUAUAGCGAAGCUCUAAGCAAGAGCAUUCUCUUCUUUGAAGCUCAGAGAUCUGGUUACUUACCAAGAAACCAAAGGGUCCAAUGGAGGGGUAAUUCUGGUCUCAAUGAUGGCAAGCCCAGCGGGGUAAGUUCAACUAUUUAAGCCACAUUUUGAUGUUUUAACUUCUGUGGCUCAUUUUUCACGUGCAAUUGCUAAUUUAGCUCAAAUUCUUGAGUUGUCUUAGGUGGAUCUAACUGGAGGGUACUAUGAUGCUGGAGACAAUGUGAAAUUUGGGCUUCCCAUGGCAUUUACAGUGACUAUGAUGUCCUGGAGCAUUAUCGAGUAUGGGGGGCAAAUGGCUGCGAGCGGUGAGCUUAGCCAUGCCAUGGAUGCCAUUAAGUGGGGCACUGACUAUCUCAUCAAAGCUCAUCCCCAACCCAAUGUCCUCUACGGGGAGGUAAUGAAUGGUUCACUCUAAUUUGAAAAAGAAAAAAAAAAUUAACGUUUGAUUAAAUGUUGGGAUUCGUUGCUUAGAUUGCGAGCAAUUUUUUUAACUGUAGAAAUCUUUUGGUCAAGGAGUUUGGUCUACUUGCACUGCCACUUUUGGCCAUCGCGAUUCCAACAUUUUUAAGAAACCACAAAUUCUUUCGUAGUUAAAUCUAACAUUGGACUUUCCAAUUCCAUUUCUUCAAGAAACAAUAAUAAUAUUAUGAAUUCUCUUAAAAAUCAAGUAGUGAACCGGUACGUCAUUUUCAGAGAAAAGCGAGAUUCGUUUAAUACGGGAUUAGGAGGUCCCCUGUUUUUUUUUUUUUUAACAUUUUUAAGCAUUGGUGGGAUUAUUAUUAUUUUUUGGCAGGUUGGAGAUGGUAACACAGACCACUACUGCUGGCAAAGGCCGGAGGACAUGACCACGUCAAGGGCUGCUUACAGAAUUGACCCAAGCAAUCCCGGAUCUGACCUCGCUGCUGAAACUGCCGCCGCAAUGGCCGCUGCGUCGAUCGUUUUCCGCCGUUAUGAUAGUGCAUAUUCCAACGAGCUUCUCGACCAUGCUUAUCAGGUACACUCAUACGUAUUUGCAUAGUCAAAAUGUUGUUGUUUAACUUUUUAUUAAUUCCGAAUCUCUAAUGUCGGCUUCAGACCAAAAGUUCUCUGAUAGUACUAGUAGUGUUUACUUAACUAAUAACUGGUUUAUUAGUAGUAAUAAUACUUAGUUAGUGGUCGCUGUCCGCUGAGAAUGUGUUCAUUGGACCGGACGAGGGAGCGAGAGGAUCCGGUUUGGUUUCCUCUCCCCUACAUUUUUUUUUUUUUUUUCAGAAGAAAAGAGAAAAGAGUGUCCACCGAGAACAAUAAUAGUAAUGAAUGAAUUGGCGCACGCUAGCAACAGUUGAUUGUGCGUAGGUUAGCAAAACGGUCGCGCAGUUAAUAGGCAGUUACGAAGGUUCAGCUUUUUGUCAGGCUGGUGGUUGUCGGUGUAGGCCGCAGGGAGAGGUUGGAAUGCGUUCUGCUUUUACGAAUCCCAUUGAAGCUCAAUGACUCCACCUUUACAGUCUUCUUUCUUUCUUUCUUCUUUACUACUCCAGGAGUAAUUAUUAAGAUAAGAUAAGAUAAAAGAACCCAGCAUGCUUUCUUCAAUAUUCUAAAAAAAAAAAAAAAAAACUCCUAGUUUUACUUCUCAGUCAAAGUUGGACUACAGCCAGCCAGCCAUAAAAAAAAUAAUAAUAAUAAAAAAAUCGAUCUUCCAUGUUGCUAACGCUAGCUAGCUUUUGAACUUUUGAAAGACUUUCACUAAAGAACCCAGACAUUUCACAUAUCAGCUGCGCUUUUUGGAAUGAACUACACUAGUACACUAUUUGCGCUCUUUUUAUCAAGUGGAAUGGAAUAUGCUUAUCUUCACCGAAAGAGGAGCAAAGGGACUUCAAAGUUCCAAAACAUCCCCUUUCUUUUUCCUUUCGUCGCUGAUCAGUACAGACUACUGUUUCGAGUAUGGAUUGGAUUCUUUUCUUUUCUUUUCAAAACCUGUAUGGAUUCUUUAAACAAAAGAUAAAUGGCGUUUACACUGAGGUCCUGGUGAAUGAAGAAGGAAGGGUCCAAAAUUGAAAAUUAUAGAUCAGCACAGCAGGAGAGACCAACAAUGGCGAAUCGAUAAAAAGUGCUGAGUGGUACAUACUCUUUUUUUUUUUUUUUUUUGCCCUUUAUGGGUUAAUAUAUGUACUCACUAGUGAUAAUUAUUGUGGCAUUGAUUGAUAGCAUUGCCCAUCAUCAUCCAGUUCAAAUGCUGGUGAAGUGAAAUCUUACGGCGCGAAAAACCGAAAAAAAAAAAAAAUUUUCUUCAUGGAGGACGUAGGGCCCAUCUUAGCCGGCAUUCACGGGCAAUGUCUCUUAUUUGUACGGCUUUGAUGUACUUCCAAAUCCCAACCGUUAAUUAAAAAAUGAUCAAAGGUAAAAUCUACGGGGUAUGGAGUCUGGGCCCGUAAGAUCUUGAAACGUGGUGUGUUGUCGGUGGGAUUCGGAGUUUUGGACCACUAAAAAUAUGCCCCUUCUUCUUUUAUCGUUUGGAAAAAAAAAAAAAAUGCCCCUUCUAUAUCUUUCUUUUCUUGGUUUUCCUGUCUUACCCUUCAUUUUCACGAAUAUCCCCCCCUCUCUCUCUCCGGCGGCUCUAAUGUAGUACAGUAUUUGUUGUCGUGUUCAGCUGUUCGAGUUUGCUGAUAAAUACAGGGGCAAAUAUGACAGCAGCAUCACAGUGGCCCAGAAGUACUACCGAUCUGUUAGUGGGUACGCGGUACGUGAUUCCUCCUCCUUUUUUUGUAGCCAAUCUAAAUAAAAAAUUAAACAUUAGUGCCAUUUUUUUUUUUUUUGGGCACCCCUCCAACUCCCUUUAGUAAAAGUACAUUUCACUCGCUUUUAAUUGCAGGACGAGCUCUUGUGGGCAGCAGCCUGGUUGUACAAGGCAACCAACAACCAGUUCUACUUAAAUUACCUAGGCAACAAUGGGGAUGCUCUUGGUGGGACUGGUUGGGCCAUGACCGAAUUUGGGUGGGAUGUCAAGUAUGCUGGCGUCCAGACCCUUGUUGCCAAGGUAAAAUAUUUUCUAAUCCAUACUAACUAUUUUCGAACAGUUUUCUUGACUUCUAAAUUGUUAUUUCCAUAAAUGUUGGACUCAGUAACAAAUAAUCAUAUAAUCAAAGGUGCGCCUGGAUUGAUUCAUGAACUAACAAACCCGCUUAUUGUAUUGUUUCGUUGCAGUUCUUAAUGCAAGGGAAAGGUGGUCGUUAUACAGGGGAAUUUCAGCAAUACCAGCAAAAAGCCGAGGCUUUCAUGUGUUCGUGCAUGGGAAAGGGCAAUCAGAAUGUUCAGAGAACUCCAGGAGGCCUCAUUUUCCGCCAGAGGUGGAACAAUAUGCAGUUUGUCACAAGUGCCUCAUUCCUUCUCACUGUCUACUCGGAUUAUCUUGCUUCUGCUGGCAAGUCUCUCAAGUGUGCUUCUGGCUACGUAUCGCCAUCUGAAAUGCUCUCAUUUGCUAAAUCUCAGGUAUAGCUGCUGUUCUCUACGAGUUUUAACCGACGCGGCGCAUUUCACCUCUUAUCUCUUACAAUUGUCCUGUGCUAACUACUCGAUGCUGGGCUUCAUAUGCUACUGCAGGUGGACUACAUUCUUGGAGACAACCCGAGAGCCACGAGCUACAUGGUUGGAUAUGGGAACAACUAUCCUAGACAAGUUCACCACAGAGGUUCAUCCAUUGUCUCCAUCAAGGUAGACCCCUCAUUUGUGAGUUGCAGAGGGGGUUAUGCCACUUGGUUUAGCAGGAAAGCAAGUGACCCCAAUGUCCUCACCGGUGCUAUUGUUGGAGGGCCAGAUGCAUACGACAAUUUUGCUGAUCAGAGGGAUAACUAUGAGCAAACUGAGCCUGCUACCUACAACAAUGCUCCCAUUCUCGGUGUCUUGGCUAGACUACAUGGUGGCCAAGGCGUUUAUAACCAGCUUCUUCCAGGUAUGGUAGAGAGAGAUUGAUCUGUUUCAAAGUCUUGGCCUAAAUUAAUCAUGCAGUUUUCGCUUAAUUUAAUCAUGCAAAUUUGGUGCAGUGGCUCAGCCUAAACCAGUCCCACACCCGAAAUUAACUCCAACUCCAGGUAUUAUUCUUUUCCAGUUGUAGGAACUUAAAUCCACUAUUUUGCAAUUCUCAAACCUUGCCCAAGAUACAUUGCCUGAUUGGUGGGACUUAUCUAAUGUGAGGGUUAUUGUAUCGCAGCUUCAUCCUCCAAUCCAAUUACUGUUGAGCAGAGGAUGACAGAUUCAUGGCUUAACCAUGGAAGAACUUACCAUAGAUACUCUACAAUAGUGACUAACAAAUCUGACAAGACAGUGAAGAAUUUGAAGAUUUCAAUAUCUAAGCUCUACGGCCCUCUGUGGGGUCUCACAAAGUUUGGUGAUUCUUACACAUUUCCAGCAUGGACCAACUCUUUGCCCGCAGGAAAAAGCAUCGAGUUUGUGUACAUCCAUUCUGCUUCUCCUGCAAAUGUAUUGGUGUCGUCCUACACAUUUGCUUGAGACAAGAAGAAAACGCAUUCUCAGCCGAGGUUUAUGAGUUUUAUCGAAGUUACAUAAGAAUUGUGCACAUAUAGAAGGAGCAGCCCAGAAGGCCUACCUAAAACUUCAAUUACUCGUUGAUUUGCAAUCUGAGCAGUGUUUUAGUUGCAGUUAGGUAAAAUAAGGGCGAAGCAUGGAGGAAGAAAGGAGUGAAGAGACGAUUUAAAAGUGCUCAUCCUCUUUCUUCUCCACUUCAUUUAUGAGUUUGCAUAGAAGAAUUGAGAGACAGUCAAAAAGAGUGAGAUUUUGAGAAGUGAAGAAAGGUUUCACAUCUCAAUAGGGUUUUUAAUGUUUUUCUUCUACAGCAAAGCUUUGAGGGCUUUUUCUUUCAACUUUUUCAACUCGUUGUGUGGUGAUAUUGUAAGGUUUACAGCUUUUCUUGAUCUCAACAUGAAUAUAGUUGGUGCAAAUUUGUGAUCAACAAGCUUCUCUGUCUACAUGGUUAGUUCUUACAACUCCUCAAAAUGCUGUGCUCGUUGUUUGUGACAUAAUGAUUGUGUCUCAUCACGAACAGGAACACACUACUGGGACUUGCAGUGCUUAUUGAACAGUACUUAUUCUACAAAAAAUGAUCAAGAAAAAAUUGACGAAAAUCUACUACUAGUUUAUACAGUUUGUUGUUUGAGAAUUGAGAUCAAUUUGGUCAGCCAAUGAAAUCUACAACUGUGCGAAGAAGAGACACCUGAUUACGGUCAUGGACUAUUUCGUUGAGUAGCAUUGCACACUUGCACAGGACCGCCGGUUCAAACUUAUGUACCUCUAGCAACACUAAACUGGCUAGUUGCUCGUAAUACCUUUUCUUUGGGCCUUCAGCCUCGUAUUCCAAACAGUACGUCUAGCCCAACUUCACAACAUCAUGCGGUGUGUGGGGAGCUAACAACCUGGGUUGGGCAUAUUAGAGGGUAGCAGGAACUAAUUAGUGCUAUCUAGCUGAUAAAACUGCUGAAUUCGUAUACUUUCAUCGGCAGAUUCGCUAAAUUUAAAAGAGAGUUGACGUUAAUCCAGUUCUAGAAAAGUAGCUAAUCAUAAAAAUGAACACCUUAGCCUUUAAUUUCACGACGAAUUCACCUUCUGCAAUCCCACCAAUUGUCCAAAGGAAUGAAUUUGAGUGAGAAACGAACGUCGUUCCAACCAUGUCCAAAAUCAGAGAAAUCUCCGAUGUACAUUGCACGUUCAGAUCCUACACAACAGCGAGGAGAGAAAGGGGGUUGGGGGAAGCAGAAAUGACAUUAACACGAGUAAGUACAAUCAACUAGUGGAAGCUUUGCUGCUCGGUUGGUUGCUUGAGAUCAACUACGAUUAUGCUUAUGUUGUCUCUGCUUCCUUUAGCAAUAGCUAGCUGAGCCAAAAUUGCUGCAGCUUCCGCAGCAGCACCAGGUUCCUUCGACAACCUUUUGCUGAUCUGGCCAUUCAGACACCUCCUUACUACUUCACAGGCAACGUCAUUGGGCACCACAUCCCACAGGCCAUCAGUUGCUAUGAUGAGGAAGUCGUCCGACUCUGUUCUCUUGCAUACUUUGACCUCUGGCUCCGAGAUCACGUAGGGCUUCAGAUAGUGAUCGCCUGUUUAAAUGAAUUGGUCCAACAAUUGAAAACUGGAACUAUGAUCACAAAAUGCCGGCGAUAUAAAUGGAAAUUUACGUAAAAGUUAUUUGCUAAACCUCGAAACUUUUUUACCGAUUUCAGAUUGAAGCCUGUUUGUAUCCCACGCAGAUAUUAACUGACAAACUUUAUUUAGAUUGGGACUCGCAGACGUUAAUGAAGACAUGAUAAAUUAGUGCAGCAGGAUUAAAAAGAUUCAUAGUCCCAGAGACAAGGAAGAUAAGAAUAGUCCAAAUUUCUUGAAUUAGGCAUUUAUUUGCUUAAUGAUCAGCAAGGUCUCCUUAACUUCAUGCAGAUAAUGAAAACACAAGCUGAAGCACUCGAGUCGAGUCAUUUUUCCACAGUAUGAAUAAGAAGAUGAUGUACCUAUUGAUCUUGAAGUAGCAAGGACUCCCUGUACACGGCAGCCAUCCCAAUCGAUGAUCCUUCCACCAGCAGCUUCCACCCUCUCCUUCUCAUCAGGCCUAUCAGGCUGUUUAAAAUAAAAUGCCAAAAGUGAAAGCUAAAAGAAAUUAGUGUCAGAUAUGCUUUGAAAAUUAAGAAUGCCAAACAUCGAUGAUUACCUUAAGGAUAGGAGAAAAAAAAAAAAAACUGUUGCUUUCGUUCUAACAAUAUUUCUGAAGUUAACAUGUAGACAUAAGUUAAUAUGUAGACAACUAGUCAACCAACAACUUCGAAUUUAAAUUGUCCAAACCACCUAAAGAUCAUUUGAAGAGGGUCUUACGAAUUAUUGAUCCCCAGUGUUAUAUUUGGUAUGUUAUGAUUAAACUCUAGCAACUUAACAUAUCUGGGUACUUCAAGCCCUGUCUACCAUGUUUUGAUUGCAUUUCAAAAAACAGUGAGAAGACAAGUGUUACCUAGAAAAAUCAGUGAGAUGCAAUGUGCAUGAGAUUUUUUUAAAAAAAAAAAAUUUGAAAAUAUAAAAAGAUACUAAGAACAUAUUUAGAAAACAUGCCAAAAAUCUUUUAUCCAGAAAGUGCUACCGAACUAGCACUAAUAUGAGAAGAUAAGUACUUCGACGAAAGAGAUAAAGAAAAGGAUUCAGAGUUGAGUCAUGCAAAUCCAUAGUGGCUGAUAAAAGGCACUUUAGUUCUUUUUUUUUACAUUGUGAAUUUCCUGUUUCUGCUGGACACUUUUGUUUUUGUUCCCAAAACAGAAAAAAUGUUCGUUUUCGCUUGGAUGGCUUAUUCGGCAAAAUUUCCUUUGUGAUGUGACGUUCUUUAAACACGUUUCUUAUUGCCUUGUUAUUUUUUCACUACAUUUUUAACCUCACAUAUAUGAUAUAUAUACAUAUAUAAAUAUAUAUAUACACAAACACACACACUCACACACUAGUAGAUAAAAAUUUUUUGCUCCAAAUGAAUAGACUUCAAUAUUUGGACCUUUUGCCACCUUUGUGAGUGAAGUGGGUCGUACAGUAGAUAUUUCUGGAGCUGGAGAAAACGAGUCAGAAAGGCAACUAAACGAGGAAACCCAAAGGAGUUGCUGGCAUUUCCAGCACACCUCACAUGAUGCAUGCAAACAUUGCAGUGCUCCUAAAACAUUUCUGAGUCGACGUCGACAACAAAACAAAAGCAGACAGACAUCGCACGGAAAGCGACAAAGCGAAAGAAAGGCACACGUAAGACGUAAACGAUCUCCUAGGUGACACCUCAACGCCCUCAGAACAAAAACAACCCAACCCAAAGAAAACAAAAACAACCCAAAACAAGAAAAAAUAACAAAAAGGAAAAAAAAAUCCAUCGUCAACAUGACAACACGAGAGAAUUCAGAACUUCACCUUAUGAUCAUUCGACAGCGCCAUCGCUCUUCCGCCACGACACAGUACCGCCCUUGAGUCCCCACAAUUUGCCACCACCAACUCCUCUGGCCCCACCAUUACCACCACCGCCGUUGACCCCACCGCCCUCUCCGCCUCCCCUACUUCCAAACCCCUCACCCCCACCACCUGCUCAUCCAUUCUCAAGAAACACGCCGUCAUCACUUGGCUCCAAUCAACUCCACUUUCAUUUUCCGACGAUAAUACUUUGUCCCUCGUGUUUGCUUGGAGCUCUUUUUCUACCAAAUGGUGCAUGCGGUCACGGCAUGCAUUGGCCACCCUUGCCCCGCCGUGACCAUCGUACACUGCGAAGAAUUCGUACUGUCCGGCCACUAUCCCAGGCGCCACAGUCAAUGCAUCCUCCAUUACCCUCCUGCGCCCGAUAACCGAUACCGAUCCGCAAAUUAACCGGGUCAUGCUACCGCGAUCUUCCACUUCGCCCGCCACUCCCUCUUUUUCACCAACUUCUCCCUCCGGUAGAUUAUCUCCAUCACCAGGAGCAGGGCUCUUUUUUGAUGCAGAACCUGAAAAACCCAAGUCACCGCUCCUGUUUCCGGCAGCCCCUUUCAACUUCUUGUCCUUCAGGGAAACAUCUUCGUCUGCCGGUGCCUCGUUGGGCUUGGAGGUUGCCACCUUGUAAUCAAAGCUUCUCUUUCUGGCGCAGCUGCAUGCAUCCUUGUCCUCGCUAAAAUGCAAGGGCGGUUUCAAGCCGGCGGUCAUCAUUCGCCUAAUCUGCAGCCUUUUCCGGCGAGCUUUCCUCGCUUUCUUUGCAAGAAGAGUACCCUUUGUAGUGCUAGUUUUGUGGCCGUCGAGAUGGGAUCUCAUCUUAUUAAAACUUUCUGUUUUAAAGAUUCGAUAUCAAUGAAAUUAAACAUUUUUCAAAACAAUUUUCUGUUUUGGUUGGGGGUGGACUGUGGAGUUGAGGGGGAGGGGGUUUUGAGUGAUUCUUGGAUUGUAAAGACGGGAGGAGAGGGCUUGUGUGUUUUGAACUUAAAAAAGGGGAGGCAAAGAGUGGUAAGCUAGGACAGUUAACGUGGGUAGAGGAG
rnacentral:lncRNA from 1 species